rnacentral:lncRNA from 1 species
AUCCAUCUCCUACACACGCAAGACAAAACAAAGACACAGGCGCCCGGAGAGAUCUGCUCAUCUCCUGCCUACGUACCUCAUCUGGUAUGAGGAUCAGGGCGACGUAGUUCCCCUACGAAGGGACACAGGAUUAGCCUAACCAGAUAACAGAGGGAAACACAACUAGGGAGACUACGACUCGAGCCUAGCUGUUAUCAUGCAAAGUUGUCCCUAAGUCGAGGUUUCUAGCUAACUUGCACAGGAAGCAAGCCUAUCCUAUUCAACACAAGCAGUAAAUCAAGCAUUCACAAGUAGCACACGCUAUAUGCACACAAAAGGGCUCAAUCAAAGGGUAAGACUGCAAGAGCAAGUCAUCUGUACAGGGGUGGUGUUAGCUCUUAACCUUGCCAUUGAGGGGCUAAGGUGAAGCUGAUGAGAGGAGAGUGAAGAUAAGACUUCACAGCUCUUAUCCCUGGUCAGGGAGAGCUUUAGACAAAGGAGUGUGGGUUCAGAAAGGAGGAACCCUUCUACACUCAAGACUCUGACACAACUGUACAUUGUACAAGAUCUUGGGUUUGUUGUCCAGAUGGCAUUCAACCACAGUUGGUUGUGAGCAAGAGGUACGACUCAACAGAAUAGUGGGAGAUUAGAAUUCAUAUUCUCUGAUCCCAAUUUGCCUCAUUUGAGGUUCUUUACCUGCUUGGGGACAGUCAAACAUCACAAACAUCGCCCUACUUAAGGCAGGACUUCAGACAGUUGCCUUGGCCAAGUAAACAGGCCAAGGUCUCCAGGACUACAUGGAGACAAGAAAAUGUUAUACCUCAGUGCAAAAAUUGCUUAUCAAGCAAAGCAAAGCCAAAAUAAUUAGCCAACAAUGGUUACCUGAAUCCAAUUCAAAUAUCAUCAGUAUACACUCACAGAACUAAACAGCAACGCGUUCACAAUUCAGCUAACUACAGGACAAACACAAUCCAAUGCACCAAAGUGCAAGCAACUCAAAGCCAAACAUCCUACCAAACCAAAACAAGUUAGUUGUUUAACAAUGGCAAAAUGACAUCUCAAUCAAAGUGAAUCCACCUCCUUAAGGAGUAUUUUGCCUCUUAACCUGAAAUUCACAUUCAAACAUGAGAUACAAGACCAGCUAGGAACAAGCCUAGGGUCAAAAGGGAGGAAAAAAGUUAAAACAGCAAGUGAAAUCAUGAUUCAAAAAUCAACAUUAAUCACAUACAAAAGAGAUUCAAUUGGUCUCAUGGUCAUUAAAAACUAUACACAAAUUUAAUUUCAGGCACAAAUUUAAGUUCAAGCAGGGCAAUUAUGAGUUCAUAUAGAGCAAACGAAUGAUUAUCACUCAAACAAAAUACUAAACCAGGCUCAAUAUUCCACAAAAAAAAAUGCCAGCCUAAACAAGACCCAUCAAUGAACUACUAUCAAUUUCCAAGCCAUUUGGACAACAGGAAGUAGGUUCAAUUGAAAAUCAUUAAAGUCAGCAGGAAAUUCCAAACAGCCAACAACAUGGUGCAAAAUGAGCAUUCAACAUUUCAUCAGUCAUUAAAACAGUGAGAACAUUAAGGAAUGAAUGGGACCCAAAAGCCAAACUACACCUAAAACAUGUUAUGAAUCCACUCCAUCAAUUUUCACAUUCAUAUGAUCAUUGGUAGUUGAGGCAUUUCACAAGGACAUGGAAGACAACUAGUCAAGCAAAACCCUAAAAAUGCUAAACAGCAGUGAAAACGUCACUUAAAUGGAAAGAUGAAAUCAACAAUUUCAUACAAAAUUUCAUGUGAAACUAGACAUAUACAAAGACCAGCAUGCCAAAAAUCUUGAGAUCAAUUGGAAAAGCCUAGGCAUGUAAAUAAAAUUCAUGACAAAUUGACCUAACCUAGUGUGACACACAAUUUGUCACACUCAACUUUUGCACACAUCAUAUCUACCAAACCCAGAGAAUCCAAAUUCACAAACUAUACAACUCAAUAACCCAGGCAAGGAGUCAAGAAUUAGCUGGUGAAUUUCAUUCAAUUUGAUAAGGUAGGAGUAUUUCAUGUUAAAAAAAAUGGUGAAACCUAACAAAGAAUGCCACACCAUGACCAAGAUCCCUAGCACAAAGCAAAAAAUCCACCAAAGCCAAACUUUGAAGCUAUCAUACCUAAUAAAAUUCUAGACAAAAAUUAUGAGCUAACCAAAAAAAACUCCCCACUAUUUUUGGAUUAAAAUGGGAUUUGAUUUGAUUUUUGUAAGAUUUGAUGGAAAUUAUUGAAUAAUUAUUUAAGUUUUCUAAUGAAUUUAAAUGGCAUUUUAAUUAACAGCGAUGGCAGUUUUGUUAAUUCAUGUCGCUUAGCCAAGCCUAAACGACGUAGGCAUUGUUUAAGCGCUGGUCAACACGCGGAUUUGCUUAUCCCGGCGGGACAACACAAAUUUGAAAGAACUGAGCCAGGCGGAAUCAAAUACGCGCGGAUUAGACGGAAACUUUGAACCAGCAGAUGCGUCUGCGUGUCUUAAUGGUCCAGAAAUGGUUUCGAGCUUUCUCAACGAAAUACGCAAAAACAAUUAUACCGUUGAAACCGUAUUGAGUGCGUACAUCAUUGAAUAUAUACAUGGAAAUCGUCCAGAAAGUUUUGAUCAGCGAGACAUCGAACGGAAAAUAGUUUUUUGACAUUCAUAACUUUAAUCCUAGAAUUUCCUCUUUCAAUAAUUCGCUUAGAAUCAAACUACAAGCAGCAUAGUACUCUACAAUGGUUGAAGAUCUACAAACGCCCUAUUCUCAUUGAGCCAAUGGUGAAGUUGAUUUCCACCCUCAAUUCGAGUGAGCAGUUCCGGAAUUCGAUGGAUUCAAGUUUGCAAACAAAUGGUCAAAACAAGCUGUUGCUUGAGUGUGGAGAGAUGAUUGGGACGCGUAUUGUAGCUUCAGCAACCACUCUUUAAAUGCUGGAAAUUCUUGAAUUUGCCAUUGAUGGAACGAUCUUGGAACAGUUGGAGUUUUUGAUGAUUUGAAGCUCUAAUUGAUGCCAAACGUGUCCUGGGAUCAACACCUGCAAAUGAGAACUACACCACGAUUUUGCAAUGAAACAAUGUGAAAUAUUGAUGAAUUUGGAAAAGAGGUGAAAGUUCAACGUGAUACCAGUGAAGAGAAGAAGUUUUUUGAUUUUCUGUUUUGGAAUCUUGAGCAAAAUGCAUUAGUGCUUAUUUUGCAAAAACAGUUGCAAUAUAUCUAAUUUAUACAAGGCUUAACACCAAAAUUAUCCCUAAUUCAGCAAAAUGGUAAGGUUUUUGUGUUAAUGUGCAAUUUUCAAGCUUUGCCAAAAUUGCCCUUUCUUAAACCACUGAUUUUUUCGUGUCCAAACUUGGUUCCAAACAAGUCACAAAUUGACAUUUUGAAGGUGUUGCAAAGUUCCCAUUCAAAAUCUCCAUGUAUUUCUCAAAUUGACCAUUUGCCCUUGGUUUUUAAUUGUUGCACUUGAAAAUUGACCUUUUUAUGGUGAAGCUUUUGGCAAAAUGUGAUGAUGGAUUAUGAAGUUGCACAUCAAAUGUGAAUUGCUCAAAGAAAAACCAUUCCAUUUGGCACUUCCAUCGUGAAAAUUGAUGGCACUUUGGAUUCUCUGCGAUUUUGGAAAAUGACUGGACCAUAUCUUUGCCAAACACACAUAAAGCCGAUGGAUUUCCAAUUGCUCUCUAGGACUUUAUUGGUGCACCUAAAUCGAGUUGACGCAUUCACAGAGAUCUUCAACACUUUGCAUGUGCGAAACAAAACCUCAAGUUUGAAGGCUGUGAUGAUGACAAAUGAGGGGAGAAAAACUAUUCAUUAUUUGGGCAGCUGAAAUAUACAGGUCGCCUGCCCAUUUUGAAAACUUCUCCUGUUCUGACCUCCAAAUCUUCAACCUUGGUCUAUUGAUAUGUCAAAAUAGACUUAUCAUGUACAUGAAUGAGGCCUUUCAAACCAUCUCACACCUUCCAAUCCAUAAAAUCAGGCACAACGUUGACCACAGUUGACUUUCUUAACUGGUUUCCAGCUGAAUUCAGCUGACUGAUGAGCUAUUGAUCAAUCAAAUCUUUUGCCCAAAACCAUUCAAAAAUGACCUUAGACCAUAUGAACCUUGAUAAAUCAAACCCUAGGGCUUAUGUUCUUCAAUGAAAAUAGCACAUUUGCUAUGCUUGCUUGCUUGACCUGAUCUCCUGACCAGUUUGACCUAAUUCUUCUGAAUGGCUUGCACUUGGGCAAAGGGACAAUGCAAUGUUAUGCAGUGGACUAUGUUAAUGUUAUGACCUAAUAUGGGAAUGUAUGUACAAAAGGUAGGGUGCAAAUUUGAGGUGCUACAAGAAUUAGACAAGGAAAUUCAAUGAGACUAGAAAUAAAAGGUCGGCCUUAAGAAAAAUUCAUGAAGCAACUGAUCCUCUAACACACAUCCGCAGGAAAAUGCAAGGCAUGGUACCUCCGCCCCCGUCCAACUCAGGGAGAUGCCUUUAAGAAAGGAGUUUCACUCUGGAUCCCUAAGUAGGAUCUUCCACCUUGGAGCCUUGUGAAGAGAUAGAUGCCGAAGACUUCAGAUGUGAUCCAACCAAAGGAGAUACCUCUGAGCGCAAAGAAGUUUCAAUCGGCAUUCCAGGAAGGACAUAGGCAAAAAACUUUUGACACGUUUCGACCACUCUAUGGUCUCCAAUGAAGGUUAUCUGCCUCAGAAUUUCAUAAUUUAUCUGUAACAAAUUCAAUUCAUUAUUAACCUGAAAAUGUAUAUAUCUUUUUACCUUGUUGUGUGCUUUUUUGUAUCUUUCUUCUAAAAAGCCCGAAACGAGGAAAUAAGGAUAAAAUGUAUGAUUACAUUUCUGAUACAAACUUAAUGCACUUCUGCAAUUCCAAUAUGACUUCAGCGUAUUCCGAGCUCACUGUGUAUCUGAUACAUAAUCAACGCAAUUAUGAGAUUCUGAUACGGCUUAAAAUGCACCAUUUGCAGGAAUGUGUGUCUGAUACAAACUAAAUGCAUUUAUGCAAUUCUGACAUGACUUAAUCAAAUUCCAUUUCCAAUAGUGUAUCUGAUACAAACUUAACACAUUCAUGCGAUUCUAAUACGGCUUGAAACAUACUCAAGUCUGGUUGUGUUACCGAUACGAACUUAACACAUUCAUGCAAUUUUGAUAUGCCUUAAACACAUUUUAUGCCCUAUUGUGUAUCCCAUAUAGACUUAAAUAACUUCUGCAAUUCAAAUAUGACUUAUACGAACAUCUCACCUCUAAAGCUUAUUAAACCCAAUUCAGGAUAGUUGCCCUCUGGAUAUAUCCAAUCAUAAGGCGUAGUUGGUGGAGCCUAGAGAUGUAUUCCUCGAUUCGAUCCCAGUCUCAAGGGCUGGGAUGAGGAUUCUACCCUUGGUCGAGGAAUGUUCCUCUAUGACACAUAGAAAUAGUACAACAUAUAACUAUAUAAAUUAGACUUCACCGAACCUAUGUAUUACCAGGGAAAAGCAAGAAAAUUUUAGAGACACUCUCACCAUAUUAUUAUAGAGAAGUGCGUUGUUUCUUUCGUAAAGCAAAAAACAGUAAAGGAUUUUAGGCCAAAAAUAGAUAUCCCGCCAUAGCUAGUGAAGGCCGAUGGUUUGAUCUAAACUUUGAAGUGAAUAAAAACUUCAAAGUGCAAAAAGCGUGCCUAGAAUUAUAGGAAUUCAUAAACAACGAUAAUGUUAUAAAAAAGAUUGUCACAAGGCUUUAAGGUUAAAAAUACUUGAAACAUCAAGGUAAAAUAUUUCAUUAUGAACUUAAAAUUAUUACACCCAUAGCAAAAAAGCCUGGGAAAUGUUGCAGGAAAUAAGCAUAAAAGAAAAAUUAAAAUCAAGUCGGAACAUCUAGAUCUGAGGCACCGUGAUCACCUCCCUAAAUCAAAUCGGGAGCAGACUUAAAUGGGUUCAUCUCCUUGCCUGCUCCACAACUCUCUCUCGGACUCUGAGAACCUCCCACAUAGUCUGUUGAGUAGCAUCAUGAAUCACAUGCCUCAGGCCUACCACCUCGUCCUGAAGAGCUUUCAAGACCUCUGCAUCUUUCCCAUACUUUUCCACCUAGCGAGCGUUUUCCUCAAUGGAAUUAGAAAUGACCUUUUAUUGCUUCUGUAUAUCCCAUAGGGAACCCUCUAGUUCAGUCAUGCGAGCCUCCAUGGUAAAAGGUGUCAUACCCCAAUUUUGUCCCUAUCCCGAUACAAUUUUCAUCUGAUCCAUGACCCAACUGCACAUGCAUACAUUUAUUAUUUCAAAAAAAAAUUGGGUAACCGGUUACCCUAAUCAGGGUAACCGAUUACCCGGACCAAAAACUGAUUUUUUGGCCAUUUUGGGACUGUGUAAUCGAUUACCCUAAUCAGGGUAACCGAUUACACCUACGCAGACAGCAGAAAUAACUUUGUUUUUUACACAGAGGACCCUUUGGUUCACCCACUUCAACCCCUUUGCUUCCCCUAUAAAUAGAGCACUAUCCUCACUCAUUUUUCAAGCUUGAAAGCCACAAAACCACUGUCCAAAUCAUAUUCAAGCUCCCUCUUUUCAACCUAAACCCUAACUCACCCAAACCCUCUUUUCUUCUUUGAACCACCCAACCACCAUGUAAAAAUCCACCAUUUCCACACAACAAAAACAGUAGCAAACUUGUGAUCUUCACUUACAUAAUCAUUCACCAUCACCAUAUAAACAUACACCUUCCUUCUUUUCCAUUUUCCUAUCACAACAACCAUAGCCACCCUCUUCCAAGCUUUUUGCAUCAUUCUCAAACCCAAACACAACAAUAACCUAGUUUUGACACCACACUCUUGGUAAUAUUUUGGACUCAAACUCCUUAACAUUUUUUGGUUUUGCUUUAUGUUUGAAAAUGAGUUUUUACUCUUGGGUUGUAUUUUGAGAGAGAUUUGAGCCAACUUUGAGACAAGUGUUUUUGUUGGGUUUACACCCUUUUGGGGAUUUUUUGCUCUUACUACUUUUUUAUCCACCAUUUUCAAUUCAAAACUUUGUUUCUGUAUCAUUUAAUAUUUAUUGUUGACUUGUUGUUACAUUUAUGUGGUUGAUGAGUUCUAUUAGAUCAUGACCAUGGUUGUUUAGAGUUGAUUAAAUCUUCAAUACUUCAAACCUAUUAAUGGUUGCUCAAUAGAUCAUUCAUGAUACUUUGAGGCAUUGAUAGAUUGUCUCUAUUUCAACCAUUCUUGGGUCAUUUGAUACAUAGAUGAAACCAUUUCCUUUACAUUGUUUAUUGUUAUCAUUUAAUAUUUAUUGUUGACUUGUUAUUACAUUGACUUGGUUGAUGAGAUCUAUUAAAUCAUGGCCAUGGUUGUUUAGAGUUGAUAAGACCUUCAAUGUUUCAAACCUAUUAAUGAUUGAUCAAUAGAUCUUUCAUGAUACUUUGAGGCAUUGAUAGGUUGCCUCUAUUUCAACCAUGAUUGGGUCAUUUGAUACAUAGAUGAAACCAUUCUCUUUACAUUAACUUGUUAUUCUAUUUGCUUAUUGUUAUUCUACAAACCACUAACUACUAACUCCUAACAUUUAUAUUAUUGCACUUUAAUUCCUUGCAAUUUAUUUUAUUCUUACUAACCAUUAACUACUAACUCCUAACAUUUAUAUCAUUUCAUUUUAAUUCCUUACAAUUUAUUUUAUGUUCACUAACCAUUAUUAUUGUGAUAUUGUCAUUCUUUAUCUUGUGAUUUACUUUUAUGUCAUUACGUUGUAAUUUACAUUCAAAUACUCAUUAUCAUCAUCAUUGUACAAACUCAUCAUACAUGUUUAUUUACUUGUUAUUUAUUUUAUUAUCAUCAUACAUUAAAAAUAACAAAAACAUGAUAAAAUGGUAAGACCAAAAAUAUUCACUCCACUCUUAAUCAACUUGGACUUAGAGGAUUUCAUCUUAGGACCUUUGCUUGGAAGCCUUCCUUUACUCUUUGUGAUACAUUGUAAACACUUGGAUUUUCAUCCGUAACUUACAUGCAUGUUGUAAGAAUAGCAUCAUGACACCACCUUAGAGGGACAUGUUUGUAAGACCAUUAUCCUUUGUUUAGCAUAGGUCACUUUUGCACACAAAAGGCUUUCUCUUGUGCUACCUUACAAUGAGACUCUUUAUUUUUUUGUUGGUUAUUUUGCAUUCAUGUUGCAUAAGCUAAAAUUCAUAAGCAAUCUCAUUUUGAGACCAUUUUCAUAAUUCAAUUCAUAUGCACAUGUAAAUACAAACCUCGGUCAAUAUCGAGUGCGCCUUUUCCAAAUCAAUUCAAAACACCUUGUAAGUCGAUCGCUUUUAAAGCAUCGCCAUCAACCUCAUAUAGCUUACUCUUGGGCUUUCUUACAAUGAGACCUAUUCGACUUUUAUCGAGUAGAAGAGCAAUACACUAAAUAAAUCCACUUCAUUCAAAACACAAAUCUAAAACCUCGAUCUAACAUCGAGUAUUUUCUCUCAAACUCAAUUGAAAUACCCCGAUUAAAUCAAAACAUUUUUUACAAUAAGUUAAAUGAAAAAAGGAGUUGACUUUGAGUUUUCAACUUCACUCCUCAAUUGGACGAAUACGAGUUUUCUUACUCGGUCAGUCGAACAAUUGUCAUUUUCCGCCAAACAUACAACUUAAUCGAAUCAUUUCCUUAAAAAGCUAUACGAAAAGAGAGAUGGUCUUGAGUUUUCAAUUCCUCUCCUCAAAUGCUUGGAUAUGAGUUCUCUUACUCAACCAUUCAAGCGCUUGUUGUUUAUUCUAAAAUACAUCAAUGAUACACAAACCUAUUUUCAUAAUCACUCAGAUGCAAAAAGAAAGUGGUUUAGAGUCUUCUAUUCCCUUUCCCGAUUAUUAGGAUACGAGUUGUCUUACUCGAUCGUCUGAGUAAUCGUCAUCCAUUCAAAAUACCUUAACUAUUAUCAACUCCUUUCAUAAUAAAUGAUGUAAAGGGAGGUGGUCUAGAGCCUUCAAUUCCUCUCCUCGACUAUUAGGAUACGAGUUGUCUUACUCGACUAUCCGAGUAAUCGUCAUCCAACAAAAUAUCUCAACACAUCAAAUAUAUCUGUUCUCGCUCUCAUACGAUCAGAACCAAUUAAACAAAACACCCAACAUAUUAAUUCAACUCGUCACCCCCGUGUGACUAGAACUCUUUUCAGAAAGAACACUGUUUAAUCCUUUCUAAUGCGCACAACAAACCAAUGCUUAAGCCUCCGCCGAGAGUAGACAAGCCAACAUUUAGCCUUUAGAACACGAUCUAAACAGCUGUUCAGUAAAAGACACCAACCAACUGUAGUUCCCCGAACUACGAAUGCUCUGAUUUCCUUAUUAUACCAUAAAGAUACGUAGGCAGGAGAUUGUUGUAUCUUCGCGAGCACACUAAUAAAAAACCUCCCCUUUCUCCUUUCUGAGGUUCUCAUCCAUUUCUAUAUUUUAUAACCCAAAGAUAACAAACAAACAUAAAUUAACACUCAAAACACACAUUAGAACUAAAAGGUUCCCGUUGAAUACAACGGACGUAAGGGGUGCUAAUACCUUCCCCUUACGUAAUCCACUCCCGAACCCGAAUAUGGUUGCGACGACCAUUCUUCUUCUUCUUAAAGGUUUUAUCGAUAUUUUCCUAUUCCUUCAUUGGGGUAAAUAAAGUUCGGUGGCGACUCUGUUCGAACACAUAAAUUUUCCGCGACCAUCGCGAGGAAUCGUAUUUUUCGAGAUGCGACAGAAGGUGAGCCAUGUACUUUCACUACCUCUCGCAAAGAUUAAUAUUGUUAACUUCUUCCUGCAAGAACACUAAAUUCUCCUUAAGAUUAAUGCACUUCAGCACCAUGGCUUCGACCUUCCCUUUCUAAGCAUCCAUCUCUUUGAAGGGAUUAAUGGGUUCCAAGACAUCACCCUGUCCAACAGAAACAAGAGAAAAAUAGAAGCAUAUUUGAACAUGUUGUGAGCAAGCUCCAAAUCCAUUUACAUCUUAUCCCCCUCAGGGAAAUUCUAUACGAAGGAUAAAUUUGACAUCGGGACAAUAUCAACAACCUCCUUAAGAGCGCGUGGGAGUUGGGAAGAGAAAAUCAUUGAUAUCUUUAAGAAAGGGUUCACCUCCCCAGAAGUAUCAUCUAGAGAAACAUGAGUCUGUAUUGGAGAACACUCAAUUUGAGAAGAUUGUUGUUCCAUUUCCCGAGCCCUUUUGGUCGAAACCGAAGGCAAAGUUAGUCCCCCCACCAUCAAUGUGGUUGAAACUUUCAUAAGAUAAUCCAUCUCGAGCACGUGUGUCGAAGCUUCUAGAGUCGAGGUAGGAGAAGGGGACAAAGGAGAUGCGGGGGCAUAAGAAGAAGUUCUAGUAUUCACCGCGUCCUGAAUACUUUGAGCAUCGAGAAGGUUGUAUAACAUGUUCAGCUUGCUAAUCUUAUCCCUCAUCUCCUUAAAAUCAACUACGCUCAACAUAACAUGAGUAUCAAUUACCCUCUUCAUCCCAUCAAAAGAAGGAACCUCAUUAUGGCCGAACUCAUCUUCGUAGUUAAGCCCUUGAAACCAAGAUUGCCUUUCCUUCUUCACUAUCACCUCGUUCGGAGAAAGAGAAGUUGGUUUGGUACAAUAGGAGAAAGAAGACCGGUUAAAGUGAAGCUUGGAAAUAUUUUGGGUACCUAACCCGACAAGGGAGGGGAGGAUCAACGUGAAGGUAACAUAAACAGAGUGAGGGGCUUCACCAAUAUAAAAUGUCUUAGAAAAUUGCCCCAAUCUAGAGUAAAGGGGUUGAACCACUGUUAGACUGGGCAGAAGCAAAUGCGCCCCUGAUUGCGAAAGUCACCUGGGGAAGUACACCUCAGAUGGAAAAGAUCGAAGAAUAAAUUAAAGAGGGCUUCCAAGACUUGUGCUCAGAGCACAAUUGGAAGACCCUUAUAUAUGCCCAUGAUCCCAGAUGAAGUUGGGAAGAGGAAAUCUUCAAAUGUAGUAGAACUUAAAUCUCAAAUUUAGAAAAAGGCAGCCGGAGUUCCACUCUUGUAAAUAGAAACUCAUAUAACAGGAUCAUGUAGUCAUCGAAAGAGCAACAUAGCCUUUUUUCCUCUAACACUGGAAGGACCAACCACUCUGAAGGAUCGUUGACUACAAUGUUAGCCUCGACAAAGGAGGCCUCAGUACUCAAAGUUAAGGAAGUACUCGCUACCUUUGCAUCUACCUAAUUAUAUAUUGGUGCAUCUGAUCGACAUCGAAGAUUUAAAUUCUCCAGCACCUCAGUGUCGGUAGGCUCACAACCUACAGUCCACAAGUGAAUCUGAAUGAAAUCUCUAGCAUGUUUCCUCCUUUACAAAUUGACAUGUACCUCCUCUUCCGGUAAUAUGGGAGGGGACAUAAGGACCUCAACGUGGGUUAUUCUUCUGCCAACAUUUGAAAUAAGAGCAUCUAACGACCCAAAAGAAGUUUCUUCCACCAGAGAAGUCCCAAGCGUCCCUUCUGACCUAUAAUCGUCAAAUAUGGAUAUAAUGUUUAGUCAUACCUAAUCAUUAUUAAGUGAAGGAUGUUGAGAAUCAUGAGAUGACCCAGAUGAAGCUUCCACUUCUGAAUCACUAACUAAAUCGACAAUGUUGUCACUCAUCCUAACUAAGGAAACAAUAAAUACUGAAGGAGAAACUUGAGUUAGAAUAGUACCUGAUUAUAAGAGACUGAUGAAGCAAGAGGAAUGAAAAAGGAAAAAGCUUUAAGCGAAUAUUUAAAUUGUUUCUAGUGAUAUUAUUAAGGAAGAAGGAACGAAGUUGUUUCCCUAGAGAAGUAACUAAAAUCUGGAAAUCUAAAAGGUUGCGAAAACUUCAAAAAAUUUAACUGACUCUCUUUAUAAGCAAUAACAGUUGAAAUAUCAAGACCAAAUAUGAGCAUAGAUUACAAGAUUAAUGACUAGAAUUCCACUUAUGGAAACACACGAAACUCAAGUGCACCUAAGCACUUCAUGAACUGCACCACAUUCUAGCCGGUCACGUCAUCGCAUGUGUCAGGAAUUGGUGACUAUGUGUAUCAAUGAUGAUACAUCAUUAAAUGCAUUUGUUCCCCAUUAUUUUUCAAAAAAAAUUGAUCCCCAAGAGAUUCAAUUCUAUUCCACACCGAACUACGACAUGAAGGUCAGUCAAUAAUACUUAAGACUUUCCCUGCCUCCUUUAGUGUCCGACAAAGCCUUGGGGCAACUAUUAUAGACCGGCUAAAGGCCUAAUACAUCUCAAAUCCGCUCUACUCAACCCAAAAUAUAAAAACAAUUCACAUUCUAUUAGAAGGUACACAAUCUCUGAUAUUCAAUUUUAGUUUACUCAUCUUAAAUCUUGAACUGAUUUGAACGUUGAAGUGUUAACCAUGCAGGUCCAUCCCACCACCAUAAAGGAGAUCAACGUCACUAUUCAAGAUAAAUAGUUAUCAAACUCUCACCAUAUCUGGUUCCCGAAUGGAACACAAGGUAUCGAUAGCUCGACAUUGAGAACCUCGGGAGACUCAUGCCAUUGGAGGGCCUCCUCUUUUAAAGUCCCCACCAUGAACUUGUGUUUCAGUGAGUUCAUCGCUCCGAUAAUCGUCAUUUGUGUGCUAAUGACAAUGAUAUGCUAUCGAGGGUUGUUCUUUCCGUCGAACGUUAUCAUAUUCUACGAUUUGAAGUUGUUUGGAACUGGAACAUUCUACAUUUAGCAUAGAGUGGCCAGUGGAAGUUGCUGUUGAUGUUGGUCACAGACAUUGUUACAUUGUCCUACAGUGUUACAUUUUGACGACGCAACUCCUCACAGCGGAUAGCAUAUCCGAAAUGGUAGCUAGUUCAUUUUUGAACUGGUGGCAAACCUAACCAGUGUGAAUUAACUGGUGUUGGUAGCGUGAUUUGUAUGAAUGUAAUGAAAUUACUAUGAUAAAUAUUAACCUCUAAUAGAGGAGAUUUUUAUUAAGGAAAUUCCAAUGAUUUUAAAUUGUGUUGAUUAAGUGAAGUCUAUCAUACCACGCUAUUUUGAACAAUAUACUUAUCAUUUAUUUCAAUAGUGUAACUUUUUAUAAUUCAAAAUAGUCUCUUCUUUAUGACUUUAAUUUAAAUUUUUUAAUUAUAUAUUUAUUAAAAUAAUAAAAUUUUCAUUUUUUUAAAAGAAAAACAUAUUUUUCAAAUUAAUAUAUUAUUUAUUCCUAUAGUUUUCAAAUGUUAAAUUGAGAUAAGAGUAUAACUUGAUUAUCAAAUGUGUGGGUGUUUUUCCUUUGGGGCAGAGUGUAGAGUCGCUGUUGAUAAUCCAGUGAUACCAAAGACUUUCUAGCGUUAGAGGCCAUAUAUAAACUAUUAUAUGACAACGAAUUUGCGAGAACAAACAAAUAACAGAGGUUAUAAAACUGAGGUAAUAUACAAUAUAUAUUGCCUUUCUUGAAAGGAACUGCAAAAAGAUAGCAACCAAAAGGAACAAGAUACAUAGGACUUAUCAAUAUGCAUAGACUUGACUCAUCAUAAAAUUAUUAUGUGCAUAGACUCGUAGACUAACAAAGGAUUGAGAAAUGGUCUUGCAUUCUUGUUAAAGAAAAUAUUGAAGGUAUGUUGUUUCACACUAGAGUGUACCUUUGUUAUAAUGACCCAUUUUUUUGAUGAAUUUUAUUUAAAAUAUAUAUUAUUUUUUAUUUGAUUAUAAUUAUUAAAUGUAUUUUAUAUUAAAAAGGAGUGCAAUGUUUUUCUAUAGUAGUUAAUCUAUAAUGUUCGGUUCAAAAUUAGAAAUGAUCGGUAAAACGAUGAGACACUGUUUUAUCUUUCAGUGCGGUGGAGAGGAGGUUCAUCUGCAAAAUUAACAAGCUAGAGAAUAAUGAGUGAUGUAGGAGUGAUGAAUAAUUUAAAGAGAUUAAAAUAACAAGCUUUAUUUCUUAAAUAGUAUGAGUGAUUAAAAUUGUCUGCGAGGAGUGUGUUGUGCAAUGUGGACAAACGUCUGAUUGAUUAGAAUGCAAAAUUAUCACAAGUGACAGAAUUAUUUACUCUAACCGAUAAUGGAGGAACAUAUCUUUGAGGACGAAAAGUCAUAUUUAUUUCGUGGAAAGGAAAAUGUCAAUUCAAUAGUAAUCAUUGGUGAAGAGAAAACUAUGUAGAAUUAAUUAAUAUUAUCUAUUUAUAGUGCACAUGACUUUUAUAAAUUGAGAACUCAUAUAUUGUAGUAUUAAAUCAUCCUAUAAUAAUCCAAGAGUGUGAGUUAACAUUAUUUCUUCUCAUUCCUAUACUUUUGUCUCUUAUUUUAGCUGUGUUAAUAUUAUUUCAUUUUAAUACAGGAUUGCCUUUGUCUUCAAUUUCCACGGUGAGAAAUUACUUUCAUUGAACUUCUCAAUCUCAAAUUUUAUUGUCAUAGUAAUUUCAAUUGAACCGGCUUGCACAAUUUCACCGCAAAUAACAAAGUAUAUGUGGACAAUAUUGUAUAUUUUUACCGCACAUUAGAACAAAUAUGAUAUGUGUUAACAAUCACUGUAAAAGUAUACAAUAACACGUAUGAAUAAUAAUUGUGAACAAUAUUUGCAGCGGAAUAGAGACCAACACCAAUAACUCUGAUACCAUUGUUGGGUAAUAGAGUAACAUGAAAUAAUAUGAACACAACUAAAAUAAGAGACAAAAGUUUAGGAAUGAGAAGAAAUCAUGUUAACUCAAACUCUUGGAGGAUUAUAGGAUGAUUUAAUUCACUAUUCUGUAUCUAUUUAUAAUGCAUGAGACUCUUAUAAAUUGAGAACUCAUAUUGUAGUAUUAAAUCAUCCUAUAAUCAUCCAAGAGUUUGAGUUAAUAUUAUUUCUUCUCAUUCAUACACUCUUGUCACUUAUUUUAGAUGUGUUAAUAUUAUUUCAUUAUCCUGUUAUCCAACCGUGGUAUCAAAGCUAUUGGUGUUGAUCCUUAUUCCGCUGCAAAUAUUAUUUAUGAUUACUAUUCAUACCUGUUAUUGUAUACUUUUAUAGUGAUUGUUAACAUAUACCAUAUUUGUUCUACGAUGCAAUAAAAAUAUACAAUAUCAUCCACGUAUAUUUUGUUAUUCACGGUGAAAUUGUGCAAAUCAGUUCAAUUAAAAUUACCAUGACAACAAAAUUUGAGAUUUCUAGAAGUUCAACGAGAGUAAUUUCUCCCCGUGGAAACUGAAGAUAAAGGAAAUCCUGAGGAAGGAAAAUUUCUUAUAAGCGAUAGAAGAUAGGGCUGAAGAUAUAUCUUAUGAGAACACUACGCCAAAAACUGGAAUAGACAGCGCACCUUAGAGGGUGCUUUCUUAAAGAAGCGCACUCUAAAGUGAAGAGAAAAAUAAGGAGGAAUAGACAACGCACUUUAGAGGGCGCUUUUGUAACAAAGCGCCCUCCCCUAAAGUGAAGCGAAAAAAUAAUGAGGAAAUGGAGGGACACCAAUAGAGGGCGCGUUUAUGAAAGCGCCCUCCAAGGGUACCCUUAGAGGGCGCUUUAAAAAAGCGCUCUCUAAGUCCAUGUACAUUUCCAGUUUAUAAAGCGCUUUUGGAAAGCCUUAGAGAACGCUUUUUAAAGAAGCGCACUCUAAAGUGAAGAGAAAAAAUAAGGAGGAAUAGACAGCGCACUUUAGAGGGCGCUUUUGUAACAAAGCGCCCUCUAAAGUGAAGCGAAAAAAUAAUGAGGAAAUGGAGGGACACCAAUAGAGGGCGCGUUUAUGAAGCGCCCUCUAGGGUACCCUUAGAGGGCGCUUUUAAAAAAGCGCUCUCUAAGUCCAUGUACAUUUCCAGUUUAUAAAGCGCUUUUGGAAAGCCUUAGAGAGCUCUUUUAGAAGCGCCCUCUCAGGCCCCCUUUAGAGGCGCUUUUUUUACACAAGCGCCCUCUAAGGUCCCCUUUACUAAACAUUAAAAUUAUAACAUAUAUACUGCAUGUCCUCUUUAUUUUCCCUCUCUAUAUGCUAUUUCGUUUACGUAACUGGGUUUUCUCUCUACUGCGAUUACUCUCUACUGCGAUUACUCUCGUCCUCCGUUCGUUCUCCUCCCUCACCGUCGUCGUCGCCGUCGCCUUUUCUGCUACUGCGUUCACGUUCACUGAGUUAUCUGCGUCCACCGCCGCUGUUCACUUUCUUCUCCAUCGUUACCGUCACCUUGAAGGUAUUUCUCUUCUCCAUCGUUACCGUUCACUUUCUUCAGGUGUUGAUUAGGGCAUUUUCUAAACUGAGUUUUACAUUUUGUGCAUUAUGUUGAUUAAUGUUGUUUAGGGCAAACGAGCACUAUAUGGUGUUCAUGAGCACCUUGUUGUAAGGUUUUUUAUUUCUGAUUGAAAACUGAUGUCAUUUGGAGUGUGUUUGAGCUUGUGCUUGGAAGUUUGAUGAUUAUGGAUGCAAGUUUGUUAUGUUCCAAACACCAUAAGUUUGCAUUGGUCUUUUGUAUGCAGUAGGUGUGUGUGAGUUUGUAUUCAAUAAUGAUGAAAAAAAAAGAGUUUAGAUUGUUGUAACAUGAGAGAAAUGGAAGGUAUAUGAAUGUGUUUUUUGUGUAGCUUCACGAAUAUGGUCAUUGUCUUACUUGGUCUUAUUGAAUCAUUUCUAUAUUACAGAUAAAAUGGCUAACCAAGACGAUACCCAUGACGCGAGUGGAUCACGUAACAAUGUUGAAAAAGAAAUCAAACGAGGAUUGACUGUUAUGAAGUCAAUCAUUCGUGCAAGAGACAAGGGUGAAAAAUUCGAAGUACAUUGGAGUGCUGAAGACCAACUAAUUGAGCCUAACGGUUCAAUGUUGGCAAGUUACAUUGGUUUCCUUGUUCGACAACAUAUUCCGAUUACAUGUGAUAAUUGGAGAAGUCCGGANNNNNNNNNNNNNNNNNNNNNNNNNNNNNNNNNNNNNNNNNNNNNNNNNNNNNNNNNNNNNNNNNNNNNNNNNNNNNNNNNNNNNNNNNNNNNNNNNNNNNNNNNNNNNNNNNNNNNNNNNNNNNNNNNNNNNNNNNNNNNNNNNNNNNNNNNNNNNNNNNNNNNNNNNNNNNNNNNNNNNNNNNNNNNNNNNNNNNNNNNNNNNNNNNNNNNNNNNNNNNNNNNNNNNNNNNNNNNNNNNNNNNNNNNNNNNNNNNNNNNNNNNNNNNNNNNNNNNNNNNNNNNNNNNNNNNNNNNNNNNNNNNNNNNNNNNNNNNNNNNNNNNNNNNNNNNNNNNNNNNNNNNNNNNNNNNNNNNNNNNNNNNNNNNNNNNNNNNNNNNNNNNNNNNNNNNNNNNNNNNNNNNNNNNNNNNNNNNNNNNNNNNNNNNNNNNNNNNNNNNNNNNNNNNNNNNNNNNNNNNNNNNNNNNNNNNNNNNNNNNNNNNNNNNNNNNNNNNNNNNNNNNNNNNNNNNNNNNNNNNNNNNNNNNNNNNNNNNNNNNNNNNNNNNNNNNNNNNNNNNNNNNNNNNNNNNNNNNNNNNNNNNNNNNNNNNNNNNNNNNNNNNNNNNNNNNNNNNNNNNNNNNNNNNNNNNNNNNNNNNNNNNNNNNNNNNNNNNNNNNNNNNNNNNNNNNNNNNNNNNNNNNNNNNNNNNNNNNNNNNNNNNNNNNNNNNNNNNNNNNNNNNNNNNNNNNNNNNNNNNNNNNNNNNNNNNNNNNNNNNNNNNNNNNNNNNNNNNNNNNNNNNNNNNNNNNNNNNNNNNNNNNNNNNNNNNNNNNNNNNNNNNNNNNNNNNNNNNNNNNNNNNNNNNNNNNNNNNNNNNNNNNNNNNNNNNNNNNNNNNNNNNNNNNNNNNNNNNNNNNNNNNNNNNNNNNNNNNNNNNNNNNNNNNNNNNNNNNNNNNNNNNNNNNNNNNNNNNNNNNNNNNNNNNNNNNNNNNNNNNNNNNNNNNNNNNNNNNNNNNNNNNNNNNNNNNNNNNNNNNNNNNNNNNNNNNNNNNNNNNNNNNNNNNNNNNNNNNNNNNNNNNNNNNNNNNNNNNNNNNNNNNNNNNNNNNNNNNNNNNNNNNNNNNNNNNNNNNNNNNNNNNNNNNNNNNNNNNNNNNNNNNNNNNNNNNNNNNNNNNNNNNNNNNNNNNNNNNNNNNNNNNNNNNNNNNNNNNNNNNNNNNNNNNNNNNNNNNNNNNNNNNNNNNNNNNNNNNNNNNNNNNNNNNNNNNNNNNNNNNNNNNNNNNNNNNNNNNNNNNNNNNNNNNNNNNNNNNNNNNNNNNNNNNNNNNNNNNNNNNNNNNNNNNNNNNNNNNNNNNNNNNNNNNNNNNNNNNNNNNNNNNNNNNNNNNNNNNNNNNNNNNNNNNNNNNNNNNNNNNNNNNNNNNNNNNNNNNNNNNNNNNNNNNNNNNNNNNNNNNNNNNNNNNNNNNNNNNNNNNNNNNNNNNNNNNNNNNNNNNNNNNNNNNNNNNNNNNNNNNNNNNNNNNNNNNNNNNNNNNNNNNNNNNNNNNNNNNNNNNNNNNNNNNNNNNNNNNNNNNNNNNNNNNNNNNNNNNNNNNNNNNNNNNNNNNNNNNNNNNNNNNNNNNNNNNNNNNNNNNNNNNNNNNNNNNNNNNNNNNNNNNNNNNNNNNNNNNNNNNNNNNNNNNNNNNNNNNNNNNNNNNNNNNNNNNNNNNNNNNNNNNNNNNNNNNNNNNNNNNNNNNNNNNNNNNNNNNNNNNNNNNNNNNNNNNNNNNNNNNNNNNNNNNNNNNNNNNNNNNNNNNNNNNNNNNNNNNNNNNNNNNNNNNNNNNNNNNNNNNNNNNNNNNNNNNNNNNNNNNNNNNNNNNNNNNNNNNNNNNNNNNNNNNNNNNNNNNNNNNNNNNNNNNNNNNNNNNNNNNNNNNNNNNNNNNNNNNNNNNNNNNNNNNNNNNNNNNNNNNNNNNNNNNNNNNNNNNNNNNNNNNNNNNNNNNNNNNNNNNNNNNNNNNNNNNNNNNNNNNNNNNNNNNNNNNNNNNNNNNNNNNNNNNNNNNNNNNNNNNNNNNNNNNNNNNNNNNNNNNNNNNNNNNNNNNNNNNNNNNNNNNNNNNNNNNNNNNNNNNNNNNNNNNNNNNNNNNNNNNNNNNNNNNNNNNNNNNNNNNNNNNNNNNNNNNNNNNNNNNNNNNNNNNNNNNNNNNNNNNNNNNNNNNNNNNNNNNNNNNNNNNNNNNNNNNNNNNNNNNNNNNNNNNNNNNNNNNNNNNNNNNNNNNNNNNNNNNNNNNNNNNNNNNNNNNNNNNNNNNNNNNNNNNNNNNNNNNNNNNNNNNNNNNNNNNNNNNNNNNNNNNNNNNNNNNNNNNNNNNNNNNNNNNNNNNNNNNNNNNNNNNNNNNNNNNNNNNNNNNNNNNNNNNNNNNNNNNNNNNNNNNNNNNNNNNNNNNNNNNNNNNNNNNNNNNNNNNNNNNNNNNNNNNNNNNNNNNNNNNNNNNNNNNNNNNNNNNNNNNNNNNNNNNNNNNNNNNNNNNNNNNNNNNNNNNNNNNNNNNNNNNNNNNNNNNNNNNNNNNNNNNNNNNNNNNNNNNNNNNNNNNNNNNNNNNNNNNNNNNNNNNNNNNNNNNNNNNNNNNNNNNNNNNNNNNNNNNNNNNNNNNNNNNNNNNNNNNNNNNNNNNNNNNNNNNNNNNNNNNNNNNNNNNNNNNNNNNNNNNNNNNNNNNNNNNNNNNNNNNNNNNNNNNNNNNNNNNNNNNNNNNNNNNNNNNNNNNNNNNNNNNNNNNNNNNNNNNNNNNNNNNNNNNNNNNNNNNNNNNNNNNNNNNNNNNNNNNNNNNNNNNNNNNNNNNNNNNNNNNNNNNNNNNNNNNNNNNNNNNNNNNNNNNNNNNNNNNNNNNNNNNNNNNNNNNNNNNNNNNNNNNNNNNNNNNNNNNNNNNNNNNNNNNNNNNNNNNNNNNNNNNNNNNNNNNNNNNNNNNNNNNNNNNNNNNNNNNNNNNNNNNNNNNNNNNNNNNNNNNNNNNNNNNNNNNNNNNNNNNNNNNNNNNNNNNNNNNNNNNNNNNNNNNNNNNNNNNNNNNNNNNNNNNNNNNNNNNNNNNNNNNNNNNNNNNNNNNNNNNNNNNNNNNNNNNNNNNNNNNNNNNNNNNNNNNNNNNNNNNNNNNNNNNNNNNNNNNNNNNNNNNNNNNNNNNNNNNNNNNNNNNNNNNNNNNNNNNNNNNNNNNNNNNNNNNNNNNNNNNNNNNNNNNNNNNNNNNNNNNNNNNNNNNNNNNNNNNNNNNNNNNNNNNNNNNNNNNNNNNNNNNNNNNNNNNNNNNNNNNNNNNNNNNNNNNNNNNNNNNNNNNNNNNNNNNNNNNNNNNNNNNNNNNNNNNNNNNNNNNNNNNNNNNNNNNNNNNNNNNNNNNNNNNNNNNNGCCUUUUUCAGAAAGCGCCUCUAAGGUGGCCCUUUAUAUGGACAUUCCAGAGGGGCGCUUUUUUCUGGAAAGCGCACUAUAAUGUGGCCUAAAGGCCACUAUAGACAGCGCUUUCUCCAGGAAAACAAAGCGCUGUCUUUACCUAUGCCAGCGCCACUUUAGAGGGCGCUUAAAAGCGCUGUUAUAGGCCAAAAUAAGCGCCCUCUUUUCCCUUAUUUGGCGUAGUGGAAAUGGAAUAAGGUGGAUAACAACGAUGUUGCCAAUUUACACUUAGCAUUGGCAGAUUCAGUUUUAUCUUGCGUUGCAGAAGAGAAUGAACUGCAGAGGGAGCAGGAAAAUGUCAACACUUCUAAAGAUAUCAUUACUGCUCAUAUAGAUGGAAAGUCUAUAGAAGAUGAUUCUUUUGAAGCAAAACCACAACACCAGGUACAAGAACCAGAGGAUCCUGAUGGUGUUGAAGUUCGACGAUCAACACGUCAGAAAAGGAAACUAAAUUGGCAGUCACACCAUUUUAUGGCAAGCCAUGAUGCAUAUUAUCUUCUAACAGAAGAUAGAGAACCAUCAAUCUUUCAAGAGGCUGUGAGUUACUCAGAUGCUUCUUUGUGGGUGGCAGCAACGCCAGAAGAAAGGGAAGCCUUACAUAGAAAUAAGACAUGGGAACUUGUUGUACUUUCAGAGGGUCGGAAAUCCAUCAACAACAAAUGGGUAUACAAGAUUAAGCAUGAUGGUAAUGAUCAAGUGGAAAGAUAUCAUGCAAAAAUUGUGGUUAAAAGAUAUGCUAAAUAGGAAGGAAUUGAUUUCAAUAAAAUAUCAUCUCCGAUGGUUAGACUUACCACUAAUAGAGUAGUGUUAGCUAUGUGUGCUGCUUAUGAUUUACAUCUUAAACAAUUGGAUGUAAAGACUUCUUUUCUUCAUGGUGAACUUCAAGAAGAAAUAUAUAUGCUUAAACUAGAAGGUUUUGAAGAAAAAGGAAAAGAAAACUUGGUUUGUAUAUUGACCAAAUCUCUGUACGGUUUAAAGAAAGUGCCAAGGUGUUGGUACAAGAAAUUUUGUUCCUUCAUUAUUAGUCUUGGGUACAACAGGCUGAGCUCAGACCAUUGCACAUAUUACAAGAGAUUUGAGGAAAAUGAGUUCAUCAUUUUGUUGUUGUAUGUAGAUGACAUGUUGGUAAUAGGCCCCAACAAAGAUCGAAUCCAAGAAUUGAAGGCAUAAUUAGCUAGGGAUUUCGACAUUAAGGACUUGGGACCCAUAAAUAAGAUUCUAGGGAUGCAAAUUCACUGAGACAUAAAAGAUAGGAAUAUUUGGCUCUCUCAGAAUAAUUAUCUUUGAAAAUUCUUGCAACGAUUAAAGAUGCAAGACUGUAAGCCAAUCUCUACCCCACUUCUUGUCAACUAUAAAUUAUCGUCGAGUAUGUAUCUUAGCAAUGAAACAAAGAGGAUAUAAAUGUCUUGAGUAUCGUAUGCAUCAGUUGUGGGAAGCCGUAUGUAAGCAAUGAUUUGUACUAGAGCAAAUAUUGCUUAAGUAGUUGAGACGAUCAACUGGUUUAUGGCAGAUCCAAGUAAAGAGCAUUGAAAUUUUGUGAAGAGGAUCAUGAGAUUCAUUAAAGACACCUCAGAUGUUGUAUUAUGUUUUGUAGGAUUUGAGUUUGUUGUCAGAGGAUAUGUUGAUUCAGAUUAUGUAGGUGAUCUUGACAAAAGAAAAUCUACUACUGGCUAUGUGUUUAUACUUGUAGGAGGAGCAGUGAGCUGGUUAUCCAAAUUGCAGACUGUUGUAGCUCUAUCUACUACAAAAGCUAAAUAUAUGGCAGUUACCCAAGCAUGCAAGGAAGCUAUAUAGAUUCAAAAGUUAUUGGAAGAGCUCGGACACAAAUAACAGAAAAUUGUUGUGUAUUGGGACAGUCAGAGUGCCUUGCACAUUACAAGAAAUCCAACUUUUCAUUCUAGGACAAAGCACAUAGGAGUUCAAUAUCAUUUCGUUCGCAAAGUAGUAUAGGAAGGGAGUGUGUACAUGCAGAAGAUUCGCACUAAAGAUAAUCUAGCAGAUAUUAUGAUAAAGUUAAUCAAUGCUGACAAGUUUAUUUGGUGUACGUCCUCUCAUGUCGUAACAACAUGGAAUUGACAAGUUGAAAAAUAAAUAAAUUUGGAAUCAAAUGGAAUGACUUUAAGUGGGAGAUUAUGAGAACGUAAAUUCAUAUUUGUUACGUGGAAAAGAAAAGGCCAAUUCAAUAGUAAUCAUUGGUGAAGAGAAAACUAUGUGCAAUUUAUUAAUAUGUAUCUAUUUAUAGUACACGAGACUCUUAUAAAUUGAGAUAUUGUAGUGUUAAAUCAUCCUAUAGUCAUCCAAGAGUUUGAGUUAAUAUUAUUUCUUCUCAUUCUUACACUUUUGUCUCUUAUUUUAACUCUUAUUUUAACUGUGUUAAUAUUAUUUCGUUAAUAUUAUUUCAUGUUACUCUAUUACCAACAAUAUCCUCAUGUUUGUUUUCAUUCAGGGUCUUUUGUCUUGGACAAUGUGAGCGGAGUCUAGAACAUAUAGUAUUUAAGUAUUUGAGACAUUAUUAAUCAGACACAAAUUUGACCUCUCUAAUGAACAUGUGAAUUAGAAUGAGAUUUAAUUCAUGACCAUUAAACUUUUUGUUAAUUUUUAAAAAAUUUAUUUAGAAUUUGAAGUCAUAUAAAUUUAAGACCUCAUUUAACAAAAUAGUUGCAAAAACAUUAAACCAAAUGUUAUUGAGUUACUUAUAAAAUCAAUACCGCCUCUUAAAUGAAGUGACUAUAAAAAUGCAAAUAACAUUGUGUAAGAGAGUUUUGGAUAAUUAUACGAGAGUAUACAAACUUUUAAGAUUGGCUCUUAAAGGUAUUUGCAUCACUUUUUAACUUUUGAGAUUGGCUCUAAAUUAUAAAAAUAUUUAACAAAAUAUAAUAUGAUCAUUUUUAAAAUUAAUAAGUACGUAGUUUAUUUUUAAAAAAUAUAUUGUUUUAAAGUAUAUUAUUGUCAUACUCUAAUUUUAUUCCACUAAAAUUUUCUUCAAUAUUCUUAAUUCAUUAAUUCAUGUGUACCUUGCAUCCAUUGCAUUUUCUUAAAAUAAACUUCUAUAUGUUGAGAACAAGGAUCGUUUGACCACUUUCAUCUUUUCAUUGCAUUUUGCAUUUAGAACUCUUAAGAUCAUGUUUGAAAAAUAAAUAGAAAAUGCACAUUUGUUUUAUUUACUAUUAUCCCUUGCCUUUUCUUUUAUCCUCAUCAUUUCAGUCUACCAUAAAUCAUAUUAAUAAGUCAUUUAAGUCAUGUGACUCAUGUACAUUUUAAUAUCUGUUCCAUCAUUUACACCCUCCCAUUAUCAUUCCAAAUUAAAACUCAAAGUAUAUGGAAUUCAUGUCAUAACCAUGUUCAAAUCACAUCACUCAUAACCAAAUUAUUUUUGAACCAUCAUCUCACCAUAAAUAAAUCAUUCUACUUUUGAAAUCAUGAAAUGAAGUUCAACUUUAAGUAAAAGGUGAAGUUCCAAGUGAAAACCAUAAAGAAAAAAAAACAAUUUAAAAUAAAAAUAGAGGUGAAUUGAAAGAAAAUAAUUUGAAUUAAAGUGAAGGAUACAUAUUUAAACUCACAGAAAGAUAUUAAAAUUAUAUUAGAAACUAAAAUGCAACACUUAUUAUAAAAUAGUUAUUUUGAGAUUAUUAUAAAUAAAAUGAACCCUAAAUUAUAUAAUCAUAACUAUGAGAUCAAUGUUAUGUAGUUUAAAAAUUACAUAAGUUAUCAAAAUAGAUCCAAGAUAUCAAUAUGCAUCCAAAAUACCGAGUUAAUAAGUUUUAGAAUAAUAGCACAGAUAUUGACAAAACAACAUUAUUUUUUUUUACCAAAAUUCAAACCAAUAAUCAGUAGGAUAAAAGGUAAAUGAGAUUAGUAACUUUUCAAAUUUAUCAAACUAAGCAUAUACUCUAUUUUCAGAAGAAGAAAAAAAAUGCAGAGGAGCCAAAAACAUAACUUGAGAAGAACAAAUGCAUAGUGAAAAAUAAAAACGAAAAAGAAAGUGGAAAAACCGACCAAAAUGGGAUCGGAAACGGCGUCUGGAGACAGUGAUUUGCGUGUGGGGUAUAUUUAGGAAGGAGUAGAAUAUCAAGUAUGUUUCAAAAGAUAUUUAAGAUCAUAUUAAUUUAAAUAUAAGUGAAUUAUUAAAUAAUUGAUAAAUAUAAAAUAAUUGAAAAUUGACUCCAUUUAUACAUCAAUUUGAGUGGUAUAUAUAUGGAUUAAGUAGAAUUAGUUAUCUUCUCGAGGAACAAAGAUAACAAUACUUUUUUCAAAAGAUAGUUUCAUCCUCAAUUUCGUUCGUGAAGCUUGAUACGUAACUCUGAUCAUCCAUGUUCUAAUACAUACCUUUACAAUAUGACAAGCAAUUAGUUUGAAAAAUAAUGCACCGGAAAUCCAAAUCAAUGAUUUAUGUGUUAGCGAAGUGGAAACUGAAAAAGUUUGCAUUGGUUGAAAGAAAAUACAAUUGGAUUUGACUUGUGAUGAGAAAGAGUUUUGGGGGGAAAUUGUAAUGGUCGAUUUUAAUUGAGUUAUGUUUUAAAAUUAUUUUGAGUUUUAUAAGUUUUUAUGUGUGUUCUAACAAAUUGCCAUAGACAAAUGUAAUUUUGGAUAUGUCUGUCAUUUUGUACUGAGAACAUAAGCAUGUUCAAAUUCCCAAAAUAUAUGAGUACACUUUGAACCUAACCUAUGAAUGAAUUUACAGUCUUCAUAUAUAUUAUGUGUUUUGCGAUGAAUUUAAACAAGUACAGCAUGUUAUGCGAAAAAUUGCGGGAGAUCCACUAAGGGAGCCUUGUUGUAUGCUAACCGCAAUCUGGUGCACUUUGGUGGCUUAGCGAGAAUUCUUGUAGCUAAGCGGGGAUGUCUGAAAAACCAUUUCUACUCUGAUGAUCUGAGGGCAUGCCAAACUUUUUUUAGAGGGGUGAAAUGGAAGAAAUAUCAAAUUAGGGCACUACAACAAACAAGAUCUUAGACAGCGCUUUUUUUAGCCUUAGACAGCGCUUUAAAGCGCUGUCUAAACCUCCGCUGCUAAAGGUUUAGAUAGCGCUGUUUUAAAUCUUAAAAGCGUUGUCUAAGCCCCCCCCCCUUAGACAGCGCUUUGGCCAAAAGCGCUUUAUAAGACCCUCUUAUUUUAAAAUUUUUAGGUAUACCUUAGACAGCGCUUUUCAAAAGCGCUGUCUAAGCCCCACCCCCUUAGACAGCGCUUUGGCCAAAAGCGCUUUCUAAAACCCUCCUAUUUUAAUUUUUUUAGGUAUACCUUAGACAGCGCUUUUCAAAAAGCGCUGUCUAAGCCCCCCCCUUAGACAGCGCUUUUGCCUAAAGCGCUUUCUAAUCCCCCCCUUAGACAGCGCUUUUUACAAAAGCGCUGUCUAAGGUAUACGAAAAUUUUUGAAGCUUUUGUUUUAAACCACAUUUUUUCCAGGUUUAUAAACCAGAAUUUCUACCUGUUUUCAACCAGAUUUUGACAGACAAUUAUCACAUUUUAUAUAUGCCAUUUUGGCCUUUUUUCUACCAAUUUUUGGCUAACAAAUAUAUAUAUAUACCAAUUCAAACCAAUUUUGCCUUAAAUGUAUCAAAAUAUAUACAAAUUUAUGUACACAUUUACAAGUCAUUACAUAUACUACAAAUGUACACAUUAAUUACACAAAUUUAUGAACAAACAUUGAGCUCUAUCAUGAAUUGACACCACUCCUCUUUGAUUUCGUCCACUUGAUCCUUUGUAUAAAAUGCACACUUGAAUUCCUCAAAGUACUACAUAAUAAUAUAACAUAUUUUGAAUUAAUUCCAACUAUUUAAUUAUAUGAGAUAUGUGUAAAUAUAAAAAUAACUCAUAAGUUAGAAAUACAUACAUCGGUGGGAAUCUUUAAUCGGCCCAAAGCAAGAGUAUCUCGCAUAAACCUCAACAUGAAAUACCCGCAAUCUAUUUGAUUACGUUGUUGAGGACACUACAUAUGAAAAAAAAAUAUGGAUUAUAAAUCCUAAGUUUUAUCAAGUGUCAUCACUAAUAUAAUAAAAAAUGUGGUAAUUAAAAAUAUACCGCCACUUUAAUCCAUGUAAUGGAGUUGGCGCCCCUCCUUGAGGUUUGGAUAUCUCGUUGGGCCCGAAAAGCUUGUAGGACGCUAAUAAAAUAAAAAUGAAGCAAUUAGAACAAUUCACAUAAACUAAGAAAAAUUUUGAACAUUCUCACUUACGUGUCAAUUAGGACCUUCAUAUCCGGGUAUGUUGUCCAAUCAUUUCCUAACGAGUCAAGAUAAUACACAAUUUCUCGGAUAGGAUUGAUUGCGAGCAACAACCAAUGUCCACUGUAAUGAUUAGGCAAAUGUUAGAUGGUAACUUGGAAAAUAAUUAUAAUAGAUGAAUUUAGAAUGAAAUGCUAACCCGGUAUUAAACGGUAUAAAAAACAACUUCUCCGCAUCUUUAUUGUCCAUGAGGAUCCGAAGAACGUACUCCGUCACGGUAUCCGGUCUACUUAAGAUUAAACCUAAGUUGACGGUCGCGGGUGCUAAGAAUCCGAAUGACACGUCCAAACCAUUGGGGCGCAUCAAUUUGUCAUACAAAAACCUAAUAUAAAAACAUCAUUAACACCUCUUUUGAAACAUAAAGUAAACCGGAUUAACAUAAAGUAAACAUCAUUAACAUAAGUUGUUUAAUUAAUAAAACAAAGUAGACCGGAUUUACCUAAUAUAUGUAUUGACAACGGUGACGCCGAUUUCUUCAUGACUAAAAACUUGCAUGAAGUCUUCAUUACCAAUCAUUUGGUCGUAAUCAAAGCCGAAAAUCCCUACCUCCAUAUGUACAGUCCGAACACCUCCGGUCGGUAUAUCGGUCAUCUCUAGAAAUGUCCUGAGGCACGACCUAUACUUGGUGGUAGGUUUUUUCCUAGCUACGGUCUUCUUAGCACCAAAACUUUUUACCCGUGCGGAGGCGUUGCUAACCUCCUUUUUUUGUUGUGCGGAGGCAUUGCUAACCUCAUUUUCUUGAAGCUACAUGUCAUAUAAAUAGUUAGAUCAAAUUAAGAAUGUAACAACUUCCAUGAAUAUAUGUCAUAUAAUUGUAUAUUACCUCUUUUUUUGAAGCUUUUGUUUUAAACCACAUUUUUUCCAGGUUUAUAAACCAGAAUUUCUACCUGUUUUCAACCAGAAUUUCUAUAUUCAACAUAAGACAAUAAAAAAUAAUUAAUAAAAUCAAGGGAUUGUGAUGUAAAACAUAUAUCUCCUACAUAUACUGAAGAAAUAUAUCCGUUAAUACAAAGAGGUAGUGAUUGUUAGAAAGUACCUGUACAACUGAGUAGAUUCGCAAAAAUGCUAGAAGACUCGCAAAGACGUCUCCAAAUAUAAAACUGAGUAGAGUAAACAUCAAGACUAGAAUGACAACAGCUCCAAUAAACAUAACAAAUUUGAGGAACAAAACAUAACCUAAAAACAAGUUAAAUCAAUUUCAAAUUAUCACUUCAUAAAGAGAAUUUAAUACUUUAUACACUAUAAAAACCCAUGCAUUAAGAGAGAAUUUAACUAGUCGAUUAAUAAGUAACAAAGGCAUGUGAUUGAUGGUCAAAGCAUCUUCCUGAACAAAUAUUGACUAUAUAUCUAUUAUGUAUGCUAUGUUGUGAAAUACUCUUCUCAUGGCAAAUCCAAAUAAUGCAUUAUACUAUGUUGUUGAAUUAAAUGUGAAAACUCUUUGUAUCUUGGAAAUGCAUGGGCAAGUAAGAGAAAAUAAAGCAGCACCCCUUUAAUCAAAAGUCCCUUAUUCAUCAUGUGUAAACUAUGCACCAUACUAUUGGGACUGCUUUUAAUAUUCUCAUGUACUGCAUUAUCUUGCCACUUAGAGCAACUUUUUAACUUCAUGAGAUUGAAAUAUAGGAAAAACAAUUGGACUUGUAUAAACUAACGUGCAAAUAAGGACAAUUAUAGUGGCUCUGCCACUCUAUAAAGAAAACAGGAUACAAACCAAUAAAUAUAUAAACAAAAUAAAAAAAAAUUAAACAAUAAUAACAUAUUAUGUCAAUUACACUGUUGUCGAUGAUGGAUGACGGUCCAUGGCGAGAACCAAAAUCCUGCAAUACCGACCGUUUUGCGAAAGAUCCUGCAAUACGAAAUCAUGAUUUAUAAAUGUUUCAGUCAUUACUAUACUUAUUAAACUUAAAAAAUGUGAGAAGCUUACCCGUAAUAAAGUAUCAAGUUCAACAACCUUGUCAUGAACAUUGAAAACAACUUCAUCAUUGUAGCUAGCUAGCUAGCUGGCUAAUCAAUUUGAUUUAACUAAAAUGAGUCAAAUAUAACAAAUAUGGAAGUAUCUAAGUUUGACAUGCACAUUGAAGAUUUUUAUAUUGAUUGGAUGAAAUACUUAAAUGGUGAUUACAAUCCUAAUAACAUAUUUGUAGGAAACUUAAUAAUUUCAACUAUGGUAGGAUAUUUUGAUAUUGGUCCUCCAUUAUUUCAAUGUCCUUAUUGUGGAGCAAAUAGGUACAGUGAGAAAAUGAAUAAAACAACGAGAUGCUACAUAUUCAAAGUUUAAAAUAUAUUUUGAAAAUGGAAAGGUUCAACUCUCACCACCUACAACUUUGCACAUGACAAAUUUAUCACAUCUCAAACUAUUUAACAAUUCGCACAACAACAUAUGUAGUUUUCCAAAUUCAACAUAUCACUAUGUUCUAGUUCAAUAAUUGUCGAUCUAAGUUCUAGUUCAAGAACAGUAAGUCUAUAUGUCUAGAAUAUUUAUUGAAAAUUAGAUCAAUUUUAGUAUUACUUUUAAUUUCAAAUUCUUACACUUGAAAUGAAAAAAUAGUUAGAUGAAUAAUGUCACAAUCUUGUAUUAGUAAGACUGCUUGAAAAUGCACAUCAUGAACAAGGAACUCCCACAAAAGAGAAUACUGUACUACUAAUAAAUAACAUGAUGUUACUAAAGUGUGUUUGAUCAAAGUACCCAUCAAGCCAAUCAUCUCCUCACUAUUGUCUUGUGUUAUUUGCAACUCCAAAGUCACCUGUCAAAAAAUUUGAACAAAACAUUGAUCAAUGUUAUCUACAAUAGAGAAAGAAGAAUUCUAGAUAGUAAUGUACCUAAAUCAUUUAGCUUGUAACUCUUACUAAAUACUAAUACAAAGCACAUGAACAUUUAGCCAAAGUAAUAUAGAUUGGUAUUGAUUUCAGAAAAAGAGAGUUAUAUGGCUUGCCUAAAAUUAUGAUAUCAACUUGUUUGUAAUUCCUUCUUAAUGAGAACAAGAAAAUGCACGUUGGACAACAAAUUAGUACCCCUUCAGAAAAUUUGAAAUUAAACAUGCUCACCUCUUUGGAAAUGUUGAUAUGUGAAGUUUCCACAAACCCUGCAUCAAAACCAAAAACUAAGUUACCAAGAAGAUAUUUAACAUGUAGAAACCACUUGAAGCUAGAGAGAUGUUUCUUAAUACUAGAGUACAUCAAAUCAAUUAAUAUACAAGCAGUAGUUCUAAAAGAGUAUUUUCAUAUAAAAAAGUUUCAUAAAAUACAAAAAUGGACAACACAGUGUAUACACGUUUUUACAAUAAAAAGUUGUGGCGUGAUUGAUUAAUUCAAUGAUUUAAAACCAAUUUUUUGAACAGGUUGAUGGAUUCUACAUUUAAUUCUCCAAUUUUAAACUCAAAGAUAUUGAUUCCCAACUCAAUAUCAAAGGUCAUCAUCAUCAGAAUAGAUUAAUUUCCAAGUACUUUGCCACAACUAUGAUAACAAAGUCAUUAAAAGUGAAAUCAAAGAGAUUUAAUACUUACUUCACCAAUAGUGGCUGCAAAUAUCAUAAACAAGUAUAUUAGUCUCCAAUACCCUUUUUGGAAAGUCUCCUUGUUGAGAUCAUGCGACCAUGAGAGUUGCCUUUCAUGCCCUUGUUGGAAAGGGGUUCAGAUGCAGUAGCUUGAAGGAGGGAAGGACUUUGCAUCCAUUUAUGAUAUUUGGGGACAUAGCGUUCCAUCUAAGGGACAUAUAUCAUCUUCUUUCCUUCCAAACUCACGCCCAUUUUCUUGUUCGUCGCCGUCAUCCCACGGAGCAAUUUCUCUCAUCCUCGCACACUCAGACUCACUCAUUAAUAUUUUUCGGCAAUUUGGAGGAGACGUGAGUUUUGUAAAAUGGAAAAGCCAUGGUUUGGAGGAAUAGAGGAAGAAGGAAACAAAAUUCAAGAUUUUAGGGUUUGACGGAAAUGUUUGAGAUCUAUGUGCAGGGAGUGGAAAUCAAAGGUUAUCGCUAUUAAAGAAUCUAACAAUCUUAGUACUUUUGAUAUUACAAAAUUGUUUGGAAACUUAGUCGAGCAUGAAAAUAAACUGAAAUGACUCGUUGAUAGCGAAGUAAAGAUGAAAAAGAAAGAGAAAGGUAAAGAAGAGAAACAAGAUAUUUCUUUGAAAGCUUCGUCAUAUAAGAAGUCAAAGGAAGAAAGUGACAACUCUGACAAAGAAGUUUCUAAAAAGGAAGAUAUGAGUUUAUUCGUCAGAUGCUACAAUAGAUACUUAAAGAGAAACAAGCUAAAGCAUACCGACAAAGGUCUGGUAAAUUUCAGAAAUACACACCCGCCUAAGAAAGAACAUAAGAAAAAGGAUAAUGAUAACACAUGUUAUGAGUGCGGAAAAUCAGGACAUUUUAGAACCAACUGUCCAAGUCUCACCAAACAUCAUAAUAAAAAAGAUAAAGAAUUCUACAAGAUGAAAGGAAAAAGCUUCAAAGUUUUUAUAGCCUAUAUCGCGUGGGGAAGAAGAGGAUGAGAGCUCAUCCUCUGAUUCUUGCUCAAUUUCAGAUGAUGAGUGUUCCAACCUAUGUUUGAUAGCAUAUAAGAAAGGUGAAACUUCAAAGAUAUAUACUUCUGAUUUUGAUAAUGAAUAUUCUUAUAGUGAAUUGUUGAAGGAGGUCAAUGAUAUGUAUACAGAUUCCAUAUAUGCUUUUAAGAAUAUUUCUCUCCAAAAAGAAAUGAUUUUAAAACUUGAAGAGCAUAUAAACAAUCUUAAUCACACUUUGGAUACUCUUAAGGAAGCACAUACAUCUCUAGUUGAUGAUCGUUAUCAUGUUUCACUUUAGUUGAAAAGAUGGAAAUAGUGGAUUGUGUUAAGUGUCAAUUUUUAAAAAGUGAAAUUGAAACUCUCAAAGGAUAACUAACACAUUAUACUUCACCAUCUUGUACUUGUUCCAGAUCUUCGAGUGAUAGAGGGACGACUUUCAAGAAAAAUCCUCAUGUCACUAGAAUAAAUAGAAAAAACAUUUCAGCUAAAAUUAUUCGUUAUUCUUGUGGUGAUAAGGGUUACAUUAGACCUCUUUGUCAUAUUAGGGAUGUUCAAGUUCCCAAUGGUAAAAUGACACAAAUUCCUAAGGGUACCUCAACUAAUCUCAAAAGACUCAACUAAAAUUGGGUACCUAGUUAUAUCUAUUGUUGUUUUGUGCACGAGUGUCUAGGAAUCUUUAUGAUUUCUCAAGACAAGUAAAGAAAGAUGAAUUUAAUCAUAUUUUUAAUCGUAUUGUAUUCUUUUUGCUUUAUUAGUGUUGUUAUUUGCUAAUGUUACUUGUGCGAAAAGUUUAGUCUUAGAUCAUCGUAAUUGAUAUGAUCGUUUCAUUCUCCUUUCGUGUAGUUUCACUUUAUUUAUCUUAUUUUCUUUUAAUUGUUUUCAUUACAUUAUGAUCAUUCAACUAUAUUUCAUUUGCAUCAAAAUCAUGAUUUAGUUGCAUUAAAAUCUUUUUCAUUAAAUUCACCCUGUAUCAAACGAUUUUUGCAUUAAAGUUUUUUUUAAAGCAAAACAUGUUCAUUCUAGUUCUAAUUUACCUUGACGAUAUUAUUUUCGGUUCUACUAAAGAAUCUCUUUGUCAAGAUUUUUCUAGUUUGACGUGGAGAAUUUGAGAUAUCUCUUAUGGGAGAGCUGACAUAUUUCUUAGGAUUGCAAAUCAAGCAAACCGAAGAAUUCACUUUCAUAAGUCAAACAAAAUACUGCUUAGAGCUUCUCAAGAAAAUCAAUAUGAAAGAUUCGAGAAGCAUCUUAACACCAAUGGCAUAAAAUAUGCUUAUUGACAAAGAUAAAAGAGGAGAGGAUUUUGACAUAACCAUGUAUAGAGGUAUAAUCAAAUCCUUAAUCUAUUUAACCGUGAGUAUGCCAAAUAUCAUGUUUAUUGUGAGCAUGUGUGCUAGAUAUCAAACAUCACUAAUGAAUCCCAUUUAAUAUAAUAAAAUGUAUUUUGAUGUAUCUUAAUGAAACCUCCCAUCAGGGUCUUUCGUAUCUUAAAGGUAGAGCUUGUAGCUUGGUAGGUUUUUAUGAUUCUUAUUUUGCGGGGUGCAAGUCGGAUAGGAAAAUAACUAGUGGUACUUGUUACUUAUUUGGAAGAUGUUUAGUUUUUUUGGUACAAUAAGAAGCAGCGUAGUGUUGCUCUUUCUACCGCCAAGGCUUAAUAUGUAGCCGCUGGUAGUUGUUGUGCAAAAAUUGUACGGCUAAAGCAACAAUUGCUAGAUUAUGAUUAAAAACUUGGCUGCAUUUUGAUUAAGUGUGAUAGUACUAGUGCAAUAAGUCUCACUAAGAAUCAAUUACUUCAUUUACCGACGAAACAUAUUGAGAUCCGACACCAUUUUCUUAGGGAUCAUUUGGAAAAAAGGUGAUUUUGUUUUUUAAUUUGUUCACACUAAAAGUCAACUUGCUGACAUUUUUACAAAAUCACUGUCAUUGUAUCCCUUUCACAAGAUGCGUAGGGAUUUGGGAGUCUUAGAGUCUUCAUGCUUUAAAUAGAAUACAUAUUUUUUAAAAUUUAAUUUGUUAUAUUUUGAUUUCACUAACACUAUCUUGUAUCAAAUCAUAGUUCUUAUUGACCACAAUGGUACGUCUCUAUAACUUGUGUAUCUGAUUUUAUAUCAAUGUAUGUGUUUGUUCUAGAGUUAUGCAUUGUUUAUUAUUAACUUCUUCAUUAUACCAAUUUCAUCUCUAACAUAUAUUCUUGAUCUAUCUACUUUGCAUUUAAGUCUCUUUAAAUGUGUAUUCCUAAUUAUGUGCGUUUGAUCAUUUGUAUACUUGUUCGUGAAUUAUUUAUGUUGUUAAUUAAUUCCUUUACAUAAUAGUUUUAGUCACUCAAUUAUUUGUUGUUAAAUGUUGGUAUUACAUGUCUAUUUGCAUUUCGUUGCAUAUAGCAUGUCUAUCUUCGUGUUCUAUAUCUGAUACUUGUUGUUGUAUAUUUUUCUUAGUUGUUUAGCUCAUAUGUUAUUAUGUAAUUAUUUGUUUGUGGUUGUUCAUUUGAUUUUUAGACGCAUUCCGAUCUAUAUCUUUUUGAUGUUGUCAAAAGGGAAGAAAUUGUAAUGUGAGUCUAUAAUUGCUUUAUGUGUGUUAUUUUGUGGCUUGUAUGCAAUGUUUCAGGGGAAACAUAAGUGUUUUUGUGUUUUGUUCAAAGUUGGCUUAAUUCCAAGUGAAAUCUUGCCAAGCAUAAAAAAGGGAGAGAAUGUACUUACAUGUCUCUAAUACAUUUAGAGGUAGCACCCCAAUACAAUUAUGUUGUUGCUUUUCUUAUCUCUUUCAUUUUUAAUUACUUUCGAUUAUUGAGUCUCCUUCAUGAUUGCACUUAUCUUGAAUUGGUUUUGAAAUGAUUUGUUUUUAGCAUGCAUAAACCAAUAUUUAUGUUUGAACUUGAUCAAGAUGCUUUUAGUCAAUUGCAUCAAUCAGUGGAAUAAGAACCAUAUAUGUUACUAAUUCAAGUUAGGUGGAAAGAAAAAUCUCAAAGUGUUUUGAAAAUUAUGAAAAAUUGAAAUUUUGUGUGUUUGAUUCGAAUCAAGCACAUAUCCUAACUUGAAUAAAAUAGAACAGAGGUCAACCAAAAAAUUUCAAACACCCUGAUUCAUCAUCAUUUACACUUGAUUUGAAUCAACAUUUACACUUGAUUUAAAUCAUACUUUUGUUGGGUCACCUCUAGAUGAUUUAAUUCGAAUUAUACUUUACACCUGAUUUGAAUUAGAAAGUUUUCUCACAUUUUCCAGUUAGAUCUGCUUAAAUUGAUUUGAAUCGGAAUUAACACUUGAUUCGAAUCAAGGGGUCUUUGAUUCGAACCAGACUUUGUUCUAGAGUCGAAUCAACUAUAAAAUGGGUCAAAACUCUAUUUUCUUCUUAUUUCACUUCACUUGCUCUUUUGAUUCAAAUCAUGAAUUGGUCUUGAUUCGAAUCUAACUAACUUUUCAACAAUUUUUUAGUGCUUAAUCUCAAGCACAUAUAAAAAUUCUUUUUGUCAUCUUUUUCAUUAAAAAAUAGUUCAUAAUCAACAAUAUGAUUUUCUGUGAAACCAACACCCUCGAUUUUUUAAAGUUCAAAGCCCUUGCAACGAAACUCAUACAUAUUCAACUUCGAUUUUAUUUUAGAUAUUGUUAACGAUAGAUUGGUUAUUGAUUGAAGGAGACACUGUCUUGAAACUAGUUGUUCUUAAAGAUUUGGUUGAGAUUCUCAGGUAGCUUGAAAGAUUGAGGUUUUUGUCGUUGGUGCUAAAAAAUUCCAAUGAAAAGAAGUAGGUUCUUCUCUCCAGAUAGACUUAGUAGUGAUUGCAUGGAAGGCUAUAGAUAAGACACAGUUCUUCUCAAAUCUAUGGAAAACUUGUCACUCAAGUGAUCAGUAGGAUCAAUGGGUGAUUGCUAUACACGAAGGCUUAAAGCAAAUUAGUGAUAUUUGAAGAUUCACAAAGCAUUAAUUAAGAAAAGAUUACACAUAAGAGUUUGGCAUUACGUUGUAUACAAGUCAAGAUCCUGAUAUUGGUUUUAUUUUUCUCAGCAUUAUUGUGGAUUGGUGAAUGUAUGUGUUAGAUGUAAAUAUAGAAGUAGAAAGACAAUCUAGAGGGGGGGGGGGUGAAUAAACCCUUGUUAAAAAAUGAAGAGCUUUUUCAAAAAUUUAUCAGAGAGUUUUAAAAGAUGCGAGCAGAAGGUUUGAUGCAAAAUAUAUGAAAAUUAUAUUUUUCGAAACUUGAUCAUGUUAACACUAAUUUGAUUCACAAACUCCAAAGAUGAAUGUGAUGAUACACAAGUUAUACAAUUAAUUCGGUUGUAUAAUUCACGAGGUGUGUUUAUAUAACGAUUAAAUAUAGUGAAUUCUAACCUCAAUUAUUUCUAAUAAUUUAUUCGCCAAUUCAACUCGAUAAGGUAUCCAAGUCUAACAAAAUCUAAGCUUACGUAAUAAAUCUCUACCAAUUGAAUAAACGAUGAACUAUGCUAGAAUUGAAAUACCUAAGCAUGCAAAUACUACUAAAAUUAAAUGCAAGAGAGAGAGAGAGAGAGAGAGAGAGAGAGAGAGAGAAAGAUGACACCGAUAUUUAUAGUGCUUCGAUGUUUGUCAUUGCUUUUCAUAUGUGGACUCUUAAAUGGUUUCCCAUUGGAACCUACAUUGUUCCUUUUUAUUGACAAAUAUUUGCAAGAGUUCAUACAAAAUUGCAAAUUUCAAGAUUCAAUACAUCCCAAUCCACAAUAAUACUGAGAAAAUUAAAAUCUCCUACCUGGAUCUUGACUUGUAUCACUAAAUCUUCUAGUAUCACUAAUCUUCUCCAAGCUUCGUGUGUAGAAAUCAACCCUUGAUUCUAACGAAUCCUUAGCGAUGAAUUGUCCGAAGAUUUGAGAAGAACUACGCCUGUUGUAGUCUUCCGCACAGUCACUACCAAGGCAAUAUGGAGAAAAGAACCUACUUUUUUCAAUAGAAUUGUCAGCACCAUUGUCAAUCACCUCAAUCUUGUAAAUUACCGAAAAAUCUCAAUCAAAUCUUCAAGAACGAUUAGUUUCAAGAUCGUGCCUCCUUCAUUCAAUUACAAUCUCUUGUUAUCAUGAUGUGAAUCAAAUAAAGUUGAAGAUGCAAGAAUUUCGUUGUAAGAACUUGGAACUUUAAAAUAGAGGUUAUUGACUUUUCGCACUGAAUUACACAAAAUGAAUGUCAAACUCUUAUUCAUUUCUUAGAAAUGAUGACAAAAUGGUUUAUAUGUACUUAGAUCAAGAACUAAAAUGGUUAAAAAAGUCAGCUACAUUUGAAUCAAGAGCAUUUCAUGAUGGAAUAAAUGAACAAUGAAGUGAAUAAACGAAAAAUAGAGUUUAACCAUUUUUCAGUUGAUUCGAAUUAAGAGUAAAGUGUGAUCGAUCAAAUCCCGUGAUUCAUAUCAUGUCUUAAAUUUAUUUGAAUCAAACUGGCUGAGCUAAUUGAAAAAAUGUGAAAAAUGUAUUAUCGAAUCAUGUGUAAAGUUUGACUCGAAUCAAUUGUGGUAGAGGUAACCUAGAGUUAUGAUUCGAAUCAUGUGUAAAUGUCGAAUAAAUGUUUUUGAUUUUUUUUGGUUUGCUUGUGUCCAAAAUGAUUUGAAUCAGGAUUUGUGCUUGAUUAUACACAAACACCCAAAUCCAAAUUUCAAAAUUUCAAAAGAGUUUGAGAUUUUCUUUCCACCUAACUGAAUCAAUUCUAUAUAUGACUCUUAUUCCACUGACUCAUGAAAUUGAUUAAAGUAUCAUGAUCAAGUUCAAACCUAACCAUGUUUAUCCUGCUAAACGAAUCAUUUCAAAACUUGAUCCAAAGAGGUCAUUCAUGAAGGAGACUCGAAUAAUCGAAAGUAAAUCAAGUGAAACAUUAAGCCAACAACAAAAAAACGUAUUGGGGUGCCCCAUAAUGUAUUAGGGACAUUCAACUACGGUAUGAAUUCUUGCAAAUAUUUGUCAAAUAAAAAGGAACAAUGUAUGUGUCCAAUGGAAAACCAUUCAUGAGUGCACGUAGAAAAAUGAGGACAAACGCAAAGCAACAAAUUCGGUGUCAUCUGUCUCCCUUACUCUUGAAUUAUUUCGUAGGACUUGAAUGCUUAGGUAUUUCAAUUCUAGUGUACUUUAUCGUUUAUUCAAUUGUACAGUUUAUUACUUAAGGUUAGGUUGUGUUAGAAUUUGUGCCUAUCUAGCUGAAUUGGUGAUUCAAUUCUGAGAAACAUUGAGGUUAGAAGGAAUUGAAAUUGAAUAUGUAUAUCAAAUCUCUGAAAUACAAUUGAAUCAAUUGAAUAACUUAUGCUCAUCAAUAACAUCGUUUGUAUUUGAUAAUUGAUUAAGUGUUAACGUGAUCAAGUUCAAUAAAAGUAUAUUUCAUAUUUUGCUUCAAAACUCCGCGCACAUUUUUUGAAAAUCUCUAAUACUCUUUGAAAAAGCGGUUGAUUUUUUAUUUUCUAUUCCACCUAACACGAACUAAUCCAAAGAGCAUUGUAAUGUUGUUGUUACUAUUAAAAUCAUUUUUUAAAAUCCAAGAAAAAAUAAAUAAAAAUAUAGAGGAAGAGAAGUCGUAGGUGGAAAGCUGCGAGAUUUUCCAAAAAAUCUUUACGGAAUGAAAUCAUGGUGUAGUCAUUGUUACUUAAGGGAUGGAAAUGGUAUUUGGAGGCACCAAUAUUUUACUUGUUUUUUUAAUUUGACGAUAAUAAUUAUAGUUUCAAUUCUCUUCUUUGAUUUGAGUCUGUUAGAGUCUAGUGAGGUAUCAAAUCCUUCAUUUAAUAAGUUGUAGAAACGUCUUCAGAUAUCUUUAUAUUUUUUCCUAAACUAAGAUUUUGCUUCUCCAUCUUUAGCACACUUCACUUGAUCCAAAUCUCUUAUCUUUAUUCUCUUCCUUUAAGAAGCCUAAUAUUUUCUCCCUCUUGUUCCUAGAGAUUGGUUAAACCUUCAAAUCUUGGGUUCUUGCUUUACUCACCGCGCUUCUUGGUCUCUUUCUUAGUUUUCUUAUUAUUUCCAGCUUUCGACAUUUUACACAUAUCCUUUAUUCUUUCCUAAACUAAGAUUUUGCUUUCUCCGUCUUGACACACUUCACUUGAUCCAAAUCUAUUGUCUUUAUUUCUCUUCCUUUUAAGAAGCCUGAUAUUUCUCCCUCUGUGUCCUAGAGAUUGAUAUAAAUCUUCAAAAUUUGGGUUCUUUCUUCACUCGUGCCUUCUUGGUCUCUUUCUAGUUUUUCUAUAUAUUUCCCAAUUUCGACAUGUUUAGACAUGUACAUUCUUUAAUUUUUGUACUCAAACUCUAAUAGAACAGUUUCACCACCAUGAUUAUUACCCUUAAGUCAAAUGACUCUUGAUCACCCAAAGUCUCCUUAGCUACUUUCAAUAUUAGGCAUAUUUCCACUUAUUAUUGCACUUCCUUGGACUAUUUGAAACCUCAUAAGAUCUUGUGCUGGAAACUCUCUUAUUUCACCUUUCAAAUCCCUCACUUGAUUCAUGGAGCUCCAUGUGAUCUCUUUAUUUCACUCUUCUCUUGACUCUUACAUCAUAAUCAAUACUCUAUGUUGAUCAGUUAAGUUUUCUCUAUAUAUAACUUACAGUCUAAUCAAACUUCUAACUGACUUUCUAAUAAAAAUAAAUCUAUCAGAGAAAUCCACCUACCUUUAUAUUUAAUAAUGCUCUCUUUUUUUCUAAAGUAGGUAUUAGCUAAAUACGAUCAAAGUAAAAAAAACUCCAAGAUGGAUUUAUCCUCUGUAUUUAACUCCCCGGACAUACCUCAUGCACGCCCUCAAGUUUUUUGUUGUGCUUCAUACAGCCAUUUAGACCCUUUAGAGAAAAUCUUUAAUCCUCAGGGGUAUAUCAUGAAGUAAAUUCUAAAUCAUUUAUAAAAAAAAUUUAAGGUGUUCUGCUUACGCAACUAAGGGGCAUAACACUAAUAGCAUUAAAGGUGUCUUGUUUCACUAUAAUUUUAGGACUAUGAUCGCAUCUCCUACUCUUUUGCAUCCACAAUAUCCUUCUUCACUCUUGCCUAAGAUUUCCACCCAUUUCUCGAUCUAACUUUGCAGGUAGAUGAAGCUUAAAAUUCGAGUGUUAAUUCUUUCAUCUUUUCACUGUGUUUAGUUUCUGUGACACACGAAAUUGAUUUUCUCUACCAUACCGUCCACUAUUCCAUAGAUUUUCAGUAAGUGUGGAUAUUCAUUUCCAAACAAAUNNNNNNNNNNNNNNNNNNNNNNNNNGAGAAGAUAUGACACCGAUAUUUAUAGUGCUUCGUGUUUGUCAUUGCUUUUCAUAUGUGGACUUUAAAUGGUUUCCCAUUGGAACCUACAUUGUUCCUUUUUAUGACAAAUAUUUGCAAGAGUUCAUACAAUCCCAAUCCACAUAAUACUGAGAAAAUAAAAUCUCCUACCUGGAUCUUGACUUGUAUCACUAAACUCUUCUAGUACACUAAUUUCUCCAAGCUUCGUGUGUAGAAUCAACCCCUUGAUUCUAACGAAUCCUUAGCGAUGAAUUGUCCGAAGAUUUGAGAAGAACUACGCCUUGUUUGUAGUCUUCCGCACAGUCACUACAAGGCAAUAUGGAGAAAAAACCUACUUUUUCAAUAGAAUUGUCACACCAUUGUCAAUACCUCAAUCUUGUAAAUUACGAAAAAUCUCAAUCAAAUCUUCAAGAACGAUUAGUUUCAAGAUGUGCCUCUUCAUUCAUUACAAUUCUCUUGUUAUCAUGAUGUGAAUCAAUUAAAGUUGAAGAUGCAAGAAUUUCGUUGUAAGAACUUGAACUUAAAAAAUAGAGGUUAUUGACUUUUCGCACUGAAUAACAAAAUGAAUGUCAAACUCUUAUUCAUUUUCUUGAGAAAUGAUGACAAAAUGGUUUAUAUGUACUUAGAUCAAGAACUAAAAUGGUUAAAAAAGUCAGCUACAUUUGAAUCAAGAGCAUUUCAUGAUGGAAUAAAUGAACAAGUGAAGUGAAUAAACGAAAAAUAGAGUUUAACCCAUUUUUCAGUUGAUCGAAUUAAGAGUAAAGGUGAUUCUGAUCAAUACCCGUGAUUCAUAUCCUUUAAAUUUUUUUUGAAUCAAACUGGCUGAGCUAAUUGAAAAAAUGUGAAAAAUGUAUUAUUCGAAUCAGUUAUAAGAUUUGACUCGAAUCAAUUGUGGUAGAGGUAACUAGAGUUAUGAUUCGAACAUGUGUAAAUGUCGAAUAAAUGUUUUUGAUUUUUUUUGGUUGCUUGUGUCCAAAAUGAUUUGAAUCAGGAUUUGUGCUUGAUUUAACCAAACACCCAAAUCCAAAUUUUCAAAAUUUCAAAGAGUUUGAGAUUUUUCCACUAAUAAUCAAUUCUAUAUAUGUACUCUAUUUCCACUGACAUUGAAAUUGAUUAAAGUAUCAUGAUCAAGUUCAAACCUAACCAAUGUUUUAUCCAUGCUAAAAACGAAUCAUUUCAAAACUUGAUCCAAAGAGGUGCAUUCAUGAAGGAGACUCGAAUAAUCGAAAGUAAAUCAAAGUGAAAACAUUAAGCCAAACAACAAAAUAAACGUAUUGGGGUGCUCCCCAUAAAUGUAUUAGGGACAUUCAACUACGGUAUGAAUUCUUGCAAAUAUUUGUCAAAUAAAAAGGAACAAUGUAUGUUCCAAUGGAAAACCAUUCAUGAGUGCACGUAGAAAAAUGAGGACAAACGCUAAAGCACUACAAAUUUCGGUGUCAUCUGUCUCCCUUACUCUUGAAUUUAAUUUUCGUAGGACUUGAAUGCUUAGGUAUUUCAAUUCUAGUGUACUUUAUCGUUUAUUCAAUUGGUAGCAGUUUAUUACUUAAGGUUAGGUUGUGUUAGAAUUUGUGCCUAAUCUAGCUGAAUUGGUGAUUCAAUUCUGAGAAACAAUUGAGGUUAGAAUGAAUUGAAAUUGAAUUAUAGUAUAAUCAAAUCUCUUGAAAUAUACAAUUGAAUCAAUUGAAUAACUUAUGCAUCAUCAAUAAAACAAUCGUUUUGUAUUUGAUAAUUGAUUAAGUGUUAACGUGAUCAAGUUUCAAUAAAAGUAUAAUUUAUCAUGAUCAAGUUCAAACCUAACCAAUGUUUUAUCCAUGCUAAAAACGAAUCAUUUCAAAACUUGAUCCAAAGAGGUGCAUUCAUGAAGGAGACUCGAAUAAUCGAAAGUAAAUCAAAGUGAAAACGUUAAGCCAAACAACAAAAUAAAUGUAUUGGGGUGCUCCCCAUAAAUGUAUUAGGGACAUUCAACUACGGUAUGAAUUCUUGCAAAUAUUUGUCAAAUAAAAAGGAACAAUGUAUGUUCCAAUGGAAAACCAUUCAUGAGUGCACGUAGAAAAAAUGAGGACAAACGCUGAAGCACUACAAAUUUCGGUGUCAUCUGUCUCCCUUACUCUUGAAUUUAAUUUUCGUAGGACUUGAAUGCUUAGGUAUUUCAAUUCUAGCGUACUUUAUCGUUUAUUCAAUUGGUAGCAGUUUAUUACUUAAGGUUAGGUUGUGUUAGAAUUUGUGCCUAAUCUAGCUGAAUUGGUGAUUAAAUUCUGAGAAACAAUUGAGGUUAGAAUUAAUUGAAAUUGAAUUAUAGUAAUCAAAUCUCUUGAAAUAUACAAUUGAAUCAAUUGAAUAACUUAUGCAUCAUCAAUAAAACAAUCGUUUUGUAUUUGAUAAUUGAUUAAGUGUUAACGUGAUCAAGUUUCAAUAAAAGUAUAAUUGAUUUUAUAUUUUCCGCUUCAAAAUUCCGCGCACAUUUUGAAAAAUCCUCUAAUACUCUUCUGAAAAUAGCAGGUUGAUUCUAUCCUAUUCACCAACACAAACUAACAAAAGAGCAUUUAAAUGUGUUGUACAUAAAUCAUAUUUUUAAAAUCCAAGAAAAUAAAAUAGAAAAUAGAGGAAAGAAGUCGGGUGAAACUCGCGAGAUUUUCCAAAAAUCUUACCUCCAAAGAAUAAAUCAUGGUGUAGUCAUGUUACCUUAAGAGGAUGAAAAUGGUAUUGGAGGUCACCAAUAUUUACUUGUUUUUUAAUUUGACGAUAACUAAUUAUAGUUCAAUUCAUCUCUUUGAUUUGAAGUCUGUUAGUAGUCUAGAGUGUAUCAAAACCUUAUUAUAAGUGUAGAAAUACGCUCUUCUAAAGAAUAUCCCUUUAUAUUUCUCUAAACUAGACUUUACUCUCCCAUCUUACCACAUUCAUGAUCCAAAUCUCUUACUUGCUAUCCUCCCUUUAAAGAAGCCUAAUAUUUGCUCCUCUCUGGCUUCCUAAGAUUGGUAUAAACUUCAACAAAUCUUGGGUUCUUGCUACUCACCGGCCUCUGGUUUUAUUCUAAAAAAGCUUUCCACUUCGACAUUAAAUAUCCUGUUAUACUCUGAAUCGAUUUUGCUUUCUUCCGUUUAACACAAUUCUUCACUUGACCAAAGAACUAUUCUUAUUUCUUCUGCCCUUAAAGAACAUCUGCAUUGGUCGUCCUGCUUUGGUUUAAAUGAAUAAAACUCACAUAAUUUUGCGGUCUUCUUCUCACGUAGCGCCUCUUGCUCGUUCUUGAGUUGUCGCUGUAUAUAUCCCAACUCGGACAUGUUUUACACAUGUACCACUCUUUAAUUUUACUACUCACACUCUAAAUGAACUAGUUUAUUCCCACCACCAUGAUAUUUAACCCUUAAGGUAAGCCUUUGAUUCACNNNNNNNNNNNNNNNNNNNNNNNNNNNNNNNNNNNNNNNNNNNNNNNNNNNNNNNACACACUUCACUUGAUCCAAAUCUAUUGUCUUUAUUUCUCUUCCUUUAAGAAGCCUGCUAUUUUUCUCCCUCUUGGUUCCUAGAGAUUGAUAUAAAUCUUCAAAAUUUUGGGUUCUUUCUUCACUCGCUGCCUUCUUGGUCUCUUUCUUAGUUUUCUUAUUAUAUUCCCAACUUUCGACAUGUUUACACAUGUACCAUUCUUUAAUUUUUUAUACUCAAACUCUAAUAUGAACAGUUUCAUUCCACCACCAUGAUUAUUUACCCUUAAGUUCAAGACCUCUUGAUUCACCCAAAGUCUCCUUAGCUACUUUUCCAAUAUCUUAGGCCAUAUUGUUCCACUUAUUAUCUGCACUUCCUUGUGACUAUUUGAAACCUCCCUCAAAGAUCUUGUGCUGGAAACUCUCUUACUUUUCACCUUUCAAAUUCCAUCACUUGAUUCAUGGAGCUCCCGUGUGAUCUCUUUUAUUCACUCUUCUCUUGACUCUUACAUCCAUAAGCAAUACUCUAUGUUGAUCAGUUAAGUUUUCUGUCUAUAUAACUUUACAGUCUAAUCAAACCUUCAUAUCUGACUUUCUAAUAAGAAAUAAAUCUAUCAGAGAAUAUUCCACCCUAUUCUUAUAUUUAAUAAGAUGCUCAUCUUUUUUUUUCUAAAGUAGGUAUUAGCUAAAGUACGAUCAAAAGGCAAAAAAAACUCCAAGAUGGAUUUAUCCUCUGUAUUUAUCUCCCCAAGACCAUACCCUCAUGCACGCCCUCAAAGUUUUCUGUUGUGCUCCAUACAAGUCCAUUUAGACCCCUUUAGAGAAAAAUCUUUAAUCCUCAGGGUAUAUCAUGAAAUAAAUCUUCUAAAUCAUUUAUAAAAAAAUUUAAGGUGUUCUGCUUACCCAACCUAAGGUGCAUAAGCACAAUAGCAAAAGGUGUCUCGUUUCACUAUAAAUUUAGGACAUGAUCCGAUCGCCACUCUUUCAUGUGCACAAUCCUCUUCACUUAUGCUAAGAUUCUCCACCCAUUUCUCGAUCUAAUUUGCAUGGUAUAUGAAGGGCUUAAAAUUCGAGUUGUCUAUUCUUUCAUCUUCACCUGUGUACUUAGUUCUUGAGACACACGAAAUUGAUUUUCUCCUAACCAUACCGUCCUAUUCCAUAGAUUUUCCAGUAAGUGGAUAUAUUCCAUGUUCCAAACAAAUCCUACUCUCAGAAUAAACUACUUAUCCACACUCACGAAAAUAUGAAAACGCAUUGUAUUUUCCUUGAUCUAGGUGGCCGAAACAGUGACCUUACUUCUUUAACACUGUAUUUGAGAUAACAAUCGCGCUCCGGACAACGGUCUGACAUUCACAUUAUUAUACAAUUAAUCCAUGUCAUUUGAGAUUAAAAUAAAAAUUCCGAUUGUCGGCUCCUAACACAAAUCUCUCCUUAGUAACAAUUAUCUCAUUAAAAACCUUUCUAGAAAACUCAAAAAGAUAAAACCAAAAAUAAGGUAAAACAAAGAGUACAGUACAUUAAAAUUGACACAAGUAAGUCCUACUAUGACUGAAUAUAAAUCUAAGAUAGUAAGUAGACACUUUUAAAGUUAUCGAAAACAAAAAAGGGAUUAAAUAACAAUAGGAUGUUUUCAAAAUACAAGGUAAUGUAUAAUUUGUAAUUUACUACUUAACUUUAUUUCUUGAACUCCUUUCUCAUUGGAUGAAUGAGGUCUUAAUUUUGAGUAAUAAUGAGGAUACAUCUUUUAUAUUAAUUCGUUCCUCUGGUGAAUCUUCACAGCAUCUCAAUGCUAAAGCUAAAAUUUCAUACAUUUCUUUCUCAUGUUGUGAGACUAAAUUGUAAUCCACAACUUCCAUAAUUGAACUCAGCAUUGACUCACUAAUCCAGCUUUUCAAAGUUAAUUUGUCUGAAAACAUUUCAUUUGUUGGCUUCUUUCCUGUGAAAAUUUCCAUCAGCAUUAUCCCAUAGCUAUACACAUCACCUUUAACUGAAAUGACUCCCUUAGAUCCAUAUUCUGUAUGUCAACAUUAAUGGUUAGGCAGGUUGGCCUAAAAUGGUAAAAAUGUGAACGCGUCGAAUGAUAAAUCAAAACUUGAUUAGAUAUAAUAUGAAUUUGAAGUGAAGAAAUGACCUGGUGCAACAUAGCCAAGAGUAGCCAAAGUUUCGGUGUGAGUUUUAGAAUGUCCUUCAUCCAAUAGCUUGGAAAUGCCAAAAUCACUUACAUGUGCAACCAUAUCUUCAUCCAGUAACACAUUACUAGGCUUCAAAUCACAAUGAACCACUGGUAUUGAAGAACCAUGAUGGAGAUACUCUAAUGCAGACGCAACAUCUAUCAUUAUAUUCAACCUUUGCAAGAAAUCCAAAAAAUAGUUAUCUGAGUAUAACCAUUUUUCCAAACUUCCAUUUGUCGUAAACUCCAUCACUAUAGAUUUGAAAUCAACAUUUGAACAACUAGUGAUAACUUGAACGAGAUUUCGAUGUCGAAGGUUGCGCAUGGCAUUGCAUUCUGCAUCAAAGCUUCUUGAUGUUGCUUCCAAGUUUAAGUCAAGUACUUUAACUGCUACCAUCUUUCCACUAGAAAGAUUUCCUUGAUACACAGAUCCAAAGCCCCCUUUUCCAAGUAAAUUACUCUCAUUGAAUCCAUUCGUUGCUUUCACAAGUUCAUAAUAGGAAAUCCUGCCUGGAGCCCCUAAAGUUGAUAAAUCCUUUUCGAUUGGAUUUUUAACCAAUUUCCUUUUAAGCAUUAGAAUUAUUAUGCAUACAAGAACCAAACAGCACAAGACAACAAUUAUGGAUGAACUGCAUAUGAUUAAUAACUUAUUUUUCCCAUUUUUAUUACAUGGAGGUACUUGUAAGAAAGGAUUGCCACAAAGUGCUUUAUUAUGAAUGAAAGAUUGAGCUGCAAAGCUUUUGAAAGGUCCUCCAUUUGGAAUCUCUCCUUGCAAUCUAUUGUAUGACAGAUUAAGGUGUUUAAGAUAAGAAAGUGACUCUAAAGAUUUUGGGAUCACACCGGUAAUAAGAUUUUGAGACAAGUCCAAGAAGCUCAAACUUACCAUUUCACCAAGUGAUGUUGGGAUAUGUCCCUCCAAUUUGUUGUUUGAUAAGGAGAGAGUUUCUAAAGUUGUCAAAAGACUUAUGGUUGUUGGAAUGUUGUUUGAAAUUUGAUUUCCUGACAGGUCUAAUAGCACAAGAGCUCUCAAAUUCUUAAUCUCAGAUGGAAGAUUUCCAGUUAUAGCAUUAAGGGAUAAGCUUACCUCUAAAAUAUCUUUGAGAUUCCAAAAGGAGGACGGUAUUGUAGAGGUUAACCUGUUAGAUCCAAUGUGAAACUUCCUAAGAGAAGUCAUAUUUCCUAAACAUGUUGGUAACACUCCAAAAAACUCGUUGCUUGUUAAAUUCAACUCACUCAAACUCCUAAUUUCACAAACCUCAUCAAUUAUAGAUCCUUCAAGUCCAUUGUAGUCAAGACCUAAUGAUUGAAGUUUUUGCAACUCUUUAAUUGUACUAGGGAUUUGUCCAUUUAAAUCAUUCUUACUCAGAGAUAAUCGAACCAAGUUGCUCAUGUUUCCGAUUUCUAGGGGAAUGUUUCCUUUAAUUCCACAAGAAUUUGCCCAAAAAUGUUCUACAGAUAAGUUUCCAAUGGACUUGGGAAGUUUUAAUGGUAAGCUAUUCUCUGAAAUUUCAACAAGUUUCAAAUAUCUGCAACUUGUUAGUGAAGUUAGGAAGUUAAAUUCAAGAGAUUCAUCUAUUGUCAAAUUAUUUCCACCAAUGAUUAGUGAUUUAAGGUCUCCUAAAUUUCCAAAUGAAUUGGGUAUAAUUCCACUAAAUCCAUUCGAACUCAAGUCAAUUAUGACGAGAUUUGAAGCAUUAGAUAUACUAUUUGGAAUAUUUCCAACAAACUUAUUUCUAUACAUAUGUAGUUGUAUUAGGCUUGGAAGGCCUAAUCCCAUAUUUGAUGGAAGCAUGCCUGAGAGAGAAUUUUCUUCAAGACGAAAAUAUUCCAAUGUUGAGAUGUUGAAGACUUUUGAAGAAAUAGAUCCACUCAAUCUGUUAUUUCCUACUUGAAGAUACUUAAGUUCAUUGAGAUUGCCAAUCUCCAUUGGUAUCGAACCUAAAAAUCACACGAAUGAGAAGCAUCACAGUAUUGUGAUGCAUGAAAUGCUUAACCAUAAAAUGAAGAUAGAAAAUUAAAAGUAUACCUGAAAAAAAGUUAUCAUGUAAAGAUAAAAUUUGUAACAAUGUGCAAUUGCCAAUCGAUCGUGGAAUGGUUCCUUCCAAAUGAUUACCGAAUAGAGUAAAUUUUUCAAGUUGAGGAAGUUGAUGACACAUCUCAUCUGGGAGAGUUCCAUUUAAAUCGUUUACGUCAAGAUUGAUCUCUUUCAAAGAAGAGAUGUUGAAGAGGGAGACUGGAAUUUCACCUGUAUAUGUAACAUAAAAUAUGAAAUUAUUAUUCAAAAAACACUUAUUGUGUUAGGAAAAUCAUCUUACCCUCCAAGUUGGUGCUAGUAAGAUACAAAGAUUGAAGGUUUGUCAAGUUUCCAAUGUCUGCUGGCAUAGGUCCUUUGUCAAAAUUAUUGAAAGAUAGCUCCAAAUCUACCAAUUCUUUGCAAUAUCGCCAUACAUUCGGCAUCUUACCAGAAAAAUCAUUAAGUAUUUCUAUCUCAUUAGAUUCUAUUGGAAGUCCUUGACAAACAUUUGAUGGAAGAAUUCCAGAGAGAUUAUUGAAACCAAGACCCAAUAUUUGCAAAGAUGAGUUGUUCAACAUUAAUAUGUUGCCAGUGAGGAGAUUAUAUUGAAGGUUCAAUGUUAUCAGCUGUGGAAGAUCACCAAUUCCUUUUGGAAUUUCUCCUUUAGUUCAAUAUAGACAAAAUAAACAUAUUUAGGAUGACUCGUUAAACAUAAUACGCAUCACAACAACUGUAAUGACUCCAAUUGCAGACGCAACUGUAAUUUAAAACCAUGGAUGUGAGUAUAUCAUACCUGAUAAAGAGUUAUUUGAUAGACGGAUUUCUUGAAGUAAAGACAUGUUGAAAAUAUUUGAUGGUAUGAUUCCAGAGAGUUUGUUAUUUCUAACAUCCAAAAUUCUCAACCUAUGAAGUUUACCAACAACAUGUGGAAUAGUUCCUUCAAGGAAAUUUGAUUUCCAACUUAGAUACUCCAACAUUGACAAAUUGGAUAUAGAUUGAGGAAUAACUCCAACAAUAUUAUUAUAUCCAAAAUCCAAAUAUUGAAGUUUUGAUAAGUCCCCUAUCUUUAAAGGAAUUUCUCCAACAAAAUCAUUGUAACUCAAAUCAAACCACUUCAAUCUCUUCAAAUGAAGUAACUCAUGUGGUAACUCACCAUGGAAACUAUUGCCUUGUAGAUCAAGAACAAGAAGGAAAGAGAGAUUUCCCAAUUGAGGAGAAAUGGUACCUUGAAGGGCCAUGUUACUAAGAUUCAAUGCAUUUACUCUUCCAUGAUGUUCAUCACAAGUAACACCAACCCAAUUGCAUGAAGAGAAAGUAGAAGAAUUAGAGGAAAUUGACCAAUUACUAAGCAUAUGAUAAGGGUCCAAAGUAAUAGAUGAUUUGAAUGAAAGAAGUGCAAAUUCAUCGGUGGUGAUGUUUUUUUUAGUACUCAUAGCUAAGCAAGUGAAGAAGUAAUAAUAGAGUGAGACAGAGAGAAUACAGAGCCAAUUAGAGUAUAGUUUGGCCAUUUUCAAUAUAAUAUAUGCAUGAGUCUAAGAAUGGAUGAGUAUAUUUAUAUGAAAAUGGCUAAGAUGAUACUAAGGGCAUAUGUUAAGUAGUCAAAGGUAAAUAUUUUGUUUAAGAAUUUGUAUUGAAAAUCUUAAUUUUUAAACUUGUAAAAAGUAAUAUACAAUUUCUUGGAAGGAACUGCAAAAAGAUAGCAACCAGAACAAACAAGAUAUAUAGUAUUUAUCAAUAGCCAGACAUGACUUAUCAUAAAAAUAAUAUCUUCAUAGACUCGUAGACUAACCAAGGAUUGGGAAAUGGUCUCACAUCCUUGUUAAAAUACAAUUUAAAUUUAUCACUGAAAUUGAAAUUCCCAACUACGUUCUAGCAAAUAUAUUAGACGGUUACGAUAUCAUCGAUUAUUUAAAAGAGGAUAAAAGAGAAUUUGUGAAUGAUAUGAUGAAGUUCUACAUGACACCGAAGUUUAUAAUGACAACAUUGAAAGAUCGAAUUCUAGAGAUACAUAUCUUUUUAUUAUUAGAGGUUCAUACACAAAAAUACAACACCUGAAUUAUUAUUAGAGGUUCAUACACAAAAAUACAACACCUGAUGAGUUUAAUUCAUAAUGAGAAUUAUGUGUAUUGGACAAAUAAUAAAGAGGACUCUAGUGUUGCGAGUGACAUAUUUUGGACACAUUCUGUUCAGUUAAACUUCUAAACAUGUUUUCUUUUGUAUUGAUCUCCGACAAUACGUACAAAGCAAAUAGUCACCAAUUCCCACUAAUUGAGAUUAUUGGUGUCAGAUAUAGAGUUGACAUUCUCUAUUAUGUUUCCUUGCUUGGGACAUGAAUGACAAGGAAAUUUCAUAUGAGCACUAGAAAAACAUAGGGAGUUGUUUAAAGUAGUGUCACACACUAGAAACACUGUGCCAAAGAAAAUCUUACACAACACUUUUUCUUAACCUUAGACAACGAUUUAAAGUGCUUUAAAGUGUUGUUUAUUUUGUAGCGUUGUAAGUAUAGGAAGUGUUUUUUUUAAAUAUAAAAGUGUUGGCUUAAUUGAAAUUUGGGCAACGCUUUCUAUUAAAAGUGUUGGCGUAACUUCUCUUUAUGCAUCACUUUUGAAUAAAAGCGUUGGGGUAAGGCAUUAUUAGGCAGGACUUUCAGCUAAAAGCGCUGGCAUAAGUUCUCUCUAGACAUCACUUUCAGCUAAAAAUGAUGGCACAAGUUAUCAUUGGACAUAUCUUUCUAAUAAAAGCGUUGGGAUAAGGCAUCCUUAGGCAGCGCUCUCAACUAAAAAUAUGACACAAGUCAUCAUUAAGUGGUGUUUUUUUUAUAUUAAUAAACAGUAUCUUAUAUGUACUUUACCCAAUAGUUUUAUUUUCCUCAAGCCAUCAUUAGGACUUGUUUAUUUUUUCUUGAGUUAAAGUUUGAGAUAGAUUCUCGUGAAAUAUAUAAUUAUGAAACAACGCAAGAGUUACAAUUUUAAAAUACUUGUUCACAAAAUCACUUUUCGGUAUUUUUUGCGGUGUAACUUUCUUCGAAAGCGGGUUUAGAAAUAAAUUAUUAGAUAUUUCCAAAAUAUUAUUUGGAAGAUGGAUUUUUGUAUAUAUUAAUUAUAUGUAGAAUUAAAAAGCAAAUGGCCUAAUGUCCUGGUGGUAAGGGGCUUGAAAUUUUAUGUAAGGGUUUGUGGUUUGAAUCCUAUUGGUGCCUUUUUGAAUAAAGUUUAUUAUACUAAUAGUAAUAAAAAACGAAAUCAAAAUGAACCAAUGUGUAGUUCGAACUCGUAUCCUUUUGAUGGGGGCGAAUAAAAAUAAAUACAUCCAUUUUUUUAUACAUUUUUAAUUUCUCUAAAUCAUCAUUUACUUUAUUAAUGCAUGAGUAAAGUAUAAGAAACAUUGUUCUGUAACCCAUUAUCAAAAAAAUAAGUUUAAUGUGUUUGUGCAAUUUACAUUAAGGUAUUCAAAGUAUCCUAAAGGGAAUUCACCGUUAAUCCCUAUUGUAUCUGAUAUAUAAUAAUUGGUUGGGGUGAAUUGAACCUAAAGAUUAGUGCGAAAUUCACACGCUUUGAAUUUUCAAGUGUGAUAUUCAUCAACAUCUUCUUAGUUCUAGUGCUGCUACAUAUUUUCAACAACCACAAUAUCCAACAAUCUUUAGAUUCAAUUAUUACUUAAACAAUGGCAACGUCACUCAAAGAAAUGACAUCUAAUUUUGUAAAAUUAGAAAAGUUCGAUGGAGGUAACUUUAUCCGUUGACAGAAAAAGAUGAAAUGUUUGCUUAGAACUUUGAAAGUGGUAUAUGUUCUAAAUACAACAAAACCGAUAGAAAGGGAAGAAGAAACAAUCUCAGAAACAAGAGGGAGGCAAGAAUUGGACAAUGAUGAUUACAUUUACAUGUGUCAUAUUCUUAAUGGUAUGUCAGAUUCAUUGUUCAAUAUUUAUCAAAGCAGUCAAUUAACAAAAGAUUUGUGGGAUAAACUAGAGUCAAGAUACAUGCAAGAAGAUGUUAUAAUUAAGAAGUUUCUUGUUUCCCAAUUCAAUAAUUAUAAAAUGGUAAAAAAUAGACCUGUUAUGGAACAAUUACAUGAAAUUAAACGUAUUCUUAAUAAUUAUAAACAACACAAAAUGCACAUGGAUGAAACCAUCGUUGUGUCUUCCAUAAUAGACAAACUCUCACCUUCAUGGAAGGAUAUAAAAGGACCCUCAAACAUAAAAAAGAGGAUAUAUCUCUUGAACAAUUGGGUAAUCACCUUCGGUUAUAAGAAGAGUAUCGCAAAAAAGAAGAUACUAAAGACCAAUUUACUCAUGAGAAAAUACAUGGUGUGGAAGAUGGAAAAUCUAACAAGUCCAAUGAUAAUAUGGACAUAGAUGAUGAAAAGGUUCAUGACAACAAUGGAAAUGGACAAAGAAAAAGAAAAGGAGGAAGUUGCUUUCAUUGUGGCAAACCGGAACAUUUUUAAAGUGAAUGUAGGUUCUUGAAAAAGAUGAACAAAGUGAAGAAGUCAAGUGCACAAAAUGAACAUCUUGUUGCAUAGAAGUAACUUCUAGAAAUUACUCACUUUUAAGAAUGUAUAUUCGGUGUUGAAAAAUUUAUAAUUAAGUGUGUUGUACGUAAUAAAGUGUGGAUUUAUUUGGUUUGCAUAAUUUAUUGUGUGGUAUAUUUAUAUGAAAGUGAAUUUAAAUUUAUUUACAAAGAAAUUGAAUAUAAAAUUUGGUUGUUAAUAUUUUCAUAAAUAUUGAUCAUAAAGUAUUGAAUUUUCCUUUAAUAAAAGUUGUGACAUAAAUAAAUAUACUUAUAAUGAGUUUAAUAUAUUUUGGAAUAAUGUCAUUUGAUUUAUCUUUAAAAUGGAAAAUAUUGUUUUCUUUAUUUUAUAAAAUUCAUUGAUGUGUUAUGACUUAAAACUCAAUCUUAUUUAAAGUAUAAUGAUUGAUAAUUUCAAGUGUAUGUAUGUAUGUUUUGUAUGUCAUGUAAAUGAUAAAAUUCUAUUUAAGAGAAUUAAAUUAAUCUAGCUAUUUAGAUUUAAUUUUCAUAUGUGUUUAUGAUUUACAUGAUUGAAUGUUUGAUAAAAUAUAUGAUCAUGAUUGUUUAAGAUAUAGAAGUUUGAUAAUCAUGUUUAUUAUAAUUAUUUUACAUGCUUGUUGUAUUAAUAUGUUGUGUUCAAAUUGAAAGAAAAGUGAAACUUUAAAUAUUAUUGAUUGUUAUUAAAUGGUUUAAUAACAAAUGUUGAAUGAUUUAAAAUGUUAGUAUGAUAUACAAAGUAACAAAUGUUAUGUGAUAGGCAUCUCGCAUGAACAAUUACAUAUGCAUAAACCAUGCCUACAUGCUAUAAGCGAGGAUUCGGUAACCACUCAUGGAAGUCCGUAAUAAUCCCCAACAAAGCAAUUUGAAAUCACUCAUUUCAUGUCAAUCUUAUUCAACCCUUUGGUUGAAAUUUGUUGUUUAUGUUAAGCUUCAUCAACCCAUUGGUUGAAGUUAGUUCUCUUAAUCUGAAUCAACCCAGUGGUUGAGGAUGAUCGUAUCACUCAUCGACCUUCGUCAACCCAUUAGUUGGAGUUGGUUCUCUUGUGUUGAUCUGAAUCAAUCUAUUGGUUAAGGAGGAUCUAUUUUCUUUCAUUGACCUUCGUCAAUCCAUUGGUUGUAGUUGGUUAUUCUUCAUAUGAAUCAAUCUAUUGAUUGGGGAUGAUAUGUUUUCUUUCAUUAACCUUCGUCAAUAUAUUGGUUGAAGUUGGUUAUUCUUCAUCUAAACCAAUUCAUUGGUUGAGGAGGAUUUAUUUUUAUUUCAUUAACCUUCGUCAAUCCAUUGGUGGAAGUUGGUUUUUCUUUCAUUAACCUUCGUCAAUAUAUUGGUUGAAGUUGGUUAUUCUUCAUCUAAACCAAUUCAUUGGUUGAGGAGGAUUUAUUUUUAUUUCAUUAACCUUCGUCAAUCCAUUGGUGGAAGUUGGUUGUUUUUCAUCUAAAUCAAUCCAUUAGUUGAGGACGAUUUGUGCGUUGACCUUUAUUAAAGUAUUGGUUGAAGUUGGUUAUUUUUCCAUUAAAAUCAAUCCUUUGAUUGAGGAUGAUUUGUUCAUGACCUUCGUUAAUCCUUUGGUUGAAGUCAAUUAUUUUUCAUAGGAAUCGAUCCUUUGAUUGAGGACAAUUUGUUCGUUGACCUUCAUCAAUCCAUUGGUUGAAGUUGGUUAUUUUUCAUCUGAAUCAAUCCAUUGGUUGAGGAUGAUUUGUUCAUGGACAUUCGUCAAUCUAUUGGUUGAAGUUGGUUAUUUUUCAUCUGAAUUAAUCCAUUGGUUGAGGAUGACUUGUUCGUUGACCUUCAUCAAUCCAUUGGUUGAAGUUGGUUGUUUCAAGUUCUACUAAUCCGAAUCAACCCAUUGGUUGAGAUUGAUUUUUUGUCGAUGACCUCCAUCAAUCCAUUGGUUGAUAUUGGUGUGUCUUCUUUUGUUGAUUUGAAUCAACACAUUAGUUGAGGACGAUUUAUCGUUAACCUCCGUCAAUACAUCAACUGAUGUUGGACGUCUUUUGUUGAUCUGAAUCAACAUAUUAGUUAAGGAUGGUUUGCCGGUGCCAUUGCCUUUACCUAGUGAGUCUUCCCAUUUACUUCAUUUGUCUUCCCAUUGGAAUUCCUUGGAAAGUUAUAUCAGUUAAUCCCCUCAGAGUUUGAUUCCUAUUUCAUAUCCCCAACAAUAGAAUCCAUGCAUUCAUAACAUAACGUGCCAUCUCAUUGCACCAAAGGAAAAAAAUUGGGUUUUUCGUAUUUAAUUAUCUUCAACCACAAAUGUAUGAAGACCGUUGUCAUUCAUACCUUCAGGUUCAAGGUAAUUAAAUAGGGGCAACUGUCAUACCCCAAUUUUGUCCGAAAAUUUUAAACUUUCAUGCAUUCAAUCUUAUUUUGUUUUGCUUAGAAUAAAAUUUAAGUUUUACACACAGAUCGGUUGAAUCGAUUUUUAAUUGCACGUAAAUUAGCAAGCAAAACAUUUCUAGAUCGGGCUUGCAUUUGUUUGUUUUAUUGAUCUACAAUUCACGUAGUUUAACCGAACUUGCUCGUUUAAUUUUUUCGAUCCCAUUUACUUUCGCAAUUUGAUCCGUCUAAGCCUUUUCAACCGAGCGUUUUUCACCAUAAAAUUUGAUUUCUAUCUGUCUAUUUUACAGAAGUAUAUUUCUCAUAGAUUAUUUCAAUGCAUUUAUUUUAUUUUUUUUCACGCCCGAUUUUUAUUCAAUUUAGUUCCUUUUGUUUUUGUUUUUUUAUCAAAAUAUCAACAAAAAAAAUAGAGACAAAUAAAUAAUCAUUUAAUUUUUAUUUUCUUUAUUAAAAAAAAGAUUUCAAUUGUUUUGAAUUUGAUUCUUUUAAAUUCAUUUUUUAUCUUAAGCAUAUCCUUGUGUGUUUUUUGGCAGUGCAUUUAAUUAUGAAAAUCCUAAUUUGCUUAUUAUUUUGUGCUAACUUUCUUGACCAAUGGACUGAAGUUAAUCACUAACUCACAAUUGUUACCAUUAUUUUCACUUGGAUCACUAUGGAUGUUUCUCUCCCAUAACUAAAUUACAAUCUCAUUUCAAAAAAAUUAACUUCAAUAAACACACCUAGAUGCAAUCCCAAUACAAUUAUGUUGUUGCUUUUCUUAUCUCUUUCAUUUUUAAUUACUUCGAUUAUUGAGUCUCCUUCAUGAUUGCACUUAUCUUGAAUUGGUUUUGAAAUGAUUUGUUUUUAGCAUGCAUAAACCAAUAUUUAUGUUUGAACUUGAUCAAGAUGCUUUUAGUCAAUUGCAUCAAUCAUUGGAAUAAGAACCAUAUAUGUUACUAAUUCAAGUUAGGUGGAAAGAAAAAUCUCAAAGUGUUUUGAAAAUUAUGAAAAAUUGAAAUUUUGUGUGUUUGAUUCGAAUCAAGCACAUAUUCUAACUUGAAUAAAAUAGAACAGAGGUCAACCAAAAAAUUUCAAACACCCUGAUUCAUCAUCAUUUACACUUGAUUUGAAUCAACAUUUACACUUGAUUUAAAUCAUACUUUUUUUGGGUCACCUCUAGAUGAUUUAAUUUGAAUUAUACUUUACACCUGAUUUGAAUUAGAAAGUUUUCUCACAUUUUCCAGUUAGAUCUGCUUAAAUUGAUUUGAAUCGGAAUUAACACUUGAUUCAAAUCAAGGGGUCUUUGAUUCGAAUCAGACUUUGUUCUAGACUCGAAUCAACUAUAAAAUGGGUCAAAACUCUAUUUUCUUCUUAUUUCACUUCACUUGCUCUUUUGAUUCAAAUCAUGAAUUGGUCUUGAUUCGAAUCUAACUAACUUUUCAACAAUUUUUUAGUGCUUAAUCUCAAGCACAUAUAAAAAUCCUUUUUGUCAUCUUUUUCAUUAAAAAAUAGUUCAUAAUCAACAAUAUGAUUUUCUGUGAAACCAACACCCUCGAUUUUUUAAAGUUCAAAGCCCUUGCAACGAAACUCAUACAUAUUCAACUUCGAUUUGAUUUUAGAUAUUGUUAACGAUAGAUUGGUUAUUGAUUGAAGGAGACACUGUCUUGAAACUAGUUAUUCUUAAAGAUUUGGUUGAGAUUCUCAGGUAGCUUGAAAGAUUGAGGUUUUUGUCGUUGGUGCUAAAAAAUUCCAAUGAAAAGAAGUAGGUUCUUCUCUCCAGAUAGACUUAGUAGUGAUUGCAUGGAAGGCUAUAGAUAAGACAUAGUUCUUCUCAAAUCUAUGGAAAACUUGUCACUCAAGGGAUCAGUAGGAUCAAUGGGUGAUUGCUAUACACGAAAGCUUGAAGCAAAUUAGUGAUAUUUGAAGAUUCACAAAGCAUUAAUUAAGAAAAGAUUACACAUAAGAGUUUGGCAUUACGUUGUCUACAAGUAAAGAUCCUGAUAUUGGUUUUAUUUUUCUCAGCAUUAUUGUGGAUUGGUGAAUGUAUGUGUUAGAUGUGAAUAUAGAAGUAGAAAGACAAUCUAGAGGGGAAGGGGGUGAAUAAACCCUUGUUAAAAAAUGAAGAGCUUUUUCAAAAAUUUAUCAGAGAGUUUUAAAAGAUGCGAGCAGAAGGUUUGAUGCAAAAAAUAUGAAAAUUACAUUUUUUGAAACUUGAUCAUGUUAACACUAAUUUGAUUCACAAACUCCAAAGAUGAAUGUGAUGAUACACAAGUUAUACAAUUAAUUCGGUUGUAUAAUUCACGAAGUGUGUUUAUAUAACGAUUAAAUAUAGUGAAUUCUAACCUCAAUUAUUUCUAAUAAUUUAUUCGCCAAUUCAACUCGAUAAGGUAUCCAAGUCUAACAAAACCUAAGCUUACGUAAUAAAUCUCUACCAAUUGAAUAAACGAUGAACUAUGCUAGAAUUGAAAUAUCUAAGCAUGCAAAUACUACUAAAAUUAAAUGCAAGAGAGAGAGAGAGAGAGAUUUCUUUCAUUAACCUUCGUCAAUAUAUUGGUUGAAGUUGGUUAUUCUUCAUCUAAACCAAUUCAUUGGUUGAGGAGGAUUUAUUUUUAUUUCAUUAACCUUCGUCAAUCCAUUGGUGGAAGUUGGUUUUUUUUCAUCUAAAUCAAUUCAUUGGUUGAGGACGAUUUGUGCGUUGACCUUUAUUAAAGUAUAGGUUGAAGUUGGUUAUUUUUUCAUCAAAAUCAAUCCUUUGAUUGAGGAUGAUUUGUUCAUGACCUUAGUUAAUCCUUUGGUUGAAGUCAAUUAUUUUUCAUAGGAAUCGAUCCUUUGAUUGAGGACAAUUUGUUCGUUGACCUUCAUCAAUCCAUUGGUUGAAGUUGGUUAUUUUUCAUAUGAAUCAAUCCAUUGGUUGAGGAUGAUUUGUUCAUGGACAUUCGUCAAUCUAUUGGUUGAAGUUGGUUAUUUUUCAUUUGAAUUAAUCCAUUGGUUGAGGAUGACUUGUUCGUUGACCUUCAUCAAUCCAUUGGUCGAAGCUGGUUGUUUCAAGUUCUUCUAAUCCGAAUCAACCUAUUGGUUGAGAAUGAUCUUUUUGCCGAUGACCUCCAUCAAUCCAUUGGUUGGUAUUGGUGUGUCUUCUUUUGUUGAUUUGAAUCAACACAUUAGUUGAGGACGAUUUAUCGUUAACCUCCGUCAAUACAUCAAUUGAUGUUGGAUGUCUUUUGUUGAUCUGAAUCAACAUAUUAGUUAAGGAUGGUUUGUCGGUGCCAUUGCCUUUACCCAGUGAGUCUUCCCAUUUACUUCAUUUGUCUUCCCAUUGGAAUUCCUUGAAAAGUUAUAUCAGUUAAUCUCCUCAGAGUUUGAUUCAUAUUUCAUAUCCCCAACAAUAGAAUCCAUGCAUUCAUAACAUAACGUGCCAUCUCAUUGCACCAAAGGAAAAAAAUUGGGUUUUUCGUAUUUAAUUAUCUUCAACCACGAACGUAUGAAGAUCGUUGUCAUUCAUACCUUCAGGUUCAAGGUAAUUAAAUAGGGGCAGCUGUCAUACCCUAAUUUUGUCCGAAAAUUUUAAACUUUCAUGCAUUCAAUCUUAUUUUGUUUUGCGUAGAAUAAAAUUUAAGUUUUACACACAAAUCGGUUGAAUCGAUUUUUAAUUGCAUGUAAAAUUAGCGAGCAAAAAAUUUCUAGAUCGGGCUUGCAUUUGUUUGUUUUAUUGAUCUACAAUUCACGUAGUUUAGCCGGACUUGCUCGUUAAACUUUUUCGAUCCCAUUUACGUUCGCAAUUUGAUCAGUCUAAGCCUUUUCAACCGAGCGUUUUUCACCAUAAAAUUUGAUUUCUAUCUGUCUAUUUUACAGAAGUAUAUUUCUCAUAGAUUAUUUUAAUGCAUUUAUUUUAUUUUUUUCACGCAUUUUCACGCCUGAUUUUUAUUCAAUUUAGUUCCUUUUGUUUUUGUUUUUUUUAUCAAAAUAUCAACAAAAAAAAUAGAGACAAAUAAAUAAUCAUUUAAUUUUUAUUUUCUUUAUCAAAAAAAAUAUUUCAAUUGUUUUGAAUUUGAUUCUUUUAAAUUUAUUUUUUAUCUUAAACAUAUCCUUGUGUGUUUUUUGGCAAUGCAUUUAAUUAUGAAAAUCCUAAUUUGCUUAUUAUUUUGUGCUAACUUUCUUGACCAAUGGACUGAAGUUAAUCACUAACUCACAAUUGUUACCAUUAUUUUCACUUGGAUCACUAUGGAUGUUUCUCUCUCAUAACUGAAUUACAAUCUCAUUUCAAUAAAAUUAACUUCAACAAACACACUUAGAUGCAAUCUUAACCCUUGAUUAAACAUUUAUUUUUCACAUGGAUCACUAAUCGGUACAAUCCUAACCAUUCAUCAUUUUCAUUUUUCAUAUUCUAACUUUCUCAAAAAUUCACCCUCACAUUUCACACAAAUUUGAAUUCAUUCACAUUCAUGCUAGCCUAUUUAAAUAACAUCAUAUCACCACACAAAAAAAGGAGAAGGAGAAAUGAGUAAAAAGGAUAGCAUAUUCACUACUUGAAUUUUCCUCAAAAAUAGAAAAUAAUUGAAUAAUUUGAAAGAGGAGAAAGAGAGGGUUGAAGAGUGAUUCAUAUCACAUUGAUCGAUACCUGCUUGGAGCUUCGUCGGAGGGUGGUCGGGAUUUACAAACUCAUCGGUUUUCUUUGCAUUCUUGAGGAUUUUCACGUGGAUAAACUUUGAUUCUUGUUUUUUACUAGACUUCUUGACAUAAACUUGUUGUUGCACUUAGUAUGUAAUCCAUUAAUCAUUUGUGCAAAAUAGCUCGGAAAAUGAAUUUUUAGAAAAUUGAUAUUCUUGUGCAUCUCACUAUAAACGACUAAUUUUCGAAAAUUUUAGUUGUUGAUUUUUGAGCAUGAAAUUAUGUUCGUGAGAUCGAUUAGAUGAAUUUUUAUUAUUCAUUUAGGCGAUUUCGUGAAAAAUUGAGACAAUUGCAUCUGGAUCAAAUAGAUUAGUAGUGUGUAUUUUCCAAAUUGUUCAUAUUGUUAAUGCAUUCUUACUUCCUACACUACUAUUCAUGCUUAACAAAAGUGGAAGAUGAAGCAUGGCCCAUGUGGCCCUACCAUUUUUUUUUCAUUUUCUUUUUAUUUUAUUUUAUUACUUUCUAUUUUCUUUUUUUUUUAUUAUUUAAUUUUUUUUAAUUAAUUUGAUUAAUUGAUUAAAUACAAACUUAAAUAGUUUUUUUUCCCCUUUAAGUUGACAUAUUUUUGUUUUUGUCACUAUGUCUUUUUUUUAUGGAUAAAGUUCUUAUAUGUUGAAUUUUAUUUGCUUUUAGUUCAUAAAAUUAAAAUCCAGAGGUUUCUUAUGGAUUUUAACUUUAGGGACUAACACCAAAAGAAUUUUAGGAUUCAUGGAUUAUUUUUAGAAAAAAAAGAUACAGGAACAAAAAUAAAUAAAAACGCCAACUUAUAGGACCAAAAAACUAUUUAAGCCUUAAAUGUAUCUUAAUUUAUUAACCUUUUAAAUUGAUUUUUAAUUAAUUGACUAAUUGAUUAAAUAUAUUUUAAUUGAUUAAUUUUGUUAAUUGAUUUUUAAUUAACUUGAUUCAUUGGUCAUAUCUAUUUUAAUUGAUUAACUUUGUUAAUUGAUUUUUAAUUAGCUUGAUUAAUUGAUUAAUUUGGUUAAUUGAUUUUUAAUUAACUUGAUUAAUUAAGUAAUUUCAUUUUAAUGGAUUAAUUAGGGUUAAUUGAUUUUUAAUUAAAUAAUUUGACCACAUAAAAUCAACCUUUCAAAAUCAAAUUAAAUACUUGAUCAACAUCAAGUUGGUUUUCAAAUUAUCUGACCACGUUAUAAACCACUUUCCUAAUUAAAUGUUACAUUAAAAAAUCUUUUCAUAAUAAAAUCGAAUGAAGAGGAACAUUAGAGUCUCGCGUUACAUGAAAACCUCGAAUCAUUGGCUUCGGGACACACGUCUUUGAAUAACAAUUUAUUCUUUCUUUUAUCCCAAAACACUUAAUUCAAACUUGGAUUAAAAAAGGAACAUUAUAGUAUAGGGUUCUAUGAAAACCUUGAGCAAUCGGUCCAGAGACACACGUUUUGGUCCUACCACACGUUUGUUAUCCAUCAAACAAAUGUCAUAAACACUUUGAAUGAAAAAAGAACAUUGGUGUCUCCUUUAUAUGAAAACCUCGAAUAAUCGGCCCUGAGGCAUACGUCUUGGUCCUACCGAGCAUUCAUCAUUCUCCUAAAAAUAAUUCAACACAUCAAAUCCAUUUUUCUUGCCUCUGUGCGAUCGAAAACCUUUUUAAAAAGAACAUUGUUUAGUCUGUUCUAUCGCAAUACAAACAAACGUUUUAAGCCUCCCAUUGCAAGCACAAGCAACGUUUAACUGAUAGAGCGCGAUUUAAACAUUCGUUCGAUAAAAUCAACCAAUCAAUACAUAACUUUUUACGCAGAACUACGUAGUCUUGAGUUCUCUAUCGCACCUAGGGAUACAUAGAAGCGGGAUUUUGAAAUCUUGUCAGGCACGUUAACAAAAAAACCUAAAAAAGUUUUUUCUUUCUUUCUUUCAUAAACACAUGAUAAGUAAAAGAAAACAAUAACAUAAGCUAACAUUCAAUCGCAAAUUUAACUUAAUGGUACUUGUUGAGUACAACGAACGUGAGGGGUGCUAAUAUCUUCCCCUUGCGUAACGACUCUUGAACUAGAGUUUGGUUGCGACGACCAUCUUCUUUUUCUUUCGAAGGUUUUAUCUAUAUUUUCUCUUUCCUAUUUUUGAACAAAUAAAAUUUGGUGGUGACUUUAUUCAAUAGUUUUCCGAGAACGCGCGAACUCCUCGCGAAUGAUAAUAUUUUUUUAUAUGAACACAACCAAGUCGUGCAUUAAGAAAACAUAAUAGCAAACAUGUAACUAUUUAAUAUGUGCAUUAUGAAAUGGAAGUUAUUGUUUUUAAUUUAGUGUUAUACUAAUAUAUUUAAAUUUAAGAGUUAAGUUUUCUCAUUAGAACCUUAAAAACAUGUUCCUGAAUAGCAAAUGAGAUUUGUGUAAAAAUUGGAAUGCGGUCAAAGUCAUGUUGAUACUUCAACUAGGUUCAAUCAAGAAAUCAUUUAGAAAAAAUCAUCAUGAACAUUAAGAAUCAACAUAUUACUCAUUUUUACGCAAUAUUGUAUGGUUUCGUGUCAAGAAAAUGCAAACAUCACAUUGCAAGAGAGAAUAAAAGAGUGAAGUGAGUAGGUGUUUAUAAGGUUGCAUAUCAUAAAAGAGUGAAGUGAGUAGGUGUUUAUAAGGUUGCAUAUGGAUACUGCAUUAUAUGGCGGGAAAUGCUUGUAGCAUGACAUAAUAUUUAAUACCAUAUUAAUUUACAUAAAUAUUUAACAAUAAAAUUAUAAAAUACUUAUACUUCUAUCAAACUCAUACACAUAAAGUUGCCUCGUAUAAAGGCAUUGGCCUCUCCUAAAAAGUGAUACCCAAGCUCGAGGAACACGAAAAUAUACUUCACAUCAAUGUAAUGAUUGUAAUGAUAGGGCUUAUUAACAUAAAUGGUACAUCCAACCAGAUAUAACAUAUCAUAUCUACCAUGUGUCACCAACACCGUAUAUUUUUCUCUUGUAGGCAAGGCUCGUGUAACAUGGAACAUGCACAACACAUCACCUAAUGUGACUGUAAUCUCUUUGAAUGAAAGAUGGAAGGAAGAAAUCUUGUUUUUCCAUCUUUCUGUAAGAGAAUAUAACAGUGGACUGCCUAGCAUGGUGUGCUAACAACCCAUCAACGAAAAUAAUAGAAACCCCCUCAAGUAUCUCCAUAACAAAGAAUUUCUUCAACUUCAUCCCAUGGAUGGAACCUUUAAUAUGACUGAUCUUGAAAAAUUAAAUCAUAAGAUACUAGUUAUUUUAAUUAACACAUAAUGCAUAAAAUAUAAUUAUAUAACUACAUAUACCUCUCAUUGGCAUAGAUGCAAUGCUACAUGUUGAUUGUACUAAGUCAACAUAGACAUGUCAGAUGGUCAUCCUCGGAAUCCAAUUGCCACCUAAGUCAAAAUAAUUAAAUAAUCUUCAAAAGAAGACUAUAACACCUAAUGAAUUGCGUUACAAUUAAAACUCACUCACUCUCUUUCUUUCCAAGAAUUGAGCAAGACUUAUCAGUCGUAAUUUAGUUGAGGUUGAAAUAAUUCUUUUCUAAAAAAUCUCAAAUAAAUAGCAUUUCCCAUUCAAGAGAUUAACAUUUAAAAAAUAUUCAAGGUUUUUUUGAGAUAGAUUUUAUGUGAAUGAUGAACACUCUAAAAGUUGAUUUUAUGUGUUAUAGAUAAGACACAAAAAAGUGUAAAAAUAACACUUUGAUUCGAGUCAAAGAGAAAAUGAGUGAUUCGAAUCUAGUGAGAGAAUGCUUUGAAUCAAAAAAAGAAGAAACUCAUAACAUAGCUAAAUUGAUUAUUGACAUUAGAAUCAUGAAAGACAUGAGAGCAGCUAAACAGAUUAUUGACAUUAGAAUCAUGCGUGACUGAAAGGAGAAGAAACAUUGGAUGUCACAGGAACAUCUUAUUGAAAGAAUGUUGUAAAGAUUCCAAACGGAAAGUUCUAAGGCGGUAAGCACUCCUCUUGCUACUCAUUUGAAGUUUAGUUCUAAUCAAAGUCCUUCAAGUGAUGAUGAAAUGUUUUAUAUAAAAAGUGUUCCUUACGCGUCUAUCGUGGGUAGUUUGAUGUGUGCAAUGGUGUGUAAAAGAUCAAAUAUAACUCAUGUUGUUGGUACAAUCAAUAGAUAUUUGUCAAAUUCAGGUAGAGAGCAUGGAAUGUUGCAAAAUGGAUUUUAAGGUAACUUCGUGAUACUACUUGUGUGAGGCUUUGUUUUGAAGGAGAUAAGACUGCUCUAGAGGGGUACUCUGACUCUGGUAUGUCUAGAGACAUUAAUUCUAAAAAUUCCACUUUGCGCUACAUGAUUAAAUUUGAAGGGGAAGUUGUGACUUGGUAGUCAAGAUUGCAAAAGUGUGUAGCAUUUUCUACUACAAAUGCAUAGUUCAUUGCCAUUACUAAAGCAUGCAAAAAGUUACUAUGGUUGAAGAUAUUUUUGUAGGAGUUUGGGUUUGUUCAAGACAAAUAUGUGUUAUUUGUUGAUAGUGAAAAUACUAUUUAUAUUGGUAAGAAUCCGACUUUUCAAAAGUUCAAACACAUUAAUGUGAGAUAUUAUUAAAUACAUGAUGUUUUGGAUGUUAAGUUGUCAGAAUUAGCUAAAUUUCACAUGAAUGAUAAUAGUUUUAAUGUGAUGACUAAAACAUUAUCAAGAGGAAAAUUUAAAGUUUAUCGUGAUAUUGCCGGUAUGGCAAUUUCUUCCAAAUAAUUGUGAGGAGGAGAUUUGUUGGAUUUGUAACUUGAACUUCCUCCACAUAUGAUGAUUAAAAUACUGAUGUUCUGCAAUGUUUUUGUUUGUUUAUAUAUUUGUUUUUUAUCCUUAUAGAUUUAAAAAAUUUAUAUUUACUAGUUUAUUUUUGAGAAUUAAUUUCCCAUACAUUCUCAUAUUUAAAAAUAUAGAAUUAUGAAAUGAAAACAAGCCAACUGUGUUAUGUUUUUUGGAAUAAGAAUGGGGCCAGCUUCCUGCAGAAUAAAACCAAGUCAAGUGUUCACACCAGUAUGAAUCAAAGGAAAUGAUAAAGUAAAGAUAGCGUAAGUAAAUUGAUGUUGUUAUUUGAAAACGUUAAAAGUUGUCACAUGCUUAUGUUUGUCUGAUAUGACACGAAGACAGGAAUACGUACACUCAAAUAACAUUUCUAAGGCAUCAAUAUGCUGUGAAUGUGCUAACAAAAGCUCAAGUUACAAAUGUGAAUGUGAGAAAGAUUUCAAAAUCCAAAUUGGAAUCUUCUUCUUACAUGGUUUAGGUUUAAAUGUGUACACUUGGACUUUAGGUUUCUUCCCUCUUUUUUUUGUAUAUAUCCAUCAUCUAGUCGUUAUUUUUAAAAUCUUAAUUCAAAAUAAAUAAGUCAAUGAGUCAAACAUGAUGGCAGAGAAUCAUUGCUCACAGCUACAAAAAGUCUAAUUCUCUUGACUCUUCACAUGGUAAAUUAAAUUUCUUAAAAUCUAUUUUCAUUUGUGAAGAAAAAACUUAAAUCUGUAUAUUAUAAUAUUAUAUAUCCUCAUCACUGCUUCGACUCAUAAAUAUAUUAUAUUCAACAAUGGCCAAACUAUACUCUAACUGGCUCUAUAUUCUCUCUUUCUCACUCUAUUUUUACUUCUUCACUUGCUUAGUUAUGAGUACUAAAAAAAACAUCACCACCGAUGAAUUUGCACUUCUUUCAUUCAAAUCAUCUAUUACUUUGGACCCUUAUCAUGUUCUUAGUAAUUGGUCAAUUUCCUCUAAUUCUUCUACUUUCUCUUCAUGCAAUUGGGUUGGUGUUACUUGUGAUGAACAUCAUGGAAGAGUAAAUGCAUUGAAUCUUAGUAACAUGGCCCUUCAAGGUACCAUUUCUCCUCAGUUGGGAAAUCUCUCUUUCCUUCUUGUUCUUGAUCUACAAGGCAAUGGUUUCCAUGGUGAGUUACCACGAGAGUUACUUCAUUUGAAGAGAUUGAAGUGGUUGGAUUUGAGUUACAAUGAUUUUGUUGGAGACAUUCCUUUAAGGAUAGGGGACUUAUCAAAACUUCAAUAUUUGGAUCUUGGAUAUAAUAAUAUUGUUGGAGUUAUUCCUCAAUCUAUAUCCAAUUUCUCAAUGUUGGAGUAUCUAAACUGGAAAUCAAAUUUCAUUGAAGGAACUAUUCCACAUGUUAUUGGUAAACUUGAAAGGUUGAGAAUUUUGGAUGUUAGAAAUAACAAACUCUCUGGAAUCAUACCAUCAACAAUUUUCAACAUGUCUUCGCUUCAAGAAAUCCGUCUAUCAAAUAAUUCUUUAUCAGGUAUGAUAUGUUCACCCCCAUGAUUUUAAAUUACAGUUGCGUCUGCAAUUGAAACAAUCAUUACGGUCGUUGUGAUUCGUAUUAUGUUUAAAGAGUCGUCCUAAAUAUGUUUAUUUUGUCUAUAUUGAACUAAAGGAGAAAUUCCAAAAGGAAUUGGUGAUCUUCCACAGCUGAUAACAUUGAACCUUCAAUAUAAUCUCCUCACCGGCAACAUAUUAAUGUUGAACAACUCAUCUUUGCAAAUAUUGGGUCUUGGUUUCAAUAAUCUCUCUGGAAUUCUUCCAUCAAAUGUUUGUCAAGGACUUCCAAAUCUUAGAUUACUCUAUCUUUAUGUUAAUGAUUUUUCUGGUAAGAUGCCGAAUGUAUGGCGAUAUUGCAAAGAAUUGGUAGAUUUGGAGCUAUCUUUCAAUAAUUUUGACAAAGGACCUAUGCCAGCUGACAUUGGAAACUUGACAAACCUUCAAUCUUUGUAUCUUACUAGCACCAACUUGGAAGGUAAGAUAAUUUUUCUAACACAAUAAGUGUUUAUUUAUUAAGUGUUUAUUGAAUAAUACUUUCAUAUUUUAUAUUACAUAUACAGGUGAAAUUCCAGUCUCCCUCUUCAACAUCUCUUCUUUGAUAGAGAUCAACCUUGAUGGAAACCAUUUAAAUGGAACUCUUCCGGGCGAGAUGUGUCUUCAACUUCCUCAACUUGAAAAAUUUACUCUAUUCGGUAAUCGUUUGGAAGGAACCAUUCCACGAUCGAUUGGCAAUUGCACAUUGUUGCAAAUAUUAACAUUACAGGAUAACUUUUUUUCAGGUAAAUCCUCAAAUUUCUAUCUUCAUUUUUUGGUUAAGCAUUUCAUGCAUCAUUUUACUCUCAUGCUUCAUCUCAUGAUAUGUGAUUUUAGGUUUGAUACCUAUGGAGAUUGGCAAUCUCAAUCAACUUCAGUUUCUUCAAUUGGGAAAUAACAGUUUGAGUGGAUAUGUUCCUUCAAAUGUCUUCAACAUUUCAAGAUUGGAAAAUCUUCAUCUUGAACUAAAUUCUCUCUCGGGUAUGCUUCCAUCAAAUAUGGGAUUAGGCCUUCCAAACCUACAACAACUACACAUGUAUGGAAAUAGGUUUGUUGGAAAUAUUCCAAAUAGCAUAUCCAAUGCCUCAAAUCUCGUCAUAAUUGACUUGAGUUCGAAUGAAUUUAGCGGAGUUAUACCCAACUCAUUUGGAAAUUUAAGAGACCUUGAAUCACUCGUCAUAGGUGGCAAUAAUUUGACAAUAGACGAGUCUCUUGAAUUCAACUUCUUAACUUCGCUGACAAGUUGCAGAAACUUGAAACAUCUUGAAAUUUCAGAGAAUACUUUGCCAUUAAAACUUCCCAAGUCCAUUGGAAACCUAUCUUUAGAACACCUUUGGGCAAAUUCUUGUGGAAUUAAAGGAAACAUUCCACUAGAAAUCGGAAACAUGAGCAACUUGGUUCGAUUAUCUCUGAGUAAGAAUGAUUUAAUUGGACAAAUCCCUAGUACAAUUAAAGAGUUACAGAAACUUCAAUCUUUAGGCCUUGACUACAAUGGACUUGAAGGAUCUAUAAUUGAUGAGCUUUGUGAAAUUAGGAGUUUGAGUGAGUUGAAUUUAACAAGUAACAAGUUUUUUGGAGUGUUACCAACAUGUUUGGGAAAUAUGACUUCUCUUAGAAAGUUUCACAUUGGAUCUAACAGGUUAUCCUCUUCAAUACCUUCCUCCUUUUGGAAUCUCAAAGAUAUUUUAGAGGUAAACUUAUCCUCUAAUGCUUUAAUUGGAAAUCUUCCAUUUGAGAUUAAGAAUUUGAGAGCUCUUGUGCUAUUAGAUUUGUCAGAAAAUCAAAUUUCAAACAACAUUCCAACAACCAUAAGUUUCUUGACAACUCUAGAAACUCUCUCCUUAGCAAAUAACAAAUUGGAAGGACUUAUUCCAAAAUCACUUGGUGAAAUGGUAAGUUUGAGCUUCUUGGACUUGUCUCACAAUCAUAUAACCGGUAUGAUCCCGAAAUCUUUGGAGUCACUAUCUUAUCUUAAACACAUGAAUGUUUCAUACAACAGAUUGCAAGGAGAGAUUCCGAAUGGAGGACCUUUCAAGAAGUUUACAUCUCAAUCUUUCAUGAGUAAUGAAGCACUUUGUGGUAGUACUCACUUUCAAGUACCUCCAUGUGAUGAAAAAAUUAGGAAAAAGUCAAUGAAAAAGAUGAUAUUAAUCAUAUGCAUAUCAUCCAUAAUUGUUGUGUUAGGCCUUGUGGCUAUUGCAUGCAUAAUAGUUCAAAUGUUCAAAAGGAAAAAAGUUGAAAAUCCAGUUGAAAGAGAUUUAUCAACUAAUUUAGGGGUUUCAAAAAGGAUCUCCUAUAAUGAACUUGUGCAAGCAACUGAUGGAUUUAGUGAGAGUAACUUGCUUGGAAAGGGUGGUUUUGGAUCUGUGUAUCAAGGAAUGCUUUCUAGUGGGAAGAUGGUAGCAGUUAAAGUACUUGACUUGAAAUUGGAAGUUGCAUCAAGAAGUUUUGAUGCGGAAUGCAAGGCAAUGCGCAAUCUUCGGCAUCGAAAUCUUGUUGAGAUUAUUACUAGUUGUUCAAAUGUCAAUUUCAAAUCUUUGGUGAUGGAGUUUAUGUCAAAUGGGAGUUUGGAAAAAUGGUUAUACUCAGAUAACUAUUUUUUGGAUUUCUUGCAAAGGUUGAAUAUAAUGAUAGAUGUUGCAUCUGCAUUGGAGUAUCUCCAUCAUGGUUCUUCAAUACCAGUGGUUCAUUGUGAUCUGAAGCCUAGUAAUGUGUUACUUGAUAAAAAUAUGGUGGCACAUGUGAGUGAUUUUGGCAUUUCUAGACUCUUGGAUGAAGGACAUUCUAAAACUCAUACAGGAACUCUAGCCACUCUUGGCUAUGUUGCACCAGGUAAUUAUUCUCUUCUAACUCAUAAGUUGAUUAUAAUAGUUUGAACUCAUAUUCAGAAUCGUCCUAAGUUUUCAAAAGCCAUGCGUAAGAUAGUUACGGUCUAAAUGUGCGAAGCAAAUAAGGGCCUUAUUUUGCCACGAUUUAACCAUGAUAAGUAUUUUAUGAGACACUUUUUAACUACAGUUUAACCGUAUCAGAUUUGAGACUCAUGCAAUAGUCCGCCUUACACACCCUUAAAGACACCUGCUUAUAGUUAGUAGCCAAAUUUAUAUCUAACUAAAUAGAUACUAAAAAUGAAUACUCUCCUUCCUAACAAUUUGUAAAUCAUUUUCAUUGUAUUUGAGAAAUAUUUAAUAACUAGUUGUUAAUAUUGCAUGUAGAGUAUGGUUCUAAGGGAGUGAUUUCGGUUAAAGGAGAUGUGUAUAGCUAUGGAAUAAUGCUAAUGGAAAUCUUCACAGCAAAGAAGCCAACAAAUGAAAUGUUUGCAGGAGAAUUAACAUUGAAAACUUGGAUUAGUGAAUCAAUGGCCAGUUCAACCAUGGAAGUUGUGGAUUUCAAUUUAGUCUCUCAACAUGAUAAAGAAAUUCAUGAAUUUUUAGCUCAUGUGUCGUCUAUUUUGGCUUUAGCAUUGAGGUGUUGCGAAGACUCACCUGAGGCACGGAUUAAUAUGAUUGAUGUAAGUGCAUCAUUAAUCAAAAUCAAGACCUUAUUCAUCCAUUGAAAGACAAAAUCAUGAAAUAAAACUACAUAUUGAAUUAUAAAUCACAUAUUACCUGAAAAAAAUCUCUUUAUUCUUCUAUGUUUCCAAUAAUAUUUGAAUAUAAAUGCAACAUAAAACAUUAUUUAAUUUCAUAUUAUAUGUGGUUACACAUAAAAGUAAAGAAUUUGUUAGCUGAAAUAGACAACAAAACAAUUUAGUGUUGGGCCAUGUUCUCUCAACCAAUCUAAAGCUAGGCGAGUGCAAGUUCAAUCAAAUGUGAAGAAGAUGAAUCUUAAUCAAUUAUAAUUAGGUCUACAAAGAUCAUGGAAGUGAUAGAAUCAUUCAAAACUCAGUAGGAAUUCAUAAUUGAAAAUUUUACCCAUGCUCUAUGUUUAUAGAGUCACUAACCAAAGAAAGCAAAAAGAAAGGAAACACAUUUUGAGGCAGUCUCACAUGCGUGGAUAAGAAAAAAUGGAAAAUACCAUGAAUUUAUAGAAUCAUGUAUGUUAAAAAGAGUGAGAGGGAGAGUGAGAGAUAUUUGAAUAAAAUUGUGUGUUUGAAUAAUACUACGGAGAUUGUAAUAUAUAGUGAAUAUGAUAUUUUGGACGGAACUCUAAUCUUAUAGGGAUAGUUUCAUCUUUCGACAGAGUUGCGUAUGUUGUAGUCGAAGUCUGCUCAAGCAUGCAGGAGUUGAAGAUGUGCAUGUUGUAGUCGAAGCAUGUUCUAGCAUGCAAUUGUAUAAGUUAGCUUGUUGCUUAAGUUAGCUUAGUGUUUAAGUUAGUCUGUAGUCUAUAAAUAGACUGCUCUCUCAGAUUUUUGAGAGAGGGUUAAACGUUGAUUGUUGUUAUUCACUUGUAACCAUUUCCCUAAUUGAAAAAGUGAAUAGAAAAACAGUUUUAAGCAAUUAUUGUUCUUCUUCUUCCUUCUUCUCUCUCUUUCGUAAACCUAAAAGGGUUUCUUGCGUUUUUAUUUAUUCUUGGUGCGGCGUUUGUCACAACAAACUAGUGCGGUGAGCGUGGACUAGAUGCCGUCAACGAAGUAUGAUAUUGAGAAAUUCACUUGUGUGAAUGAUUUUGAUUUGUGGCGCUUGAAGAUGCAAGCCCUACUGAUUCAACAGGGUUUGUUAGAAGCGUUGAAAGGAUCAGAAAAGAUGGAUAUUUCCCUAACAAAGAAGGAGAAGACGACGAUGGAUGUUGAGCCUUGGUGAUAACACUACUACGGAAAACAUAUAUCACAACGGUUUGAUUGUAUGUAUGAUGAUUUCCACCACGGUCGUGGGAGUGUGAUUAUAAGUCAAGUAGCGCGCUACCUACUACAACAGUUACUUUAAAAAAUCGUUGUUAUAUGUCUCAACCUAUCACAACGGUUAUUUUAAACAACCGUUGUUGUAUGUCUUUUACUCCCUUCGUUCCUUUUUAAGUGUCAUUUUUUAACUUUUUACACAUAACAAGAAAACUAAUCAUUAUUGUUACUUUUCAAACAAUAAUUCUUCUUUUACCUAUAAUACCGUUAAUUAUUUAUUACAUUCGUUUUACUUUUUCUCUCUCUUUAAUAAUCACCUAGGGGUAAUUUUGACAAAAGUGCAAUUAAUACUACCUUGAGCUUUGCAAGUGACAAUUAAAAAGGAAUUUUUUUUCUCAAGAAAAUGACACUUAAAAAGGAACGAAGGGAGUAAUAAAAAGAAAAUUAUUGCAGCAAUAGAACAACAACAAUAAGAAGAAGCACAAUAAGAACAAAAACAAGAACUACAACAUGAACAAGAACAACAACAAAAAUAACAACAACAACAAUAACAAUAACAACAAUAAGAACAAGAACAAGAACAACAAGAAUAACAACAAGAACAAGAACAACAACAACAAUAACAACAACAUCAACAUCAUCAGCAUCAUCAUCAUCAUCAUCAACAACAACAACAACAACAAAAAGAACAACAACAAGAACAACGACAACUAACAUUGCUAACUUGAAUCCAUGCUUUCCUUGUCUCAUUCAAGUUAGAGAUGAGAGGUGAUGGAGUUCUGAAAUUUGUUAAUGAAAGAAAUGAUAUUUUCGAGUUUUAUUUAUGGAAGAAAUGAUGUUUUCGAGCUUGCUUUAGUGGAGAAAUAGAGUGUCGUAAGUGGAAGAAGAUGUUUGGAGGUAGAAGAUGAAGUUCGUAUAAGUUGGAAGUUCAUUUAAGUUUUAGGUUUCACUCAGAUCACUAAAGGUAGUGUCUUUAGCGUUCAUACUCACUAGAUGAAUGAUAAAGAUUUAUUUAAGAACAAUGAAGAAACUUAAUAAGCAGGCUUAAAAAUAAAUAAAAACAAAAUUGUAGGUUCCACCUAUCAUAACGGGUACUUUAAACAACUGUUGUCGUGUGUCUCAACCUAUCACAACGGUUACUUUAAACAACAUUUAUUGUACGUCUUUUAAUAAAUAAAUAAAUAAAAACAAAAUUUUAGGUGCUAGGAUUCGAACUCAUGACCAGACGCCACUUUUCAUCAUAGUUGAAAGUUUCAACCGUGGUGAAUAAUGGCUUAAAAAUAAAUAAAAAACAAAAUUAUAGGUGCUAGGAUUCGAACGCAUGACCAUGCGCCACUUUUCACCGCGGUUGGUACCUAUGACCGUUGUGAAAUGUCUUUUAGUAAAUACAAAAAAACGUCAAAAAAAAGUUAUUACCACAGUUAACAGGAAGAUCGUUGUAAAAUGGGUGUUACGAAAGGUCUAUUUUGUAGUAAUAUAAGGUUAUCGGAAGGUCUAGAAGGAUAAGACGACAACAUGUGUGUGAAGAAAACUCGAAGGGUUAUACAUGACAAAAUCCCUGGUAAAUCGUCUGUACCUGAAGUAGGUUUGCAUUCAUUCAAGAUGAGUGAAGAUAGAGUCUUGACGGAGCAGUUGGAUAUGUUCAACAAGCUGAUUCUUGAUCUGGAGAAUGUUGAGGUUAGUAUCAAUGAUGAAGAUCAAGUGUUGUUAUUGUUGUGUUCUUUACCUAAGCCUCAUGCUCAUUUUAAAGAAACUCUUUUAUAUGAAAGAGAUUCCUUAAACUUUGAAGAAGUUCAAUCAGCCUUGUACUCUAAGGAUUUGAAUGACGGAAAGAAGCACAAGUUAUCGUUUGUUGGUAAAGGUUUGUCUGUUAAAGGGAAAUUCUUGAAGAAAGAUGGAAGGUUUGAGAAGAAGAAGGGUAAAGGUCAGUAAAAGUCUUAUGGUGGUGAUACCCCUAGAACUAAAUGUUACCACUGUAAGAAGGAAGGUCAUACAAGAAAAGUGUGCCCUGAACGUCUAAAAUAUCAUGGUUGUAAGGAUAAUGGGAAUGGAAUCAUUGUUCAAGAUGAUUUUAAAUCGUCUGAUGUUCUAGUAAUUUCGAGCAGCAAUUCUUGCAAGGAAUGGAUCAUGGAUUCAUGUUGCACUUGGCACAUGACUCCAAACAAAUAUGUGUUUGAGAAAUUAGGAGAUCAAGAUGGUGGAUCAGUUUUGCUGGGAAACAAUAGAGCCUGAAAGAUAUCAGGAAUUGGAUCUAUGAGAUUCAAGUUCCAUGAUGAGUCAAUAAAGCUAGUGACUGAUGUAAGAUGUGUACCUGAUCUAAAGAGAAAUUUGAUUUAUCUUGGUGAGUUCAACAAGAAGGGACAUGUUUUCAAAGGAGAGCAUUGCAUCCUCAGAGUCAUGAACGGUUUGAAGGAAGUCUUGAGAGGCAGGAAGAAAUAAGGCUUGUAUACCCUCAAGGCUGAGAUUGUAAGUGGAUUAGCAGAUUUUGCCUACACGAAACCUGUGUUGAAGACAGAACUCUGGCACAUGAGAUUGGGCCAUGUUAGUGGAAUGGGUCUUGGGGAAACAGAAUCUCCUAGGAGGUGACAAAGUGGAAAAGCUAUAAUUUUGUGAACCUUGUGUGUUUGGUAAAUCCUGCAUAGUCAAGUUCAAUAAAGGCAAACAAAGAACACAUGGAUCCCUUGAUUACAUUCAUGUUGAUAUUUAGGGGCCUGCAAGGAAUCCUUCACACUCAGGUGCAAACUAUUUUCAAUCCAUAGUUUCUGAUUAUUCCAGAAAGUUAUGGGUAUUCAUCCAUAAGACUCUGUUCGAAAAUCAGACUGGAAAGAAGGUCAAGAGGUUGAGAACCGAUUAUGGCUUUGAGUUCUACAAUGAAGCUUUUGAUAGUUACUGUAGUAUGUCUGGUAUUGUAUGGCACAAGACUACUGCAUGUACUCCUCAUCAAAAUGUCAUGGAUGAGAGAUUCAAUCGAACAAUACUAGAAAAGGUUAGAUGUUGUUGUUAGUGCUAGAUUGAAGUAGGUGUUUUGGGCCGAGGCUGUUGUGACUGCAACAUACCUGAUAAAUAGGUGUCCCAUGAAUGCCUAAGGGAUGAAGACACAUGAAGAAGUCUGGUCAUAAUUGUUGGUGUAAGCCCUAGAGGCCAAUACUUUUGGUACUUGUAUCGAAUUAUUUAUUAAUUAUAAUAGGCUUUUUCUUUAUUAUGUUUGUUUAAUAAAGUCCCUAGGAUAGCUAGUCCGUUUAAUGUAUCAAGUAUGACUUAAUCAUGAGAUCACAUUAAACAUAAGGACACUAUUCUUAAAGUAUCCGUAGUAUUUUAAGGGAUAAUUGUCUAUCGGCCCAAUAUUUGAACUGGACAAGGUGACCAAGUAUAUGCCUUGUGUUAAGUAUAUGAUCAUGGGGAAAAGGGUAUAAUUACACAUAAGUAUAUAUCACAGAAGAUAUUGUAUCAGAUCACAUAUGACAUUUCGUGGUCUGUGGUGUAGGUAGCAGGUGAUGUGUUAGCUACGAUAACGCUCUACUAGAAUAUUAUUUAUGUUUAAUGCGUGAUUUAAUAUAAUUGUCAAUGCGCGAAGAACUAGACUUAGGAGAAGUCACAACAAAGGACGGAUUGAUGACGAGAAUGAGAGUAACUAAGGAACACCGUAAGUACGGUGCACUUAAAGUGAAUUAUAGAACAUCUAAGUAAGGUACGCUGUGUACUUAAGUAUGAAUACGAAAUGUAAGGUACCUGAACGCGCUAAUGUUUGGCAAUUAUAAAAUAUGGGCCACAUACACUAAGUGGGAUUUUUAGCUUGCAGCCCUCACAAGUGGUUCUAUAAUAGAACCCUUGUGGAGAAGCAUUUCGUGCAGUUUCAUUUUCAUUUCUCUCUCUCUCUCUCAAUCAAAGCCUUCAUUCGUGCAGCUAGCACUGAGAUGAUUAGGGAAUAGUUCGUGUGGACUGAAAGUNNNNNNNNNNNNNNNNNNNNNNNNNCGAGCUUUAUUUGAAGUGGACAAUAUUAAAGCAUAAGACUAUUAUGUAUAUAGGACUGAUGAUCACAUCUCAUGGAUCAUGGAUAAGGAGUUAUCAGUCUUAAACAUAGGUAUGGAAUAUUAAGAGUAAUAUUUAUAUGGAUUGACCCCGCUAUCAGAUACUAUAUAGAAUGUUAUGCAAAGUGUCAUAAGUUAUUCUCAUUGGUGAUAAUGGGGUAUACCACCUUCGACCUGAAACCACUAUGGACCCUAGAUAUAAAGUCGAGUGCCUUGUUGCUGAUCAAAACAUUGUCCGUAACUGGAUGACCAUAAAGACAGGUGAUGGGUAUCCACGAAGCAUGCUAAGGGACAUGAGUGACCUAGAUGGAAUUUGGCCCAUCCUGGUAAAUAGGAUAAAUGUCUAGGCCCAAUAUUUGAACUGGACAAGGAUGACACAGUAUAUGCCUUGUGUUCAAUAUAGACAUAAGGGCAAAAGGGUAUAAUUGUACACAUAAGUAUUAUCACAGAAGAUUUGUUAGAUACAUGACAUUUCGUGUGUCGUUGGGUAGCAGUGAUGUGUUGCUAGAUACGCUCACUAUUUAUUAUGUUAAUGCGUGAUUUAAUAUAAUUGUCAAUGCGCGAAAACCUACAGGGUCACACAAAAGGACGGAUUGAUGAAGGAGAUAGAGUAACUAAGGAACACCGUAAGGUACGGUGCACUUAAGUGAAUUAUAGAACAUCGUAAGGUACGCUUGUACUUAAGUAGAAUACGAAAUAUGGUAAGGUACCACGCGCUUAAGUGAUUUUGGCAUAUUAUAAAAUAAUGGGCCACAUACACUUAAGUGGGAUUUUUAGCUUGCAGCCCUCACAAGUGGUUCUAUAAUUAGAACCCUUGUGGAGAAGCAUUUCGUGCAGUUUCAUUUUCAUUUCUCUCUCUCUCUCUCAAUCAAAGCCUUCAUUCGUUGCAGCUAGCACUGAGAUUAAGGAAUAUGUUCGUGUGGACUGGAGUAGAGGCGUUGUCGUCGUUCAACGUUCUGGUGAUCGCUCCGUAGAUCUGCAUCAAAGGUUUCAAUCGUCACAAGAGGUAACGAUUCUAUCACUGAUCAUGCCCAUUCGUAAGGAUCACUAAGGAGAAAAAAAAUUUAAUUCCGUUGCGUUUUGGAUCGCCUCUCCUUCAAUAACAUUCAUCCAAUCUCAACAAACUUAGAGUAUUUGUUGUGUAAUAUAUGCUCACAUUAGGCAAGAAAAAGUCGAACCUAAAGCUCUAAGAUGCAUGUUCCUUAGGUAUCAUGAAUGAGUCAAUGCUAUAGAUUAUGGUGCCUAGGACUAGGUCAGAUAAGGUGUAUCAUAAGUCGUGAUGUAGUUUUUUAGUGGGAGCAGAAUGGUGUUCAAUAAAACUGAUGAUGUUGGUUGAAAUACGAAUAUCUUUGUAGAGGAGCUGGAACAGGAAGAGAUUCUUGUUAAGGUGGAGCAUAUUGAUGCUAAAUUGCAUAACCCUAUGAAGUCGAAGAACAAGCAUAAGUUGCUGAUGAAGAUGAGGAGAAUUGUAUAAUGAAUACCUGCUGGAAAAGACAGGUUGAGAAAUCAUCAAGCCACCUUAGAGACUUGGUUAUGCAGAUCUCAUAGAUUUUGCCUUAAUCUCUCAGUGAGGUUAUUGAUGAAGAACCUAGAGACUAUAAGAAGUUUUGAGGAAUCGAGAUGACUGUCAUACCCCAAUUUUGUCGGGCAUUUUUAAUUUUCAUAAUUCAAUUUAAUUUUCAGUUUACAACAUAUGUACAUCAUAUAUGCAUUUAUCAUUAAUAAUACCUGAAAUAUCAGUCAGGAUAAACUUAUUAAAUUUACAGACAAAUCGGUUGAAUCUUUCUCAAGUACGGACCAAAUCAGCGGGUAAAAAUUUCAGAAUUUAAAAUUACAGACAUCAGUAUUAUUAAUCUACAGUUCAUGUAGUUUAACCUGGUGUGCCUUGUAUUUUUAGCAGCUGUUUCAGUUGUGUUUUGACCCGCCUGAGCCCUUUAACCGAUGCAAACUUAUUCUAGAAUUUGAAGAAACCUGUAUUUUUCAUAAGUAUAUUUUGUGCUGAUCAUUUUUAUGUGUCUGAUUAAUUUUUUGAGCAAAUUUUUGUCCGAAUUUUAUUCAUUUUUUAGUCGUUUUAAUUUAUUCUUUCUCAAAAUAGUCAAUUAAAUAAAUAGAAUUUUCCAUUGUUAUUAUUUAAUUUAUCUGAUUAUUUAAAAAGUUGUGAAUUUUAUUUGAUUCAAUUUGAUUAAAAUUGUUUUUAAAUCGAUUAAGUCAUCUAAAAAAAAGCGAUUAGUAUGUAUUUUGAUUUAUUUAAUUAGGAUGUGUUUCUUUGAUUCAAUCUGAAUCGGUUGAUUCAAAUUAAUCAAAGGCCCAUGUUAGCAAUCCAUACUCAUUUCCAAAAUCCAAUCAUAAAAUAGAAAUUUAAAUAAAUAGUUAAUAGAAAAUUAGAAAAUAUUAAAAAAUAUUCUUUCAAUCCAAUUGCCAGGUUGCCACGUGACAAUCUUAUCUUUGUGAGUGGACGGUUGGAAAUAUCCUAUCACUCCUUUCCAACGGUAACAAAAAUAAUAUUAAAAAAGCGGGCAUACGUUUCCAUGGGCCACUUACAUAUUAAAUGAUGCUCUCUCUCUCUCAAAGAUAGAAAAAAAAUGGAAAUAGAAAGUGAAAAGGAGAAAGGUGGAUUUCACGUUCACUGAUAAAAUAAUAAAAGAAGGAAAAGAAGAAAAUCUCUGCUCACUCACCUCACUAUACCCCACCCUCCACUAAGCAAACCAAACCCUCGCCGUUUACCGUUUUCAACAUUACAAACCCAUUCACACUUCAUCAACUCACCUUCCGACGCGUCACCAAACCUCCGCCAUGAUAUCGCUAUGAAAUCUCCUCACCACAACACACCUUUUCAAUCAACUACUCAUGAGCCUCCGCAAUUUACUCAACUCUGAUAUCGUCUAAUUUCCGGUUUCACUCGUGAUUACGUUUCGAUUAGAUUAAGCUUGUGGAUAAAGUUUUCUGUAUUAGAUCUGUUGCAGGUUCUAGCAUCGAAGUUACUUUUUGCCAGGAGAGAAAAAAACGUUUGAGAAACAAUGGCUCCAGUCUGUUUCUACCGAAGCUACAACCCAACGCGCGGUGAUUUCUCAACAACAAUGAAGCGGAAGCAUCAAAACAACAAUGGACUUGUUUUCUUCUUUUUUUUUGCUUAAUGGCGAUUGGUGUUUUGUCUGUUUGAUUUUUUGGCAGAGCUGCAUUGGCGCUCAUUGAAUCGUUGCGGGUUCGAUUCAGGAUCUAUAUUCAUUUUGAAUGAUUACGAAUCGUCAGAGUCAUUCCAUUUCUAAGCCGCACAAGAAUAACCACCGUGUACACAUCUCAUGGAAUUGGCUAUUCUUAGAAUGAGCCUUAACUUUCAAUGUAUGUUUCUUAAGUUUAAUCUAUUAAUAAUGCAUUUUCGGUGAUGGAUAAUGUUCAGUAAGAUUUUUGUUUAUAUCAUAGUCAAUGGUAAAAAAGCAAAUUUAAUGCUUAUUUUUUAAACAUGUAUGUUAAUUGAUCUUAUAAAGAUUUUUCACAGGCUUAAAAAUAUUGUUAUGUUGUGGACUAAUCUUAUGUUACUUUGUUAUUUUAAGCAAUCUACGAUAAUUUUAAAAAAAGGGGUAAAAUACAACUACAUUGUUACUUUUAAUUUCAGUGGCAUGAUGUACUUGGAUUUGUCCUUAACAUGUAGCAUGAUUUACUAUAUUGCAAAUAAUUGGAUUUUUUUAGUUAUUAAAUAUCAUUAGAUAUUACAUUAUUACAUUGAGUGGUUGUUAGUUGUAAGCCUCAUGCAUUUUUUUUUCUGUUUGUUGAAAUUGAAAUUCACGGGAAUUGGCAAGUUAUACCGUUAGGCCACUAAAUUUCAAUAUUACUGAUUGUCUAUUUUCACCAUUGUUUCUACCGCUCACAUUACGGAACUCAAACUCUGUUGGUCGCUAUGUACAAAUCGGUUUAUGCAGCACAUGGUGGCCGAUUCAAUCGAUUUAUUUUAUAUUCAAUAUUGUCAUAUUAUUUCUUUUAAAAUUAAUUAAUUAAAGUUUUGAUUAAAUUAGAUAAUUUUAUUAACUGAUUUUAAUUACUUAAUUAUUGAUUAUAUAAUACUUAAUCAAAAACAAAUUUUGAUAAUAAUUUUUAAUUACCUAAUUAGACGACUUAACUGAAUUUUAAUUAAUUAAUUGUUGUUUAAAAUUGACCGACUUAUUCACCAUCAUUUUUUCUUAUUCAUGUUCACUAAUACAAACUCAAAUUCCAUUUAAUUUCCAAACCAUCAAAAAUUGCAUAAUCCUCGAUUCAAUGGCGAGCCAUUUUUUCAAUACCUUUGUUAAGUCGAUCGCUUUAAGCAUCGCCAUGAACCUCACAUAGCUUACUCUUUCGGCCUUUUCUACAGAGAUCUAUUCGGUUAUUAAUUAAUCGAGUAGGGAAUUGAUACACUAAAAUAAUCCAAUUUUAUUCAUUAAAACACAUCCAAGUCCUCGAUUUUAAACAUCGAGUAUUUCUAUUCAAAUCAAAUUAAAUACUUAAUCACAUCUAAACAACCUUCAUUUGAAAAUGAAAAGGGGGAUGUUUUGAGUUUUCCAACUCCUUCCUCGAUGUAUUUGAAUUACGGAGUUUUCUUACUCGGUUAGUCCAAUAUGGUCGUCAUUUCUAAUUCAUUUUAAGCACAAAGGCAAAUGCAAAUCUUUUACAACAAGAACUAAACAGGGGAGAUAACUUUGAGUCUUCAAUUUUUUGGCUCACGACUAGUUGAAUACAAGUUCUCUUACCUUGGUUAUUCAAAUAAUUGUCGUUCCUUCUACAAACUUCUAAUCCGAUUAAAUCAAAAUUAUUUUCAUAAUAAUGCCUAAUGAAAAAGGGAGAUGACUUUGAGUCUUCAACUUCUCUCCUCAAUUGUUUGAAUUUACGAGUUCUCUUAAACUCGGUCAGUUCGAAACAAAUUUGUCAUUUUUUUACAAACAUUUACAAACUUUAAAUUCCAAAUCAUUUUCAUAACCCCCCAAAACCUUGUACCGAAAAAGGAGAUUGGUCUGAGUUUUUUUUUUCAAAAAUUUUCCUUCUUCUCAAAUGGGCUUGGGGAUUUUAUUGGAAUUUGUCUUAAAUUUCUCCCCUUUCUUUUCGGAGAGAGGCGUUGUCGUCGUUCAACGUUCGUGAUCGCUCCGUAGAUCUGCAUCAAAGGUUUCAAUCGUCACAAGAGGUAACGAUUCUAUCACUGAUCAUGCCCAUUCGUAAGGAUCACUAAAGGAGAAAAAAAUUUAAUUCCGUUGCGUUUUGGAUCGCCCUUCUCCUUCAAUAACAUUCAUCCAAUCUCAACAAACUUAGAGUAUUUGGUUGUGUAAUAUAUGCUCACAUUAGGCAAGAAAAAGUCGAACCUAAAGCUCUAAGAUGCAUGUUCCUUAGGUAUCAUGAAUGAGUCAAUGCCUAUAGAUUAUGGUGCCUAGGACUAGGUCAGAUAAGGUGUAUCAUAAGUCGUGAUGUAGUUUUUAGUGGAGCAGAAAUGGUGUUCAAUAAAACUGAUGAUGUUGGUUGAAAUACGAAUAUCUUUGUAGAGGAGCUGGAACAGGAAGAGAUUCUUGUUAAGGUGGAGCAUAUUGAUGCUAAAUUGCAUAACCCAUAUGAAGUCGAAGAACAAGCAUAAGUUGCUGAUGAAGAUGAGGAGAUUGAUAAUGAAUACCUGCUGGAAAGAGACAGGUUGAGAAAAUCAUCAAGCCACCUUAGAGACUUGGUUAUGCAGAUCUCAUAGAUUUUGCCUUAAUCUCUCAAGUGAGGUUAUUGAUGAAGAACCUAGAGACUAUAAGAAAGUUUUGAGGAAUCGAGAUGACUGUCAUACCCCAAUUUUGUCCGGGCAUUUUAAAUUUUCAUAAAUUCAAUUUAAUUUUCAGUUUACAACAUAUGUACAUCAUAAUAUGCAUUUUAUCAUUAAUAAUACCUGAAAUAUCAGUCAGGAUAAACUUAUUAAAAUUACAGACAAAUCGGUUGAAUCUUUUCUCAAGUACGGACCAAAUCAGCGGGUAAAAAAUUUCAGAAUUAAAAUUACAGACAUCAGUAUUAUUAAUCUACAGUUCAUGUAGUUUAACCUGGUGUGCUCGUUGUAUUUUUUAGCAGCUGUUUCAGUUGUGUUUUGACCCGCCUGAGCCUUUUAACCGAUGCAAACUUAUUCUAGAAUUUGAAGAAACGCUGUAUUUUUUCAAUAAGUAUAUUUUGUGCUGAUCAUUUUAGUGUGUCUGAUUUAAUUUUUUGAGCAAAUUUUUGUCCGAAUUUUAUUCAUUUUUAGUCGUUUUAAUUUUAUUCUUUCGUCAAAAUAGUCAGAUUAAAUAAAUAGAAUUUUCCAUGUUAUUAUUUUAAUUUUAUCAUGAUUAUUUAAAAAGUUGUGAAUUUUAUUUGAUUCAAUUGAUUAAAAUUGUUUUAAAUCGAUUAAGUCAUCUAAAAAAAAGCAUUAUAUGUAUUUUGAUUUAUUUAAUUAGGAUGUGUUUCUUUGAUUCAAUCUGAAUCGUUGAUUCAAAUAAUCAAAGGCCCAUGUUAGCAAUCCAUACUCAUUUCCAAUAUCCAUAUCAUAAAAUAGAAAUUUAAAUAAAUAGUUAAUAGAAAAUUAGAAAAUAUUAAAAAUAUCUCUUUCAAUCCAAUUGCCAGGUGCCACGUGACAAUCUUAUCUUCUUGGAGUGGACGGUUGGCAAAUGAUCCUAUCACUCCUUUCCAACGGUAACAAAAAUAAUAUUAAAAAAGGCGGAGCAUACGUUUCCAAUGGGCCACUACAUAUUAACUGAUGCUCUCUCCUCCAAAGUAGAAAAAAAUGAAAUAGAAAGUGAAAAGGAGAAAGGUGGAUUCACGUUCACGAUAAAAUAAUAAAAGAAGGAAAAAGAAGAAAUCUCUCUCACUCACCUCAGCUAUCACCCCACCUCCACUAAGCAAACCAAACCCUGCCGUUUACCGUUUCAACAUUACAAACCCAUUCACCUUCAUCAACUCACCUUCCGACCGUCACCAACCUCCGCCAUGAUUAUCGCUAUGAUCUCCUCACCACAAACACCCUUCAAUCAACUACUCAUGAGCCUCGCCGCAAUUACCAACUCUGAUAUCGUCUUAAUUCCGGUUUCCACUCUGAUUACGUUUCGAUUAGAUUAAGCUUGUGAUAAGUUUUCUGUUUAGAUCUGUUGCAGGUUCUAGCAUCGAAGUUACUUUUUCCAGGAGAGAAAAACGUUUGAGAAACAAUGCUCCAGUCUGUUGUCUACCGAAGCUACAACGCCAACUCGCGGUGAUUCUCAACAACAAUGAAGCGGAAGCAUCAAACAACAAUGGACUUGUUUUCUCUUUUUUUUUGCUUUAAUGCGAUUGGUUUUGUCUGUUUAUUUUUUGCAGCUCAUUGCCGCUCAUAAUCGUUGCGGGUUCGAUUCAGGAUCUAUAUUCAUUUUGAACUGAUUACGACAUCGUCAGAGUCCAUUCCAUUUCUAAGCCGCACAAGAAUAACCACCGUGUACACAUCUCGAUGGAUUGGCUAUUCUUAGAAUGAGCCUUAACUUUCAAUGUAUGUCUUAAGUUUAAUUAUUAUUAAUGCAUUUCGGUGAUGGAUAAUGUUCAGUAAGAUUUUUGUUUUAUCAUAGUCAUGGUAAAAAGCAAAUUUAAUGCUUAUUUUUUAACAUGUAUGUUAAUUGAUCUUAUAAAGAUUUUUCACAGCUUAAAAAUAUUGUUAUGUUGUGGACUAAUCUAUGUUACUUUGUUUAUUUUAAGCAAUCUAAUAAUUUUAAAAAAGGGUAAAAUACAACUACAUUGUUACUUUUAAUUACAUGCAUGAUGUACUUGGAUUUGUCUUUAACAUGGUAGCAUGAUUUACUAUAUUGCAAAUAAUUGGAUUUUUUAGUUAUAAUAUCAUGUAGAUAUUACAUUAUUACAUUGAGUGGUGUUAGUUGUAAGCUCAAUUGCAUUUUUUUUUUCUGUUGUUGAAAUUGACAUCUCGUUCGACUGCUGGUUACGUUACCUUAUGUAAUCGACAGCUAGGCCUGAAGAGCACGCGUCGCAGCAACCAUCGACUGUUCUCUUUCAUAAUGCAAAUAUCUGUGGUCAAGGAUAUCACGAAUCAACAUGCUGAACCAGCUAUGGCCUCGAAACAAUAAUGGAAAGAGAGGGAUUGCUCCUCGAUCCAGAUCUCCUAUGUCAUACAAUCAACUUCUGCCAUAUCAUGAAUUCAGAAGUUGCGCUGUGGAGGCCUAAGUCUGCUCAGGCCUUGUCAGAACUAAUACGCGAACGCUGGAUUGAUCGCUAUGUCAAUGUGGAUAUCAGCCGGCAAGGCAUUCAAUAUGAAGCUACAAUGCUUUCCUCAAGCUAAGUGCAACAAUUGAUCGAGUCAAAAGGUAGAAAAAGAAAGAAAAAAAACACAUAUCCUUUUUCAGAAGUGGCUGUUGUGCACGUUAACAUCAGUAAUCUGUCAGAUGAGUUCAAAAGAUUCAUAGAGGUAUCUCUAUUUCAGUAGUUCAGACUAGGAAGUACAUGCCUCACACUUGGCAAUCCGUUGGACUGAUUUGUUUCUAUUUUUGCAUAUUGUAGUUUCUGUUGUUGUUAAAGCUGCUUGUGUUUUAAAGCAUUGUUGUUUUUAAAGGUAAUUUUGAGUUGAAAAGAUGAUGCAUAGUUUUAAUUAAUUAUGCUCGCAUUCACUCGAUUUUUCUUCUCUUACUAUCAAAAACAAAAAGAAUACUUAUCAGUGUUCUCCCAUUCAUUCUUUGAUAUCAUAACUUUUGUUUUAGGAAAGAUUUGAGGAGGAUGACUGAAAAGCAAGAAUAACCCAUAUUGCUGACUAUAUUCUUUCGUAUAAAUCCUGCUGAUGAUGUAGACGGCAAUUUUUCAAAUUCCGCAACACUGAGAGAUAAGGAGUUAAUGCGGGCCUGUCAACACUUCGACAUAGAAAUAGGUGUUUCUUUUCGGAUAUACAACCGCUUAUGUUUUACCCGGGGCAGGUAGUGGUUCAGUUAUAUUCUGACCAUUACUGUUGCAGUUCAAAUUAUAAGAUGAAAUAUCAGGUAUGUGGAGUCACUUACAUGUCCAUUGCCUUCGGCACACCCAUACCUAAAGUGUCGAAGAACCUUGAAUCCUAAAGUUUGUUGGUUGUUUCUGCCCGAGACGCCAUGUGAACCUCUUGGCAGUUCAAAUUUUUUUAAAAAAAAGAAUGAAAGAAAAGCGCUCGCUAAGUCGAUACCGCUCAUAAAGGAGACUUAGUGCAAACAAUAAACCUGAGGGGCAUUCCGCGAUGGAGCUAAAAGCUCAAACAAGCGGUCCAUGGCAUAAAUACGUUAGGGAUGCAGACACUUAAAAAAUGCAAGAGGUCACGAAUACCUCCAAUCACAAAUCAAAUUGAAUUCAGUGACUACCUAUAUCCAAAUCAAAAGAUCAGCACGCAACAUCCAUAAGAGCGAAAAUAAGUGAGCUGUGCAUUUUCAAAAAAGAUCUUACACUCUGUUUUUUUGGCUUGAAAUCGCCGUAGAGUAAAUUGUGUGUGCGAAAUUAUUGACAUGUAGGUAUUCGGAGAUGCAUCAUGUAGAGGGUGGUUUAAAAUAAACUUCGGCCUUAUAUCCUUUUUGUUUGCAAUAAAACCAUGUACCCAGUCACGUUACACCCUCACAAAAGAGCAUAAUUUAGGUAGGGUUAUUUCGAGCAUAUUCAGCAAAGUUGCGUAAACUGACUCCUAAAGAUUUGCUAAUAUUUACAUCGAAUUGUGCAUUAUUCCUCUGCUGAGGUCUUCACAGCUUUAAAUUGCUAACUCAGCAUUCACAUUUAGACUCAUGGUCCUACCGCUGUCAUCUACUAUCACACUCAUUCUAGUAUAAAUGAUUAUUUUCAAACUUGCAUGAGUAUCGGCAUUAAAAUUACCAUUUCUGACAACAUUUUAAACUGGCAAGACGUAUUGACGUCAGGGAAAUUUCCAACAAAUAGGAACAAUGAGUAGGAAUUUCGGACAUUGCGUUGGUGCUNNNNNNNNNNNNNNNNNNNNNNNNNUCUCAUAUUUUCUCGUCAAAUAGUCAGAUAAAUAAAAAGAAUUUUCCAUGUUAUUAUUAAUUUAUCAUGAUUAUUUAAAAAUUGUGAAUUUAUUUGAUCAAUUGAUUAAAUGUUUUUAAAUCGAUUAAUCAUCUAAAAAAAAGCAUUAUAUGUAUUUUGAUUUAUUUAUUAGGAUGUGUUCUUUGAUCAAUCUGAAUCGUUGAUUCAAAUAAUCAAAGGCCCAUGUUAGCAAUCCAUACUCAUUUCCAAUACCAAUCAUAAAAUAGAAAAUUAAUAAAAUAGUUAAUAGAAAAUUAAAAAUAUUAAAAAAUAUCUCUUUCAAUCAAUUGCCAUGGUGCCACUGACAACUUAUCUUCUUGUGAGUGCAGGCUUGGCAAAUGAUCCUAUCACUCCUUUCCAACGGUAACAAAAAUAAUAUUAAAAAGGAGGCAUACGUUUCAAUGGGCCACUACAUAUUACAUGAUGCUCUCUCCUCCAAAGUAGAAAAAAAUGAAAUAGAAAGUGAAAAAGGAAAAAGUGGAUUCACGUUCACGAUUAAAAUAAUAAAAGAAGAAAAAGAAAAAUCUCUCUCACUCACCUCUACUAUCACCCCACCUCCACUAACAAACCAAACCCCGCCGUUACCGUUUUCAACAUUACAAACCCAUUCACCUUCAUCAACUCACCUUCCGACCGUCACCAACCUCCGCCAUGAUUAUCGCUAUGAAAUCUCCUCACCCAAAACACCUUUCAAUCAACUUACUCAUAGCCUCGCCGCAAUUACCAACUCUGAUACGUCUCUAAUUCCGGUUUCCACUCUGAUUACUUUCGAUUAAUUAAGCUUGUUGAUAAGUUUUCUGUUUAGAUCUGUUGCAGGUUCUAGCAUCGAAGUUACUUUUUCCAGGAGAGAAAAACGUUUGAAAACAAUGCUCCAUAUCUGUUCUACCGAAGCUACAACGCCAACUCGCGUGUGCUCAACAACAAUGAAGCGGAAGCAUCAAACAACAAUGGAACCUUGUUUCUUCUUUUUUUUUGCUUUAAUGCGAUUGGUUUUGUCUGUUUAUUUUUUGCAGCUCAUUGCCGGCUCAUAAUCGUUGCGGGUUCGAUUCAGGAUCUAAUAUAUUUUGAACUGAUUACGACAUCGUCAGAGUCCAUUCCAUUUCUAACCGCACAAGAAUAACCACCGUGUACACAUCUCAUGGGAAUUGGCUAUCUUUAGAAUGAGCCUUAACUUUCAAUGUAUGUCUUAAGUUUAAUUUUAUUAAUGCAUUUCGUGAGGAUAAUGUUCAGUAAGAUUUUGUUUUAUCAUAGUCAUGGUAAAAAGCAAAUUUAAUGCUUAUUUUUUAACAUGUAUGUUAAUUGAUCUUAUAAAGAUUUUUCACAGCUUAAAAAUAUUGUUAUGUUGUGGACUAACUUAUUCUUUGUUUAUUUUAAGCAAUCUACAUAAUUAAAAAAAGGUAAAUUACAACUACAUUUACUAAUUUACAUGCAUGAUGUACUUGGAUUUGUCUUUAACAGGUAGCAUAUAUUACAUAUUGCAAAUAAUUGGAUUUUAUUUAUUAAAUAUCAUGUAGAUAUUACAUUAUUACAUUGAGUGGUGUUAGUUGUAAGCUCAUGCAUUUUUUUUCUUUGUUGAAAUGAAAUUCACGGAAUUGGCAAGCUAUACUUAGGCCACUAAAAUUUCAAUAUACUGAUUUGUCAUUUCACCAUUGUUCUACCCUCACAUACGAAACUCAAACUCUUUGUCGCUAUGACCAAAUCCGUUUAUGAGCAACAUGUGGCCGAUUCAAUCGAUUUAUUUAUAUUCAAUAUUUCAUAUUAUUCUUUUAAAAUUAAUUAAUUAAAGUUUUGAUUAAAUUAGAUAUUUUAUUAACUAUUUUAAUUACUUAAUUAUUUGAUCUAUAUAAUACUUAAUCAAAACAAAUUUUGAUAAUAAUUUUUAAUUACCUAUUAACGACUUAACUGAAUUUUAAUUAUUAAUUUGUUUAAAAUUGACCGACUUAUUUCCCAUCAUUUUUUCUAUAUCAUUUCAAUAUACAAACUCAAAUUCCAUUUCAUUUCCAAAACCAUCAAAAUUGCAUAUCCAUCAUUCAAUGGUCGAGACCAUUUUUUCAAUACCUUUGUUAAGCAUCGCUUAAAGCAUCGCCAUGAACCUCACAUAGCUUACUCUUCGGCCUUUUCAACAUGAGAUCAUUCGGUUAUAAUUAUCGAUAGGGUAUGAUUUAUACACUAAAAUAAUCCAAUUUAUUCAUUAAAAAACACAUCCAAGCCUCGAUUUUAACAUCGAUAUAUUCUAUUCAAACAAUUAAAGUACUAAUCACAUCUAAACAACACUUCAUUUGAAAAGUGAAAAGGAGGAGUUUUGAGUUUUCAACUCCUCUCCUCGAUUAUUUGAAUACGGAGUUUUCUUAACUCGUGUUAGUCCAAUAUGGUCGUCAUUUCUAAUUCAUUUAAGCACAAAGCAAAUCAAAUCCUUUUACAACAGAACUAAAAGGGAGAUACUUUGAGUCUUCAAUUUUUUGCUCCACGACUAUUGAUACAAGUUCUCUUACCUUGGCUUAUUCAAAUAAUUUCGUUCCUUACAAACUUCUAAUCCAUAAAUCAAAUUAUUUUCAUAAUCAAUGCCUAAAUGAAAAGGAGAUGACUUUGAGUCUUCAACUUCUCUCCUCAAUUGUUUGAAUUACGAGUUCUCUUACUCGGCAGUUCCGAAACAAUUUGUCAUUUUUUACAAACAUACAACUUAUCACAAUUCAUUUUCAUAACCCCCAAAACCUUUACACGAAAAAGAGAUUGGUCUUGAGUUUUUCAAAUUCCUCUUCUCAAGUUGGAUAUGAAUGCUACUCAUUCAUUCAGUACUUGUUCGUUCAUUUAAAAAUACAUCACCAUACCCAACCUAUUUCUAAAUCACUCAAUGGGAAAAAAACUGUCUAUAGUCUGUAUUCCCUUCCAAUAUUGGAUACAUUGUCUUACUCUUAUUCGGAUAUCAUCAUUCAUCAAAUACUAUAAUAUCAUUAAAUCCUUUUACAAUAAGAUAAAAAAGAAACAGGUCUAGAGCUCUUCUAGUCCCUUUUCCCGACUUUAGAUACGAUGUCUUACUCGACUAUCCAAGGAAUUGGUCUUCCAACUAAAAACAUCUCAACCAAACCAAAAAUAUCCAACAUAUUAUUCAACCUCACCCUUGAUCAAAAAACUUUUUCAAAAAAAACGACAUUUAAUCCUUUAAUACCACAACAAACUAAUGCUUAAAGCCUCCCACGAGUAGACAACCAACGUUAGCCUUUAGAUCGAUCUAAACAUUCGUUCAUUAAAAGACACCAAACCAAACCGUAGUUCCCGAACACGAAUCUCUUGAUUUCCUAUAUAUCCAUAGGAACUAGGCACAAUUGUUGUAUUUCGCCGUGAGCACAUUAUAAAAAUAAAACCUCCCCUUUCCCUUUCUGAGUCACAUCCAUUUCAUUUUUUAAUAAAUUAUAACCUAAAGAUAACCAAACAAAACAUUGAAAUUAAUACCCGUAAACACAAAUUAGAACUAAAAAGUUCGCUUGAGUACAACGCGUAAGGUGCUAAUACCUUUCUCUUACGUAAUCCACUCCCGACCCGAAUAUGCGUUGCAUGACCAUUAUUCUAUUUCAAUUUUUAUCGAUUUCCAUAUCCUUCAUUGAUAAAUUUAAAUCGUGCGAUCUUCGAACACUAUUUUUCCGCGACCAUCACAGGAAAUCGUAUUUCGAGAUCACAGAUGGCACUCUGCUGGAUACCUCCAACAAAGAGUAGCCUAGUAUAGUUCCAUUUCAUAUUGGGUGGUUAAUCUGUUUAGUCUUUAUCUGUUAUUUAUUUUUUAUUCUGCUAUUAUUAUUCUGUCAUAAUUAUUAUAUUGUGACUUAUUGACUAUGUCUUAUUUGGGGUUCUCUGGUUGGUGAUACUUGGUGAGAUAGGCUCUCCACCCGAGUCUGAGAAAAAACAUAAGAUUAAGUUGGUGGUUGCAUAGUGGGCGCCCGCAAGGAGUUUUCCUUGUUGGGAAGAAACGAAGACCCCGCCUAGAGGAGAUUCUCUUGAGAUAUUAUUGUCCGACGAGUUUUCGUCAUGACGAUAGUAUUCUCAAGUUGGAUCAAUGACUCUAGGGACCUUUUAACCCAUUAUAUCCGGCGGUUAUGUAGUAUUAACCUACAAAGUUUCAGACUUGUUGGGUUAAUACGAAAGCCCCAAUCAGAUGAGAUCCCUUGGACGUAUUAUUACCUGACAGUAAUAUUUCCAACCUCGAUCUAUGACUCUGAGAACCUUUUUAGAACCCUGGACUCGAGAGUCGUGUAGUAGAAUCCUCAUGGAGUUUUCCUUGUUGGGAUAAUACAAAGCCCUCACCUAGACGAGAUCUUCUUAAGGAUACUAUUGUCUGACGAGUCUUCGUCACGGCAGUAACGUCCUCAAGAAAUAUCCAUGACUCUGGGAACCUACCAACUGUAGAGCCUACCCAUGGGGUUCCAUUAUUCAGAGAUACCCGUCGUUCACCCGUUAUUCUGAUCUAUCUAAAAACACUUUGAACCUGUGAUCCUGAACAUGUCACUACACUCAUACACAUAUCAUUGCAUCUGCAAUCGUCAUGCAUUGCAUAUCAUUUUUCACCAAAAAAUAUAAAUACAAAAAAAAAACUCAUUCAUCCUUCAUCCAUAACCUACAGUUGAUUUCCCGACACUUAUAUCAGACUGAAAGAAGCUCUUGAAAAACCAUGGAUCCAUUGGAGCAAAAUCACAUUGCAUUAAGAGGAGAUGUUGACUUGAUGAAAAACCAGAUAGACCAACUUGUGGAGGCUAUGAUAGCUUUAGAAAAGAGGGAGGACAACAUUCAGCAGACUACAGUCGUAGAGAAUGUUAUUCUAGCUCUAGUAAAUGGUCUUACCCAACCUCAGCUUGUGCAAACCCCAGUUGAUAACUCCACUGUACAAGAACGUCAUGUUGUUCAAGAUUCCUCACGUCAUGAUGCUGUUGAGUAUCACAGUUUUGCAUUCUCCAUGCCAGAUUCCUAUGGAACAAGCCUAGUGGUUAAUGCUAAACAACCACAAGAUGAUGAGAUUGCUAAAAGAUGUUGCAUGCUAGAGAAAAGACUCAAGACCAUAGAAGGACAAGACACUCUUAAACUGAAUGCUUUAGACAUGUGUUUGGUACCUGGCCUGGUUAUACCCGCAGAAUUCAAGCAACCAUGGACUGUUCCUCAUACAAAUCAAAGAUCUCGUGGUCAAGGAUAUCAUAAUCAACUACUGAACCAGCAUAAGCCUCGAAACAAUCUGGAAAGAAGGAAUGCUCCUCUCGAUCUAAUUCCUAUGUCAUACAGUCAACUUUUGCCAUAUCUGAUUCAAAGCUCACUGGUGGAGCCCAAGUCUCUCAGGCCAUUGUCAGAACCAUACCCACCUGGAUAUGAUCCUGAUGUGCAAUGUGGAUAUCAUGCCGGAACAAUAGGGCAUUCAACUGAAAACGCAAUCUUUCUAAGGCUAAAUUGCAACCAAUUGAUCGACCAAAAAGUAUACAUAUCCUUUUCAAAGAAGCUGUUGUGCACGUUAAUCUCCUCGUCAGAAUGCAGUUUCAAAAUUUAGUAGAGUAUUCUUCUCUGCCAGUAGUUCAGACAGGAAGACAUCCUCAACACUGGCAAUCGUUGGACUGAUUUGUUUCUAUUUUUGCAUUUGUAGUUUCUUUGUUGUUAAAAGCUGCUUGUGUUUAAACAUUGUUUGUUUUUAAUGGUAAUAUUAAUGAAGUAAUGAUGCAUGUUUUGAAUUAAUCAUCUCGCAUUCGCUCAUUUUUCUUCUCUUAUAUCAAAAACAAAAAUACAUCACUGUUUCACCCAUUCGCUUUUCUUUAUCAUAACCUUUGUUUUAGCAAAGAUUUGAGGGAGGAUGACGAAAACAAGUUACCCAUAAUUGCCGACUAUAUGCUUUCGGAUAAAAUCCCGCUGAUGAUGUACAGGCAUUGUUUCAAAUUCCCAAACACUGGAGAGAUAAGGAGUUAAUCCCUAGUCAACCACUUCGAGCCUGAAGUAGGAGUUUCUUUCGGAUCUUAAAAACCUUACACUAAACCUGGGGCAGGGUAGUGUUCAGUUAAUCUGACUAUGCAUUCAAAUCACAAGAUGAAAUAUCCAGUAUGUGGAUCAACUACAUGACAUUCUUCGCACACAUCCUAAAGUGUCGAAGGAACCUUGUUCACAAGAUGAAAUAUCCAGUAUGUGGAUCAACUACAUGACAUUCUUCGCACACAUCCUAAAGUGUCGAAGGAACCUUGAAAAAUCAAAAAGUUAUGACGGUUGUUCUUCAAUGACCAAUGACUUGGCAAUCACAUUCUAAAAAAGGGAAUCAAUAAAAAGCCCGCUAAGUCGAUACCCCAAAAGGAGACUUAUGAAAAAACCGGGGCAAUCCCGAUGGACUAAAGCUUCAAAAAGCGGUCCAUGCAAAAGUUAGGGAUCAAAACAAAAAUCAAAGGAGGUCACAGAAACCCUCAACAAAAUAAAAACAAGAUUUAGUGACCACCAUAUCAAGAAUCAAAGGGUCACCAAUAUCCAUGAAGAACAAAAUAAAGUGUCUGUCAUUUCAAGAGAUCUUACACCUGCAAACUCUCUUAAAAGUUGAAUGUGUAUGGCGAAUUAACUGAGCAUAGGACUGGAGUUUAUCAAGAAGAAGGGUGGGUACAUAAACAAUUUUGAGCCUCAUAUCCUUUGUUUCGAUAACCGUGAACCAAGCCACGUUACAACCCUUAAAAGACCUAAUUGAAGUAGGGUUUAUUCCGAAAGCAUACUACAUCAAGGUUGCGUAAACUGACUCCUAAAAAUUUGCUAAUCUUUUACUUUGGUACAAUCUUCUUGUUGUAUCCUUCGCAUUGUUAAAUCAUCAUUGGGUUUGGAUUAAAAUGGUCCACUCGUCACACAUUAUCACAUCAUUCAAAUAAAUUCUUUUCAAAACUUGCAUGAGUAUCGCAUUAAAAUUACCAUUUCUGAACAAGCAAUUUUAACUGCAAGUCAGUACUUGACGUCAGGGAAAUUCCAACAAUAAGGAACAAUUAGAGGAACUUGGGCAUUCGUUGGUGCUAACCCGAAUCAAGACUACCUCAUAACCCACGAAUCAGGUGCAUGCCACCCAAAACAUCAAGUUGAUCAUAGGAAAAUUACUCCAAGAAUUGGUCAGUCUUAAACAGUCUCCAACAUCUGUUAAUAAAUGUGCAAAUCAUUUCAAGAAUUAGUUGAUCCAGAGCAAAUUAUCUCAGGACUCUAUUAACUAGGGGCAGAUCACCUAGAGGUUCUGUUGGCCAGGGGCAGACCCCUUCAAUGUUCAGUUAGGGUGAGUUAAGUCGCUUCAACGCUCAUACCGGGGCAAGCUACCUCAAGAGUACAGAAAAGUCAACCGCUCCAAGAGUCGGUUAACCAAGGAUAAAUCCUUUCAUGGAUCAAAAUUCUGGGGCAAUCCAUCUCCAAAUUAUGGUACAAUUGCUUUCAAAAUCCUUUCGAGGUAAACAUUUUGCAUAGACCCAUCACAUUGGGGCAAGAUGAGCCAUACAGGAGCAAGUCAUCUCCCUGACUUGAAGCUGUUCAAGCGAGAGCUUUUUCACACGUCAUCAACUGCAGAGUUCAAGAUGAGUGUCGGGGAAUCAUGCUAUCAUCCCAUAAAACAGCCAUCUGGCAGACAGAAGCCUUUCUGCAAAGAACCUUCUCUUCCAAUACCCACGCAGGGGCAUUUUGAAAACCUUCAAAUCAUUGCAUAAAGCAUCCUCAUGCAUUAGUCAUGUCACUUUGCUCUAAGAUAAAACCAUGCAUAUCAUAAAAUUCAUGGGGUCUAACCCCAUAACAUGAACCUGGCAUCAAAAAGCCUUGAAACACAAAAUCUGACACCAAUGCCCAACAUCGCUUGACCAUUUCAAAGUCCAGUUCUCGUCUGGCAAUUUAUUUCAAAGUCCAGUUCCCGUUUGGCAACUUAUUUCAAAAGCCCAGUUCCCGUCUGGAAAACCUUUUUCAAAAAAAACAGUUCCCGUCUGGCAAUUUAUUUCAAAGCCCAGUUCCCGUCUGGCAAUUUAUUUCGAAGUCCAGUUCUCGUCUGGCAACUUAUUCCAAAGUCCAGUUCCCGUCUGGCAAACUAUAUCAAAAAUCAGUUCUUGUACGACAAAUCAUUUGCCAAAUACUAGUUCUCGUCUGAUAAAUUAUCUCUUAAUACCAGUUCUCGUCUGGUAAAUUAUCUCUUAAUACCAGUUCUUGUCUGGUAAGUUAUCUAUUAAUACCAUUUCUCGUCUGGUAAAUUAUCUCUUAAUAUCAGUUCUCGUCUGGUAAAUUAUCUCUUAAAUACCAAUUCUCGUCUGAUAGUUAAUUAUUUUCACUAGUUCUCGUCUGGUAGCCUACUUUAAAAAUUAGUUCCUGUUUGACAAACAAAAACAAAUUCAGUCCUAUCUGACAUUUCAAUUAUUUUCACGAGUUCACGUCUGGUAACAUAUCCUUCAAGUGUUGUCCUCAUCUGGCAGUUCAAUCUCCUUCACCAGUUCUCAUUUGGCAGUUCCCAUUCUAAGUCCACACUAUUGGCAUCAAACCGCAAAGCAAAAAUGUCUUAACUAGGGGCAUGUCCAAAUACCCAUUUGCAUUCUAACAUGCAUCAUGUAAAUCAAUCAUACAUGGUUUUCCUACCAAACAGAAAAUUCAAAAAAACACAGUCAUAUCAAUCAUCAGCAUACUCAUGCAUAACACUCCCACAAAAUGGGAAUUUCAAUAAAAAAAUAAAAAUCAUUUGCAUUCCUACAUGCACAACCAAAUAUCCCCAGCAAUUGCAUACUUGCAUGCAUCUCAUACACCACCCCAUACAUGGUAUUCCCACCUAAAGUGGGACAUCAUACAAAAAUCAAAAGUAAAAUGUCAGGACCCAAGGUCAUUCAUGUAUAUCUUGGAUAUUCCUCAUUCCAAAUGAAGUUAUUACCCUGCAUAUGCUCGUGGGAUUAUAUCUCAGUAAAUCAUUUUUUCGACUUUAUGAUUAAAAAUGAUAUUUCCAACAUUUUUCUUUACAAUCAUUGCUCCCCAAGCAGAGGUUACCCUAAAAAGUCUCUUAUGAGCUUUUCCCCUGCAGAGCAUUUCUAGUAAAUCUCCCUCAAAAGGAGUAUUUUCUUAAAAAUUCCCCCAACAGACGAAUGUUCGAGAUACUGCUUCAUUUAUCUGAAGAAUCUCAUUUUUCUGUUUGAGAUACUGCUCUAAUAUCCUCGGAGAGUCUUAGAUUCAAUUAAAGUAUUUUUCCCUUGCUGGAAUAUUUUAAUUCUAUCAUAUAAGAUGUUGUUUUGACUCGAUACAGAGAAUCUCAUUUUUACUGUUUGAGAUACUGCUUCAUCAAUAUGAAGAGUCUCAUUUCAGAUUCUUUUAGAGAUACUGCUCUAAUAUCCUCGGAGAGUCUUAGAUUCGGUUAAGGUAUCUUUCCCUUGCUGGAAUAUCUUAAUUCUAUCAUAUAAGAUGCUGCUUCGACUCGAUACAGAGAGUCUCAUUUUUGCUGUUUGAGAUACUGCUUCAUCAAUAUGGAGAAUCUCAUUUCAGAUUUCUAGUCUAUGACGAGAUUCAUAGGAGCCUCUGUCUUAGAUUCAAUUAAGGUAUCAUUCCCUUGUUCGGAAUAUCUUAAUUCUAUCAUAUAAGAUGCUGCUUCGACUCGAUACAGAGAAUCUCAUUUUUACUAUUUGAGAUACUGCUUCAUCAACAUGAAGAGUCUCAUUUCAGAUUUUUUUAGAGAUACUGCUCUAAUAUCCUCGGAGAGUCUUAGAUUCAAUUAAAGUAUUUUUCCCUUGCUGAAAUAUUUUAAUUCUAUCAUAUGAGAUGCUGCUUCGACUCGAUACAGAGAAUCUCAUUUUUACUGUUGAAAUGCUGCUUCAUCAAUAUGAAGAGUCUCAUGCCAGAUUUUCUUUAUAUUGCUCUAGCAUCCUGGAAAACUCUUGAGAUUUAGCUAGGAAUGUCAUUCUAUUACUAACAUAUCUCGACCAUGACGUCCAAGAUACUGUUCUGACGACUCCCAGAAAGUCUUGGCUGUUCCAUUUUACUUUAGGAUAACGUCUCUCACUAUUUCUCACUGCAUUUUCUUCCUUGCAUUUCAAAGGACAAAAUUUGGGUCUUUUCGUAUUUAAUUAUCUUCCACUACGAAUGUAUGAAGACUCUUGUCGUUCUUACCUUCUAGUUCAAGAUAAUGAAAUAGGGGCAACUGUCAUACCCCAAUUUUGUCCGGGCAUUUUAAAUUUUCAUAAAUUCAAUUUAAUUUUCAGUUUACAACAUAUGUACAUCAUAAUAUGCAUUUUAUCAUUAAUAAUACCUGAAAUAUCAGUCAGGAUAAACUUAUUAAAAAUACAGACAAAUCGGUUGAAUCUUUUCUCAAGUACGGACCAAAUCAGCGGGUAAAAAAUUUCAGAAUUAAAAUUACAGACAUCAGUAUUAUUAAUCUACAGUUCAUGUAGUUUAACCUGGUGUGCUCGUUGUAUUUUUCAGCAGCUGUUUCAGUUGUGUUUUGACCCGCCUGAGCCUUUUAACCGAUGCAAACUUAUUCUAGAAUUUGAAGAAACGCUGUAUUUUUUCAAUAAGUAUAUUUUGUGCUGAUCAUUUUAGUGUGUCUGAUUUAAUUUUUCGAGCAAAUUUUUGUCCGAAUUUUAUUCAUUUUUAGUCGUUUUAAUUUUAUUCUUUCGUCAAAAUAGUCAGAUUAAAUAAAUAGAAUUUUUCAUGUUAUUAUUUUAAUUUUAUCAUGAUUAUUUAAAAAGUUGUGAAUUUUAUUUGAUUCAAUUGAUUAAAAUUGUUUUAAAUCGAUUAAGUCAUCUAAAAAAAGGCAUUAUAUGUAUUUUGAUUUAUUUAAUUAGGAUGUGUUUCUUUGAUUCAAUCUGAAUCGUUGAUUCAAAUUAAUCAAAGGCCCAUGUUAGCAAUCCAUACUCAUUUCCAAUAUCCAAUCAUAAAAUAGAAAUUUAAAUAAAUAGUUAAAUAGAAAAUUAGAAAAUAUUAAAAAAUAUCUCUUUCAAUCCAAUUGCCAGGUGCCACGUGACAAUCUUAUCUUCUUGUGAAUGGUACAGGCUUGGCAAAUGGUCCUAUCACUCCUUUCCAACGGUAACAAAAAUAAUAUUAAAAAAGGGAGGCAUACGUUUCCAUGGGCCACUUACAUAUUAACUGAUGCUCUCUCCUCCAAAGAUAGAAAAAAAUGAAAUAGAAAGUGAAAAGGAGAAAGGUGGAUUCACGUUCACGAUAAAAUAAUAAAAGAAGGAAAAAGAAGAAAUCUCUCUCACUCACCUCACUAUCACCCACCUCCACUAACAAACCAAACCCUCGCCGUUUACCGUUUUCAACAUUACAAACCCAUUCACCUUCAUCAACUCACCUUCCGACCGUCACCAACCUCCGCCAUGAUUAUCGCUAUGAAAUCUCCUCACCCAAACACACCUUUCAUCAACUACUCAUAGCCUCGCCGCAAUUACCAACUCUGAUACGUCUUAAUUCCGGUUUCCACUCUGAUUACGUUUCGAUUAGAUUAAGCUUGUGAUAAGUUUUCUGUUUAGAUCUGUUGCAGGUUCUAGCAUCGAAGUUACUUUUUCCAGGAGAAGAAAAACGUUUGAGAAACAAUGCUCCAGAUCUGUUUCUACCGAAGCUACAACGCCAACUCGGCGGUGAUUCUCAACAACAAUGAAGCGGAAGCAUCAAACAACAAUGGAACCUUGUUUUCUUCCUUUUUUUUUUUGCUUUAAUGCGAUUGGGUUUUUGUCUGUUUGAUUUUUUUGCAGCUCAUUGCCGCUCAUAAUCGUUGCGGGUUCGAUUCAGGAUCUAUAUUCAAUUUUGAACUGAUUACGACAUCGUCAGAGUCCAUUCCAUUUCUAACCGCACAAGAAUAACCACCGUGUACACAUCUCAUGGG